rnacentral:lncRNA from 1 species
AAUGGUGCCUUCACAAGUGACCUCUCUUGUGGUCACUCUCCUAGUGGCAAUAGUCUCUCUCACAUUGCCUUCAGAAACUUCAGCUAACUACCCUUACACCUCUCCACCACCACCGGCCUCUCCUCCCUACCAUUACAAGUCACCACCGCCUCCUUCUCCUUCUCCUCCAGUGCACUACUCACCACCUAAGCAUCCCUACCACCCUAAGUCACCACCACCUCCUGUGUACGCACCACCUAAGCAUCCCUACCACCCUAAGUCACCACCACCUCCUGUGUACCCACCACCUAAGCAUCCCUACCACCCCAAGUCACCACCACCAUCACCAAAGCCUUACCACUACAAAUCCCCACCACCACCUCCUGCUCCAGUGCACUCACCACCCCCACCUAAGGAGCCAUACCACUACAAGUCCCCACCACCACCACCCAAGAAGCCCUACCACUACAAAUCUCCCCCACCACCUCCUCCUCCAGUUCACUCACCACCACCACCCAAGGAGCCUUACCACUACAAAUCUCCACCACCACCACCCAAGAAACCUUACUAUUACAAGUCUCCUCCACCACCACCAAAGAAGCCUUACCACUACAUGUCUCCUCCCCCACCGGUGUACUCACCACCUCCACCAGUGCACUCACACCCACCACCAAAAAAGCCUUACCAUUACAAAUCUCCUCCCCCGCCAGAAUAUUCACCAGCUCCACCAGUGCACUCAACCCCACCACCAAAGAAGCCCUACCAUUACAAAUCCCCACCACCACCACCACCACACAAGAAGCCUUAUUACCCUGUUCACUCACCACCUCCACCUAAGAAGCCUUACCACUACAAAUCCCCACCACCACCUUCUCCUACUCCUCCUAAAUACUCACCACCUAAGCACCCCUACCACUACAAGUCUCCACCACCACCACCAAAGAAGCCUUACCAUUACAAGUCCCCACCACCUCCUUCUCCUACUCCCCCUAAAUACUCACCACCUAAGCACCCCUACCACUACAAGUCACCACCACCACCACCCCAAGAAGCCUUACCACUACAAGUCUCCACCACCACCACCUCCUCCAGUUCCCACACCAUCUCCACCCAAGAAACCUUACCACUACAAGUCUCCCCCACCACCCCCUCCAGUCUACAAGUCUCCUCCACCACCAGUUUACUCACCACCACCACCACCUAAGAAACCUUACAAGCCACCAACUCCUCCAGCAGUUCACCCACCACACGGUUACAUCUAUUCCUCACCCCCACCUCCUCACCACUACUAGAUAUUGAAAGUUUAAUUGCAUCAAGCUGGUAAGCUUCUCCAUUCUAUGCUAUUAUUCAUUAAUUAGUUAGUACUACUGUUGUCAAUUUGGAAAUCACCAUACAACCAAAUGCACACUCUGACGAAAUAACAUAUAAAUUCUAAUUGAAUAGUCUUUAUUUCCAUUUUUGGCUAAUAAUCCUUAUUAGCAUAUGGAUAAUGUAUUUCCAACAUAUCGUUAUUAACUUAUUACUCAAUUAAUAUUUCUUUUUCUUUAAAUUCAGUAGCCGUGUGUAACAAAUAGACCAAUGGCAGAGACCCAACAAAUAACAAUAAUAUGUCUUUGCAGGUAAGGGAAGAAGAAAGGUCAGAAUAAAGAGGGGCUGUUGAAGUCGAACAGCGCGCCUUAUUACCACACAAAGAAGAAGAGAGAGAAAAAAACGAGUCUCCACGCAGCUGCUGAUGUGACGUGUUUUAUGUAUGCGAUAUUCGAUAGAGGUUCAUAUUUUCCUUGGAAUAUUAGACAGUUGUAGGGCACUCAUGUUCCAUGUAUUUUAUUUCCUGUUUCUCAAAAGAGAUGGUAUAUGUAUGUUGUUUGUUUCAACCUUCUAAUGGAGAGGUGAUCAUCAUAAUAAUAAAAUAAAUACAUUCCCCAAAUUUUACUUAAUUUCUCAUAUAUCUGAUAUGUUUUACUCUCUUAAUUAAAGUUUCCUAAUAAUGUUAUAAAAACCACGUAUAUCACAUUGGUGUACCAUUUAUUCUCACAAGUAAUGUCACGUCAAUUAAUGAGUUUAUCUCAUUGAAUAGUAAUUGACUUGCUUACAUUAUAUGGUAAUAAUGUGGUGUAAAUAUGUCGCAUCGUCCUUAACAUCACUCUAAAUUUCUUGGUAAUAAUAUAUGCGAGCAGUGUUAACAAAUCAAAGGAUGAGAAAGAAGAAAAACUAUUUGCAAAUUCUUAUUCUUAAUAUUUCAUAAACACAAAAUAAAGAAGACUAUGAAUUGUUCAAAUGCAUACUAAGUGAUCUAUUUUGGCAAAUCAUCUUAGUAUUGUAUUAUUUUCUUCAAUUAAGUGAUCUAUUUUUUUUCAAUUUGUUUUCCAUAUUUCAUGGCUUAAAUUUGUGAUUACUUUUUCAACAUAAAUGUCAAAUACUUUUUCUAAAAGUUAAUGUUGUCUAUUAUUUAUCCGUUGCUGGGAAAAAAAGUUAAAGUGGUAAUCUUAUUGAUAAAACUUAGUUCACUACACUAUAUAUACAAUUGUCUUCCGGUAGACCAUCAUGGAUAAAAAAUCAAAAGGAUUAUCGAAACCCCAAAAAAUUCUCACUAGUAGAAAGAUUGUUCAAAUUCUACAAUGAACCACAAGAAGUCUAACUCACUUGGUCAUUGCUGAUUGACUAUCAUUACUAGGUUAAAGCAACAUUUUAAGUUUUAACCUAAAUAGGAUCUCAACAAGCUAGGGUUUGAGAUUAGUGUUUUAGGUGACGACAGAGCUCUUUCCUUUCUUUAUGUUAUCCAAACUCUUUUUCUUUUUUCAUUUUUAUCAAGAAACUGUAGGUCUCAAUCAAAUUUAUGGAUUAUGGAUUUUAGUUAUGUAUUCUUAGUGUGGAAAUUUGACUAUAAAAUACGUUGACACUUGUCCUUUAAACUAAUGCAACCGAACAAACUUGUAGUUAACAAUUUUAUUAAGAGAGAUUAUAUUCACACACUUCAAAUUACUUAUGUCACACCUUUCUAAUUUUUUAAUAUUUUCUACACACCACUAACACUUGAAAGAAAAAAUAUUAAAAAAAUUAAAAGAGUGUGGGGCAAGUAAUUUGGGGUGUGUGAAUAUAAUCUCUCUUUCAUUAAAUCAUAACAUGGUGGAGUGAGUAAGUGAUGAGGAAAGACAAUUACGUCGCUCAUAUGCAAAUGAGUGGACAAACCUUCCAAUGGAUGCAACGGUGGUCAUGAAUUAUGAUUGUGUGUAGGGUUUCGAGUUACCGACGUUGACUGUCAUGCAAAUUGAGUACGUAGCCACUUACACUUAAUGGCAGAGGUCGAUGAUUUGCGCUACGGAAAAUGGUUUGAUUUGCUUAUACCAAUUACCAAACAAAGCAAAUAUAUUCGUCCUUUUGGUUUGGUUGUCAACUGUCAAGUAUGCGUUAGAAUUUUUUAAUUUGGGUUAAAUAAAAUAAAAAAACAAUACUCAAAACUUUUUGGGGAUGAGAUCUGAGAAAUUUAAUUUUUUCCCUUCAUAUAUUAGGGAUGAAAGUUGACUUAAUCACACACAAUGGAUCAUACCAACAAUAAUUUAGUAUCGAAUUCAUCAUUCAUGAAAAUCAUAUUUGAGCCUAAAUAAAAAUAAGCAUGUUAUGGGGUCAAUCUACUUUUAUUUACAGAAAGUUGCACGACUCAGGCCCACCAACUUCAAAGCCUAAUUCAAGAUCAUAUCACAAAGCUUGGGCGACCUUUUUGUCCCCCUCCUAGCUAUUCGAGGGCUUGGGUAGAUCUCUCUAUGAAGUGCGUCCACCACGCAGAUGACCAGACCCGGGAAUAUCUCGCCUCCUUAAAUGUUGAUGUACGCAUCAUCUAACAUGCUAAUGUCACCAUUGCAAUUAUGAAAACGGCCAUGAAAUACAGUUUAAGGCCACCAACCAGAAAUUAUAGUCAAUGUCAACUCACCGAUCUACCCAUGCUCCAUCUUAGCCAUGAGAUCGAGGUUGCUCUUGCUUCAUUGCCUAUAAAUAGAGUGGGAAACCUUCAAACUUAGGACCUUCGUCUGAUCCAAUCUCUACAAUUAUAUAAAACCUCGAUUGAUUCUUCAAUCAACCCAACUUCUUUCAAAGUACAAUCCAAUUGCUCUUCAACUACAAUCACAAAGCCUUCGUUAAAAGCAAACAUUGCCUAUGUCCCUGAGAUCUUAAACUUUUACAGCUUUUCCAACCCGUGGUAUGAUUCGGUUGAUGUGUCAAUCCAACCACCCUGAUUUCCUCUUAGAGGCACAUGUUUUGGACUAAGUCCAAUUUGAUACCAGAGACCUCAGUGGACUCCUCUAGCAUUAUCUAUCCCUUCAUGGCCUAAAUCUUGUAAGAGUUUUUACAGCUUUCUUUACAAUUUUACUCAAUUUUCAUUUCAAGUCAUGUAGCUCGGCCCAUCGGCCAAGAUUUUACUUUUAUAUAAUGCUUGUAAUGUUGACUUCAUUAUGAAAUAAUUACAUUUUGUUCAUCACAUUAUUUUCCAUUUUCCUUUUUCAUGUUUUAGGCAAAAACACAAAAAAGUUACAUUGAAUUUUAAGUCCUCAUUCACUCAAGGCAUAGAAAAAAACUUAAACGAACUAGCGUCUCAUUCAAUGCACAACAAUUGGUUAAGAAGUCAGAUCUUUGCGCAACUUUCACACACAUCCAAAUACAAAGAUUGUCUGUUGACAGCCUCCAACAAUAGCACACCCAUUCUCUCAUUUUCUCGAGCCACCUCGUGACAUUGAUAUAAAAAAUAACACUCGGGGAAAAUAAAAGUUACAGUAGUAGUGAAAGAAAUUUAGUUGUUGUAAUAACUGAAUUUUGAAGGGCAUAUUAAGUAAUAAAAAUUAUGAGCAGAUAGUAUUUGCCCCAUUUGGCCUAGUGUCGACCAAAAAUGUACCUUCACCUAGAAAAGGAUUGUAGAAAGUGAAGUUAGUUCAAUAAUUGUCCUCUUUUUUGUUUUCUUUUUCGAUAUUUUAAGUGCUAUAUUGAGACUUUGGGGGCUUUUUUUUCCCAAAGCUCUGGCCUAUUCCGCGAAGAACUGAGAUUGAAUGGAGACUUUAUCAUUCUCACUAAUAUUAUAAGAAAAAUUGCACAAUACCAUUGUAUUAUUAAUUUGAGACAAUGGUAUUAAUUAUAGACAUUACAAUAGUGUCAAGAAUAAUGCAAAUAACUCAUUCUCCUUUGUUUAUUAGGUCGAAUUUCACUAGCUACAAAUAAGUUUAGCGGGGUGUAAGGAUGGAGACUUUAUCAUUCUCACUUAUAAAUCAUCAUAUAUUUAGGUGUGGGGUAAGGGGUUGGGGUAGAUUAGGUCCCAGGUUCGAGGCCUGGUGGGGUGGGGUGGGGUUGAAAAAAAAAAUCAUAUAUUUAGGUGUGGGUUUGGAAGGUAGACUUGAUUCCGCGGUGUUUUGAGGAGGAGGAGGGCAAUCUUAUUCUUGGUUUACCAAUAAGUUUAGCAGGGUGUAAGGAUAGAGUCAUAUGGCACUAUUCAAGAAAAGUUGCAAAACCACUAAAACUUUAUUUUAAGAGUCAAAUCUACUAAAUUCUUCUCCAAGAGACUUGAUAAAGGACUCUAUAUAAUAGCAAGUUGCUCUUUAAAUUUAUAAGUAAUGCCUAAUGGGGCUUUUAAGAAAAUAUUAAUAUUUAAAAAAAAAGUAUUAAUUUUUGUUUUAGACAUUGUAUAAGGAAAAUGAUAAGCAUACAUCCUUUUUAGCCUCGAUCAACACUUAUAUUUAAUCUUGUUCAUUAUUUUUGUUUGAUUUAUACAAUGCGAUGGUCAAAAAAAUAAAUAAAAAAUAUGUUUGAGAAGUUAAAAAUGAUGUGUGAAAAUCACCUGCCAAUAAACAAAUCUAUUAUUAAAACUAAUACAAACUUUAAAACUAAAACUCAUGAUCAAUUAAGAAACGCUCAAGUCAAAUUCAUAAUAGCCAUAAAACAUAAAACACCUAAAUUUACUAUGCCAAUUCAAUCAACAAUCGUAUUAUAAAUAUGUUAAAUCCUUACAUGAAUGGAAUUGUUAGCCCAUCAAUCCAAGUAAUUGAAUGAUCUUUGGAGAUUUACUUAAGAGCAGUAUUAAUAUGAAUUAUGAACUUAUGAGAGAGAAAUAAUCUAUUAUUCUUUUCUCUAUUAGGCUAUAUUAUAUUUAUUUUGUUAUUGAAGAAAUUAUAUAUUGUAUAAUAUUUCCAUGGGGUGCAAAAACAUCGGGGCGCCUUUUUUUAGUUGGGGACCUUGUGCAAUGUCUUAUAUUCCUCCCCUUCAAUCCGGCACUGACAGGAAGGGAGAGAACGAUUUAAAAAAUGAACGGGUUGAAUUUGAAUUGAUAAUAAUUAGUAAAUUAUUUAAACUUUGUUAAAUAGAAAAUAUUGUUGAAAAUGAAAAGUUAAACUGAGUAAUUAAAAUAGUUUUUUUGACACUUUUCACUUGCUUGUUUAACAAAAAUUUAGAGCUUGUCUUUGAGAUACUCUUACUCCUUUAUUUAAAGGACUCGGCUUUUCUAUUAUAGCUGUCGUAUUCAAUAUUGUUGCAAUUAAUGAACUUAAAUCAUUUCGUUAUGACCAAAUUAAGAUAAUCAUGGACAUGUAGAUUAGGUAGCUAAUUCUGAUUUUGACUCGAUCACAUCAAGGUUAUCGUAAUUAAUGUCGGUUAAUUUAAUAUGCGUCUCUGAUCUGAUUACAUUACCAUGGUACGUAAACAUGUGUAUCCAUCUGCAAGACUCAAGAUUUAUAAUUUUGUUUUGUUUACUGUUUUUACGAAGAUAUUUAUGAUUUGAUUUUAUAAUAAAUUUUUUUUUAAAAAAAAAAUCAGAGCAAAACUGCAUCAUGGCCAACAAUCCAGCCAGAUUCAGUUCAACUAUAAUUUUGGCCAAUUUUUCAAAGCUGAUGGAUGUUAGUAGAUUUGUGUGGGGAACACUGAAAAGGCUAGAUUAUGAAAUACCAGAAAAGUAUUGACAUUUCAAUUGCUUAAACCAACCAUGAUGAAGAGUUCUAUGAAUUAUUUUUCAAAAUUUGAUUAAAUUGUGUCAUCCAGAUUAACGAACAUUGUUUCAUUGAAAUUAGUUCAUCAAGAUUGCGUAACUGGGAUAGCUUUCACACUGUAUUAACAUACAAAGAGGCUCUACUUCGUUAGAGUGUUCAAACUGUACACGUAAUUUGACUGCCGUACACAUUUUUCUUAUAUCUCUCCAAUCAACUUUAUUUUUCCUUUUGAAUAAAUUAAAGAUAAAGAAAGAAAACCAUUUUGCCUUAAAUGGCAAGAGAUUGAUGAAAAUCUACUCUAAAGAAGGGACAGGAUAUAUAUAAAUUAAAAUUCAUCAUGUACAAAGUAAGCGUAGGACAUUUUCAUCAUUUUACUUUGUCGUGCCCAUAAUUCUUUGCUCUAUAUAUUUUAUCUUUGUUGGUGGUCGAUGCUUUGGUUGGCUGUCAAUUGCGACGGACUGUCGUAAAAAUUGUCGGCAACCAACCAUGUGUUCUUGCAUGCCCGAUGUUCUCGCCACCUCACGUGGAAAUUUCCAAUGGAAUGGAGGGCCAAAUUUCAGUUUUUAUAUCAAUUUGUUUAUGUUAAAAUUUUCUUGUAAUAUAAGUCAAUGGUUGAAUUUGCAGUAGAAACAAACAAAAUAUGUGGACGAAUUUGAUAAAGUACAAGAAAAAAAAAACUGCAACUUAAGUAGAUGACGUGAUUCUUCACCCGGACAACAAGGAAGAAGACAUGAAAUCGGGAACACUGGAUGACGAAGUACACAAAUUAAACUUAUCUAAUCCAUUUUAAUAAAUUGUUACAGGGUGGCCAGUGGUCGGGAAUAAAUCACAGACUCGCAUUUCAGAUACCUCACGAACUUGAUUUUUGUUACUAACAAAUCACAUGAAGGUGACCAAGAGAAGGUUGAAAUGUCAUUGUGAGACGUCUUUCUUACCCUCGAAAGAUGAACUACCGUAAUGAAGCCACCAACUCAUCUUUUUAAAGGAAAGAAAAUCUAAGCCGUCCUAAUACAUGUUGUCACUCAUGGGAAUUAGAGAAGAAAUAUUCGUUAGCCACUUACAGUUGGAUGCUUAUUAUAUUAACUAGUUACAAAGUCAAAGGUUUUUCAUUGAAUGGAAUCAUAAGAUGUAAACAUCUAGGAUUAAUAUUUGGAAAAUAAUUAAACUCAAUCCCACCGCGUAGUUCUGUAACAAGUUUAUAUGUCUAAUAGAGUUUAUAGAUCUAAUAGUUAGUUAAGAGUAUUCAUUCUUACUCUUGAAGUUUUUUUGUUGACACUCUCUCUUUUAACCAUUUCUUGUAAUCAUUACAAGAAUUUGGAUUCUUUUAAUCCUAGGAGUGCAAUACUAAUUCUUAAUCUUUGUGUUAACCAUAAUAUCAUGACACAUAUCACCAAGUAUGAUCAGCAACUAGGAGAACGAGAGAAGAUGCGUGACUUAAGAAAAUUGAUGUGAUUUUGGAUUUUUUUUUACUUUAUGCACGCCCGCUCUUUAAAAAAAAAGAAAAAAGAUAUGUGAAAGGUGAAAAACAGUUGUUUCCGACAAACAUAAUUCACUUUCUAUAUGUGUACUUUGUAUUUUUUUUCAUCAAGUAAGGAAAUGGUGAAAAGAAAAAUGUACAUUAAUCGUAUCAUAUGAUAUAUUGUUCUUCUCAAGACAACUAAGAAGCUAAACUUAAUGUCAGAGAUUAAGACGUUUUGUUGGCUUGUCAUUCAAGGAAAGCUUAAUACAUAUAAUAUAGAGUUGGGAAGGUUAAUUUGUCCGUAUCUUGUGUAAAACAUGAUCUGGAUUUCAAACCCCCUAGACUUUUUGUUGUCCUACUCACGCAGCCCAUUCCCAAGUUCCAACCCUCCCAACAACCCUAUCCAGGAAGGCCAGCGCAGAUGUUAAGGCUGUGACCAGGGUUGUAAUACCAUCUCCAAUGGAUAAGUCAAAUCAUAAGUGGAAUGUCGCAUAAUUAAAUUUAAAAGUAAAAAAGAAGUUCCAACCGAUAGUUUUUCCGGAUCCUGAAAGAGUGGAUAACCGUGACUUAUCACCACUUGUCUUAUUUUUCGAAGAAAAAAAAAUGUCAAUCCUAUGUGAAUUAACAUGAGUUUUUGGUAUCAAAAUUGACAUGAAAAAUGUGUUGGCAAUUAAUUCUUUAGUGAUUUUAUUGUGCGGGUUUUAUUAAUGGACCAAUUCUAAAGCUUAAAAAUUAUUUUAAUUGAUUUCUUUUUCAUAAUGAACCUACGGAUAUUAAUUAUAAAUUUGACAUUACCACAUCAAUCGUUAAAAUUAACAUUUGACAUUCAUUUUUUGACUUUUCCAUUGAAGAUGUUCCAAUUAGCUUCAAAUGCCUUCGAGUUGAACUCAUGUUUGGGUCGUUUUAGGCAUGUUCAAUCUCUACUUGCAAGUAAAAGGAGUCGGGCACGAACAUAAUAUUCAGUUCGAUACAAAGAUGAGAUAGAAUUUUAGUAUGAUCAAAAGCUCGUAAAACUCUUAACAUCCCAUAUCAUUUUAUAUUGGACAUGCAAUCAUUUGAAAGUAUAGAGCUAUGCUUAAGCACAAAUUAUAUCAUUUGAACCAAGCACCUGGUACUUGGCGCGACUCAUCAACGCAGCUCUUGCAUUUUGUCCUUUGAUUUCUUCAAUAUAAAACCAUAAAUAAAUAGAAAUGUGCAAGAUAAGACGAGUCUGAUAAGAUUUCAAUAGAAGUGUUCCAUACGAACACUGUGCCAAGCACUUUUCAGCUGUUGGAUCGACGGAAUUUUACCACUGCUAGGCUAACAAUAUAAUUUCCGUUCGAUCUCUUUCAUAAACGAAACACUAAAACAUGAAUCGAUUUAUCAAUCACCCGAUUAACAUACUCCAAGAAACAGGAAAACAAUCAGUCACAAAUUACUCGCAAAUCGCAAUUAAAACGAAAGAAAUUGAGAAAUCCGGACUAGGCUACAAGCACGUCAAGUCAAGAUCGGCAAAACAUUUAAUAAAACACCAAAUCUGUCAUAUUUUCUGACCUUCCAAAUAUUCAAGUCCAUAACAGAAUGAACAAGCUGAAAACAGCAGAUGAAAUAUGCACAAAGGGAUACACCAAACGUACCUCCAUCGCGAGAAAGAUACACUGCGUUUUGUGAUCGCAUCUACACCAAGCGCUUCGUCCGACAAAACCAUCACUACACAUAUAGGUAUAGAAAAUAUCUAGCAUAGCGUCUUCAUCUCAUUUCUCAAACAGACAAUAUUAUACAAUGACAUUCAACUGGGUGUUUGCUUCGAUGAGUUCUACAACAGACAGGAAAUCAGAUCAUCAAGCACUAAUCACUAAUGACAUCGUCUCUUGAGCAAUCUCUCUAAUUUUCUCUUUCCUUGAGUGUACAGUAUAACCUCUAUAUUCAUAUGAGAAACAAACGAAAAAAACAAAGCCUCAUCCAUAUCCCAAACACCUAAAAAUGAGCCGGUCAGAAUGUUGCAAAAAGAGAAGUUUCGGGUAUUUCAGAAAUUUUCUGAGUCGUGUCAUAACUCUCAAGUGCCAUUGGAGGGUUCUGAAAUUUCCUGAGAUUUCAUGCAUUUAGUUCAGUGUGGGGCUGAGAGCCUGAUAGAACAAGGGAGAACCAAACAUCAAGAAAGACGAGAGAGAGUGUCCUACCUGGACUUCUUGGAGGAGAGAUUCAAGUUGAGCUGUUAUAUCGGAGAAGGAAGGCCGAUUGGAAGGAACUGAAUCCCAGCAACUCUGCAUUAAUUCCAAAACCUUGGGGUGUCCAUUAUUCGGAAUUUCCGGUCUCAGCCCCUGGGAAAUAGAAUGUCAAACAAAACAUAACUAUUUAGGCACAAAAGAAUUUGGAUAAAAUACUACGCUGAGUGAACAGCCAAACCAGUUGGUAUGUACCAUUGUACAUGAUUUCAGAGGCAUAAUUUAUACUUAUUUAUAUUAUAAGCAACAAAAAUGUCAUCAGAAGAUACAGAAAUUUGUUAUUCACUAAGUUUUACCCUUUUCUUGCGUUUAUAAAAUAUAUGCCUGCUUUGUAACAGCUUUUUUUAGUUUGAAUGGGAGGAUAUUCAGACCACAGGGUUACAAACAUAAACUCAGGCACGUCAUCAAUUCAAACUUUAAUUCGACAUGUAGAAUUGUCAACAUCUGUAAGAUACACACAUGGCAGGCAACAGGACGAAACACCAUAGAGGAAAAUUUAUAAUCAAGUUGCAUGAACUGUGGAUUAACAGGAUUUCUUAAGCAGCAAAUACAAUGCGGGCUAUAGAAAACACGUCUUCAUUCAUCAAUAUUCAAUACACAGACGAACAGAUAUAAAUAAUACAUAUGUAUUAUAAAUGGAUAUACGAAUAAACAAUAAACCUGUCUAACUCCCAAGGCAGCUUGCAAUGGAGUCAUGGUAUCAUAUGGAACCUGCAAUACAAAAUCAUACGAGUUUGAAAAUAAAUAAAUAAAAAAAUCUUAAGAAGUUUGAUAAUGUCCACAUCCAAAAUUCCCAAUACACAGAGGAAGCAUACUUUGGCUGUUACUAGCUCCCAAAGUACAAUUGCGAAACUGAACACAUCUGCUUUCUGAUCAUAUGGUUGAUGGUUGAUAACCUUGCAAAAUACAAGAAACCAAUAAGAUAUUGAAAUAAGAAUGUAAAUCAAUGUCGUCAAACUACGGUGCAUCUGCUAUGGUAAUGACGCAGUAACAAAACCAGAAUGUUGACAUCCAAAAUGCAAUUAACAAAACAGGAAAUUCAAUGAACCAUAGCCUGCUUGCCAAAACAAAGGGAUAUUGAUAAUUGUUUAUGAUAAACUAAUCAAUCCAUAGAUCACAACAAAGGACCAAUUUGUGAACCAAGUCCAACGGUUUAAGAGUUGACAAUAAUUUUCACGAAGAGACAAAGCAGGAAAAAAAAAGCAGAGGAAAAUAUUGAACCAGAAGAAUCGGACCUCAGGUGCCAUCCAUCGAUAGGUUCCAGUCUCUGCUGUCAUUACUCCCUCUUGAUUCUGAAACCGAGCAACACCAAAAUCUGCCACCUUUACAACCUGAAGGCAAACAAGAAAAUGAUUUUCAACUGUAAAAGAAAAGAAAAACCUAUUUGUUUUUCCUAAACAGAAAAAUAGAAUAGCCAGGAUGUGAGAGGAGAUUUCAACCAUUUAUACUUGGAAAUCUAACCAGGAAACAGUUUACCCAUUAUCAUAAACAAAUAAUGCUGUGUUUAGCUUUGAACUUUACUUAUAGUUAUUAAAAAAUAUAAAUAUACUUGUCGAAAGUAGAAUUGCAUUACCCCACAUCUUUAAACACAAAUCUAACUUCAUCAUUCAUGACAUCCUGAAAGUAUCAAAUUCACCAUCGACAAAAACUCAGAAGACAUCAAUUCCAGUAUGUCCAUGAGAAUUUUGGUCGAAUUGAACUUUUGACAUGCAGAUAUACUUCUCCCAUAAUCAAACUUCAUACCUCAAAGCACAACGCACAAUUACCCCAUACAAAACAAUAGACGGUUUGGUUACUCAAGUCCAAUAACUACAACUUAUAUCAACUAAAGCAGCAAUAGAUCCACUGAAGACAUUAGCCCUUUUAAAAAAAUUACAAACAAAUCUAUUGAACUUUAUCGUUUUCCUGUCGCCUAAGUUAAGCUGUAUAUGUACAAUGACAAAUUAAAUCAAUAGAGUUAUCAUGAAUAUGCGUAGGUUACAUUUUGCAGAAAGUGAAGCUGCCAAACAAGCAAACAAUAACCUUUAAUUCUUACAUUGUUAGUGUCCAUUAGCAGAUUUGCCGUCUUUAGAUCCCUAUGAAUUAUGUUAUUAUGAUGCAAAUACUCCAUUCCUUUACAGACAUCAAUUGCAAACUUUAGCAGUUCUGAAAGCUUCAAGAUGUUAUGAUUCUUAUGCAAAUAAUCGUAAAGACUUCCACCGGGCAUAUACUCUGCAAAAAAUAAAAAACAAAUGAAUUUUCAUAAUUAUGGUAAUAGUACAAUACAGCAACAAGUCGGCACUGGACUAAUUAUACUCAUCUCAAACUACAAACAGAUCUAAACAGUAAAGUUUUACAUAAAGAAAUCAAGAUGAAAUCAACAAUAAAGCUCUAACCAUAAAAAGAUACCCUGCCAAAUACUAUCCCAAAAUUCUCAAGAAACAACAUCCAAAGGUAAUCCCAAAACAAAAUCUAUCCCACGAAUGAUUACAUCCUUCAACUCCUAACCUACAUGAAGCUUCAUAAUACGCACCAAGUUGCCAAAGGCUGGCUGAUUGACAAAUUACAUAUAAUAGGGAAUUCCAAUAUGCACGACAUCCAAACAGCUUAGAGGAAUUUAAAAUAUAUAACACACAAGUAAAAUCUUCCUAAAUGCUGCAUACUCAGAGAAGAAGUACUAGCGCAUCCAAAACUUAAAAGAGUAUAAAUAAUGUGUAAGUAUGUUCCAACAACAACAACAAGGCAUUUUCCCACUAAGUAGGGUAGGCUAUAUGAAUCCUAGAACGCCAUUGCGCUCGGUUCUGUGUCACAUCUUCUGUUAGAUCCAAGUACUCUUAAGUCUUUUCUUAUAGUCUGUUCCAAAGCCUUCCUAGGUCUUACUCUACCCCUUCGGCCUUAAACCUCUGUCCUGUAAUCGCAUCUAGUGUAAGUAUGUUCCAAGAAAGAUAUUUUUAGUUCCAUUAAUACUUCUCCUGAUCCUAAUAAAAAUUUUCAAAAAGAUAGAAUGAAAACUUUGGUUGGCUACACCUAUAUUGGUGGAAACCAUCCGAUGUCAUUGAUUUUUUGUAGAAUGAUAUCCUUUGGUCCAUAAAAGAUAUUUUAUGAGAUCCGUUUUGGCGAAUGGUAAAAGGGGAUAGCUUUUAAGAAGGGAAAUGUGAGUGUGUUGGGGUGGAUUUUCUCCCUUUUUAUGUUCCUUGUAAAAGAAUAUACUAUGCUUCACUAACAAAAUUAAAAAGUAAAAAAGAAAACUUAUAAACAAUCUGAUGCUUAUUCUUACUUUUCUUAGUUGCACUGCUUCUAAAAACAUCUCCACAUGUAAGAUUCUGAUACAGAAUGAACAAAACCUCGAAAGAAGCUAACUUAACAAAUAUAGUAAAUGUUGGAGGCAACCAACAGGAGAGUUCCAUACCUGUCACUAUGCACAAAUGUGGAGACUUUGUACAUGCACCGAUAAAGCGCACAACAUUACUAUGAUGGACCUCUCUGCAAUCAUAAAACAAAUAUAAUAUAUAUCAGUAUUGCUUAAUAGCAAUACGCAUGCCAACAUAACCUAUAAAAUGGAACAACAGUUUUCUUUUCCCUUGAAUAAGAGACAAUUUAUUAGUAAAGAAUAAGAUACAGAGAAGACACUAUGAAAAACUAGAAACAGCAAAAGGUGGAACCUAGCCAUGAAUUUUAACUGCCUAGAUGUGUGAAAUGCAGCAUGGGCUAGCUGCAUUUUACUUAACUAUCAGAAAAUUCAUUCACUUUAUGGGUUUCAAGAAUAGUUACAGCUAAUAUACCACAAAAUGAAAGACUAGCUGCAUUAAAUGUGAUUUUUUAAAUGACACAAUAAGACAUGUUUCUUGGUUCCAUUUGUAAUUACAUUUGGCAUAUUCUUCCAAAGCCUCGUCGAAAUAAAGACCAGCAACCUGGAUAUUCAACCAGCAAUCCUGGAUAUUCAACCAGCAAAUCCAGAAAACGUGAAGCAUUCUCUUGUCAUUCCCAGAGAUUAUAGGAAUUGUUCUUGUACAGGCUAGUAUAGAAGUUCAUUAUGGAGGAUGUUGGAAAAUAAUGGAAAAAUCUUUAAAAGUUUACAAGUGGAGAAGAGCUCUCAAUAGAAAUGAUAAGAGUGAUUUCAUAUGAACUCCCCAGCAGGGACCAGCCUAGAUUAAAAGAAGAUAAAGAUAGAAAAUUAUUCACCUUAAAAUUGCCACUUCUUGAGCAAACUCAUCCUCUAGAGCAUCAUUCAAAUGUUCAGAUCUCAAAAUCUUAACAGCAACAUCUUGACCAAGAUAAAUUCCACGAUACCUGAGAAUGAACAGUAAUAUAAAGUUAAGCAGCAGAGAAGACUAUAAACGAAUAAAGGAAUGCCAAAAAUAAAACAUAUCUUACAAAUCUCCACAUGACCCAGAUGCAAUUCUGUCUCCGAUCAUUAAUAAUCUUCGGUCUAUUUCCCAGAGUCCUGUCUUUUCUUUCACCGAUAAUUCUUUCUCCACAGCCGAAUGAGAAUGUGAAGAUCUUGACCAUGACCCCUAAAUUACCAAACAACAGAUACGUAUUACUAUCUUAUAAUUCUUCGAUUAUUUUAGCAUUGUGACGCAAUAUACCUCACUUCUAGCAAUUGCCUUUUCCAUAGCUUCAUACAGACCAUCUGUAUCCUGACCACAACAUUGCAAAGUCAGCAACAUUUGAACUCAGCACAGUUGUCAUAAAAUUAAUAUAAUCACAAUUCCCCUUAAUGUAUUCUGAAGACAUUUUCUUGGAGGAACUGUAGCUUUUUCGACUUGUCCAAUUUGAUAAAACCCAAUAUUUAUAACAAACAUAUUGGGAUGCAUUAGAUCCAAUAAUUGUAGCAAUGCCAUAUUACAGCCCAGAGAUAAACACUGACUAAAAAGCGUUCAUCCAUGCAUAAAAAGAGAAAGCACAUAAACAGCUUGCAGUAUAGCAAAAUCCAUAGCCAACAAAAAUAAGCAUAUUGUAGUAGCAAUGUACCACAUAUUUUAAGAAAGGCCAUCCAACGUUUCGUGUAUUGGAAAUUACUCAUUUAUAAUAUAAUAACAUGCAAAAUUUCAAGAUUCAAAACUCUGACAGUAGAAAGUAAUCUGUGAAUGACGAUAAACACAUUAUAUAGUAAAAGAAAACUACCUCAACAGGCCAUCCAUCUACCACAAAUACAUCUAAAGAGUAGCCAUCGCUCGUCGAGAAGACAUGUGCUUCACGGAUGUUAAGUUCCAAAUCCGAAAGCAAGGAAGAAAGCUACAGAAUGAUGACAUAAGUUAGAAAGAUGCGACCACAGUAUGGUUACACUUCUGCAGUUAUCUUGGAUUCUACAACAUAAACAAUGCAUAUAAUAUGUAUCAAAUGUACUGAAUAGUCCAUUGCUACCUUUAAAUUCAUUUUCCAAUUGAAUUUGAAGGCUAUAGAUUUUCAACUUUAUAUUAAUGAAAGAAAUCAUAAUGAAAAAGAACUCUUCCAAUACAACGUCUUCUCACAAUUAUAUUUAAUACCCAAGCUUACUGCAUUGAGGUGCCAGCGUGUGAGGUCUAGACACUAGAGUUGACACAAAACAUCAGAUGGAGAACCAUAAAACAUGAAUGACGGACCAUCACAGUGUCACAUGAAAACAAAGAUAGUUGCUUGAGUUAUAAACAUUAGGUAUUGAACACACAUUCAUAUUAGUGAGUACCAAGAGAACUGCUUAAGUGGAGACAGAGUAUUACAGGAUAAUGAAGCUAUCAAAUGAUGUCAAAUUUCAAUACCCUUUAACAUUGAAGAAAUUAUGUACAUGUGGACACUAAAACUACAGAAAUACUAUCACUUGAUGCUAUUCAAUCAGAUGAUCCUUUUGAUUAUUAAUUGAAAAAAGGAAUGCUGAAUCCAACUUCAUGAUCCAGAAUGUAAGUGCAAUAUCAGAUAAGUUUGUCCACUAUCCUAUCAUACUAAUCUUAUAUGACCCCUUUGAGAUAUAACUCGUUGAACAGUUGAACUUAGUUUACCAAAUAGACCUUCAGCUUUAAUUUGCAAACACGUAAGGGAACAAUCAGCAGAUUUUCGGGCUUCAAACUCUGAUUUCUUUUCAGAUUCUAAGAAUAUUUUGAAACUGAGAUCGAGGUAAACUCCAGGUGGUAAUACCAAACUUGACAACAAACGAAUAAAUUAAACCUUCUCAGUCAUACCUGGCUAAGAAGCUUAGGCUUGUCAAUAGUUGAAAAUAUUACUUCAUGAAUGGGAACAUGUGGUAUAUCUUGCCUGCGUUAUACAGCCCAAUGGUCAAUAUCAUUUCUGCAUAAUUAUACAUGUUUUUUCUUUAAAUGAGAAACAAAGUUUUACUAAAGAUACUCAAAAACACAGUACAAGACUCUGAACAAACUGGUCCACCAACAAAAUGAUUCAACUAAUGAAAAACAAAUCUGAAUUACACCUAUGACAAUGUAAUGGAACUUUCAAAAUUACCCUAUAAGAGCUUCCCAAUCUAAUAAGAUGUUAGAAAUUGGUAGAUCCCUAAAGGGUGGAGAAAAACAAGCUGAUAAGCAUAAAUGUGAUCUCUCAAAUAUACGGGCACAGUUCAUAUAAAAACUGCACAAUUAAAAUAUAAAGUAUAUGAAAAAGACCCGGAUAAAGGAGGAGGGGGAGGGCGUCAGGUAGUCGACAGCCGGCACUCCAUGAUCACGUCGAAUCCUUAUGAAAAUGAAUCCAGAACAAAAUCGCGCUAAAGCUAGGGCGUCACCCGUAAGUGGCGCGCUGUGUGGCCUGAGCACAGUGAUAAGUGAGCAAGGGUCGCUGUAUCUCCAUCGGCACCCGGAUGCAGUGUUAAAUGAGCAAGGGGGCCAUAGAAACUUCUUUUCGAACGACUCCACUCAAAGUUGUUUGGGAGCAUAUGCUCCUAUCAACUUUACCCGGGACACACAAAAGAAGUACUUUGAUCCUAUUAGACGGGGGAGGGUGAAGAAGCUAGGACAGAAGGGUAGAGUUCAAGAGAGCAAAAUGCGUUUAGGAACGUGGAAUAUAGGAACCUUAACGGGAAAAUCUAUGGAAGUAGUGGAAGUUAUGGUGAGGAGAAGGAUAAAUAUUAUGUGCCUACAAGAAACUAAGUGGGUUGGUAGUAAGGCAAAGGAUCUAGAAAACUCAGGGUUUAAACUUUGGUAUUCGGCACAAAUAGAACGAGAAACGGUGUUGGCAUCAUCGUGGACAAGACCUUGGUACAAGAUGUUGUAGAUGUCAAGAGGGUAGGAGAUAGAAUCAUGGCAAUCAAGAUUGUAAUAGGACAAGAACUUAUCAAUGUGAUUAGUGCGUACGCACCUCAAGUAGGGUUGGAUACGAGUUCGAAGGAGAAAUUUUGGGAAGAUCUUGGAGACUUGGUGCAAGGAAUUGCUCAGACGGAGAAGUUAUUUAUAGGAGGAGAUUUAAAUGGACACGUGGGCAGGGAGACAGGCAACUAUGGAGGUUUUCAUGGUGGCCAUGGUUUUGGGGAGAGAAACGAGGAUGGGGAAGCUAUCUUGGAUUUUGCAAUGGCAUAUGAUCUCUUCUUAGCCAACACCUUCUUUAAGAAGAGAGAAGAACAUGUGAUCACCUACAAGAGUGGGUCGUCAAAAACACAAAUAGAUUUUCUUCUAAUGAGGAAAGGGGAUCGUAUAACUUGUAAGGAUUGCAAAGUUAUACCAGGAGAGAGCGUGGCUAAUCAACAUCGCUUGUUGGUGAUGGAUGUACAUAUCAAAAGAGUAAGACAAAAGAACAAGACUUGGAAGUGCCCAAGGACUAGAUGGUGGAAUCUAAAAGAAGAAAAACAAGCCAUUUUCAAAGAGAAGGUAAUCACCCAAUGUGUGUGGGAUAGAGAGGGGGAAGCUAGCCAAAUGUGGGAUUCCAUGGCUAGUUGUAUCCGAAAAGUAGCAAAAGAGGUAUUAGGAGAGUCCAAGGGCUUUGCCCCACACCAAAAGGAAUCUUGGUGGUGGAAUGAGGAGGUACAAACAAAGGUGAAGGCUAAGAAGGAAUGUUGUAAAGCCUUAUACAAGGAGAGGACUGAUGAAAAUGGUGAAAGGUAUAGAAAAGCGAAGCAAGAGGCGAAGAAAGCUGUCAGAGAAGCUAAGUUAGCGGCUUACGACGAUAUGUAUAAACGACUAGAUACCAAAGAAGGAGAGUUGGAUAUCUAUAAACUAUCUAGAGCAAGGGAAAAAAGAAGACAAGGGACCUAAACCAAGUGAGGUGCAUCAAGGAUGAGGAUGGAAAGGUUCUUGCUACAGAGAACGCGGUUAAAGACAGAUGGAGAGGUUAUUUUCAUAAUCUUUUCAAUGAAGGACAUGAAAUGAGUGCUUCUUUAGGGGAGUUGAGUAACUCAGAAGAGUGUAGAAACUACUCUUUUUAUCGUCGAAUCCGGAAGGAAGAAGUGGUUGUAGCUUUGAAGAAGAUGAAGCAUAAAAAAGCAAUAGGCCCAGACGAUAUACCAAUCGAAGUGUGGAAACUUUUGGGAGAGACAGGUAUAACAUGGCUCACUGACCUUUUCAAUAGGAUUUUGAAAACGAAGAAGAUGCCAAAUGAGUGGCGAAUGAGCACUUUGGUGCCUAUCUACAAGAAUAAGGGCGACGUACAAAAUUGCAUGAACUAUAGGGGUAUUAAGCUAAUGAGUCAUACAAUGAAGCUCUGGGAGAGAGUCAUUGAGCAUAGAUUGAGGCAAGAGACACGGGUUUCGGACAACCAAUUCGGGUUCAUGCCAGGGCGCUCAACCAUGGAGGCAAUCUAUCUCUUACGAAGAUUGAUGGAAAUAUAUAGAGAUGGGAAAAAGGAUUUACACAUGGUCUUUAUAGAUUUGGAAAAAAGCGUAUGAUAGGGUCCCAAGAGACAUUCUUUGGAGGAUUUUAGAGAAGAAAGGAGUAGUACGAGUAGCAUAUAUCCAAGCUAUAAAGGAUAUGUAUGAAGGAGCAAAGACUGCCGUAAGAACUCAUGAAGGACAAACCGAAAGCUUUCCCAUAACUGUAGGAUUACAUCAAGGCUCAUCCUUAAGUCCUUACCUUUUUGCGUUGGUAAUGGAUGAGUUAACACGACAUAUUCAAGAUGAUAUUCCUUGGUGUAUGCUUUUCGCAGACGAUAUAGUGUUGAUAGAUGAAACUCAGGAAGGGGUAAAUGCAAAGCUUAACCUUUGGAGAGAAGUGUUGGAAUCUAAAGGUCUUCGCCUAAGCCGAUCAAAGACAGAAUAUAUGGAGUGCAAGUUCAGUGCAAAUGGAGGCCAAAACGAGUUAGGGGUGAGGAUCGGAGAUCAAGAAAUACCAAAGAGCGACCGUUUUCGUUACCUAGGAUCUAUCUUUGCAAAAGAACGGAGAAUUAGAUGGAGAUCUCAACCAUAGAAUACAAGCUGGAUGGAUGAAGUGGAAGAGUGCAUCCGGCGUGUUGUGUGACCGCCGUAUGCCACUGAAGCUCAAGGGAAAAUUUUAUAGGACGGCAAUAAGGCCGGCGAUGCUGUAUGGCACAGAAUGUUGGGCGGUGAAACAUCAACACGUACACAAAAUGGGUGUAGCGGAGAUGAGGAUGCUUCGUUGGAUGUGUGGGCACACGAGAAAGGAUAAGAUUAGGAAUGAGGAUAUCCGGGGUAAAGUAGGAGUAGCCGAAAUUGAAGGAAAGAUGAGAGAAAAUCGGUUACGGUGGUUUGGACAUGUGCAAAGAAGGCCUACUGACGCUCCGAUUAGAAGAUGCGACUAUGGGACAGAGGUUCAGGGCCGAAGGGGUAGAGGAAGACCUAGGAAAACUUUGGAAGAGACUCUAAGAAAAGACUUAGAGUACUUGGAUCUAACGAAGGAGGACAUGACACAGGAUCGAGCACAAUGGCGUUCUAAGAUUCAUAUAGCCGAUCCCACUCAGUGACUUGGAUUUUCCAAGUCUCCAACCGAGAAGUUUUCCUCACUCGGGAAAUUAAGGGAACACUACCCCAACCUACAUGCUCCACUCAGAAAGCUUCAACAUACAAGCUUCAACAAAAGAAAAUUCAAAGAACUUAGCGAAGAAGGCUUUGGUGUAUUUAACACAAUACGUUGAAAUGAAGGAAAGCUUAUUUAUUGAUAUCCCCGAUAAGCUACAAAUAUGUACAUAUACAUGAGUCAAAAUAAACACAAGAGGGAGCCUUCACAAAGGUUGCUUAGGAGAAGUCUCAGCAGUCGGUAGAGCCCCAGAAAGAGAAGGCACCGGAGGGGGAUCAUUUGGAGCCUCAGUACUGGACAGAACCCUAGAAGGAGGAGGCAUCAGAGGUUGAUCAUUUGGAGCUUCAUUACGCGGUACAGCCCCAGAAGACGAAGGCAAUAAAUGCCUUUGGAACAAACCCACAAAUCUCUGAUGAUCAAGUAAAACCUGACCAUCAGUUUCCUUCAUCUGGUCAAGCUUCCUCUUCAUGUUUGUAGCAUAGUCAUGUGCGAGCCGGUGCAACUGUUUAUUCUCAUGCUUGAGCCCUCUAAUCUCCUGUUUGAGACUCAUCACUUCAGCCGCCAAUGAUUCAACUUGGCGGGUUCGAGCAAAUAGGCGUUGGGCCAUAUUAGACACAGAACCUGCACACUGAACACUGAGAGCCAGCGAAUCCUUAACAGCUAACUCAUCAGACCGUUUGGAAAGUAGUCUGUUAUCUUUGGGAGUGAGAAGGUUCCUGGCCACCACCGCAGCGGUCAUAUCAUUCUUCAUCACGGAAUCCCCAACGGUAAGAGGACCAGUAGGGGAGACGAAGGAUGGGCGCCAUAUGUUGUCUGGAGAAGGCGGGGCUGCCUCUUCAACAAGGUUCAAGUCAAAACGACGGUCGGAGGGGCCAGACAUUUUCAAAGGUGUUGAAGAGAGAAGAGGUCGGACAAAUCAAGAUCUUAGAAGUGCAAGAAUGAAGCUUCUACUGGUGGAGAUUCAAGUGUGCUUUGGAACUUAAUGCCAGCCCCUAUAUAAAAAUCUGCACUCGACGAAGCUUUAGAAAUCGAAGAGGCGCCUGCUCAGAAAUCGAAGAGGCGUUUGCUUUCUCAAAAGCUGGGCUGCUUAGAGAUCACGAGGGUUGAUCUCAGAAAUCGAAGAGGUGUUUGCUUUCUCAAAAGUUAGGCUGCUCAAAGACCACGAAGGCCGAUCUCAAAAAUCGAAGAGGCGCUCGCUUUCUCAAAAGCUGGGCUCCCCAGAGACCACGGGGGCCGAUAUCAGAAAUCGAAGAGGCACCUACUUUUCCAGCCUUUUCCAGCCUUGUCAGCACCUGUCACACGCACACUCAGUUUUGCGGAAAUUAUGGGCAUUCUGUCAAAGACUUCUGGGGAAGUAGAAAACACAUGAAUCUUACUGUUCAAUCACCCACUUCCCACACGCAACAAUAGCUCAUGGGUACCACAGAUAACUUUGCCAAAGUUCUCUGCCAAAGUUGAGCACGUGAAGCUUGCAGCUCCUACUACAUCGCUCUGACCAAGAAGGGUAAAAGAAUAGCAAAGAAACAGCACUAACAAAGUUUAGACCCAUAAAUUUUGAAGGUCUAGCUACCAUAUUAUUACCCACAAGGGUAAAGGAACAGUACCACUGCUGGAUAAUUGGAAAGUCCCUGUGUGUCAACCUCUGUGCUUCGUGGCAAGGUAGACUAGCAAACAUGCCCAACCUUUACUCACAUUCGAGAAAACACUCCCAAUAAGAUUGCUUGCUCCAAAAUCGAAGAGGCACCGUCCUCCGAAUCUCGAGAGCCAGACUCCCAACAUGACUACUUUCUUAAAAAUCGAAGAGAGAGGGUAAAGGAACAGUACCAUUGCUGGAUAAUUGGAAAGUCCCUGUGUGUCAACCUCUGUGCUUCGUGGCAAGGUAGACUAGCAAACAUGCCCAACCUUUACUCACAUUCGAGAAAAACACUCCCAACAAGAUUGCUUGCUCCAAAAUCGAAGAGGCACCGCCCUCCGAAUCUCGAGAGCCAGACUCCCAACAUGAUUACUUUCUCAAAAAUCGAAGAGACACUGCUCCCCGAAUCUCGAGAGCCAGACCCCCAGCAUGAUUGCUUUUUCAAAAAUCGAUGAGGCAUCGUUCUCCGAAUCAAUCGAAGAGGCGCUCGCUUUCUCAAAAGCUGGGCUGCUCAGAGACCACGAGGGCCGAUCUCAGAAAUCGAAGAGGCACCUACUUUUCUAGCCUUGUCAGCACCUGUCACACGCACACUCAGCUUUGCAGAAAUUAUGGGCAUUCUGUCGAAGACUUCUGGUGAAGUAGAAAGCACAUGAAUCUUACUGUUCAAUCACCCACUUCCCACACGCAACAAUAGCUCAUGGGUACCACAAAUAACUUUGCCAAAGUUCUCUGCCAAAGUUGAGCACGUGAAGCUUGCAGCUCCCACUACAUCGCUCUGACCAAGAAAGGUAAAAGAAUAGCAAAGAAACAGCACUAACAAAAGUUUAGACACAUAAAUUUUUGAAGGUCUAGCUACCAUAUUAUUACCCACAACUGUAAAGGAACAGUACCACUGCUGGAUAAUUGGAAAGUCCAUGUGUGUCAACCUCUGUGCUUCGUGGCAAGGUAGACUAGCAAACAUGCCCAACCUUUACUCACAUUCGAGAAAACACUCCCAAUAAGAUUGCUUGCUCCAAAAUCGAAGAGGCACCGACCUCCGAAUCUCGAGAGCCAGACUCCCAACAUGAAUACUUACUCAAAAUCGAAGAGAGGGUAAAGGAACAGUACCAUUGCUGGAUAAUUGGAAAGUCCCUGUGUGUCAACCUUUGUGCUUCGUGGCAAGGUAGACUAGCAAACAUGCCCAACCUUUACUCACAUUCGAGACAACACUCCCAACAAGAUUGCUUGCUCCAAAAUCGAAGAGGCACCGCCCUCCGAAUCUCGAGAGCCAGACUCCCAACAUGAUUACUUCCUCAAAAAUCGAAGAGACACUGCUCUCCGAAUCUCGAGAGUCAUACCCCCAGCAUGAUUGCUUUCUCAAAAAUCGAAGAGGCAUCGUUCUCCGAAUCUCGAGAGCCAGAUACCACAGACCACUUUUUCAAAGUGCUCUGACAGAGUUAAAACAUGUGAAACUGGCAGCUCCCACUACCGUGCUAUGACCAAGCAGGGUAAAGGAAUAGCAUUACUACUUGUUGUUAGGGAGACUCCUAUAUAUGUCGACCUCCAUCCCCAACGGACAGGCAGACCUGCAAAAAUGCUCAACCCUUCAUCAUAUCUGAGAGGGCACUCCCAACGAAGCCUUUCGAAAUAUUCAGCUUUCUUUCCCCCCGAUAAUACCUCUGCAAACAAGCUAUACUAGAGCAAGAAUAUCUCAUAUCAUCAGGGUUAAAAGCAAGAGUAUCCCAUAUCAUGCUUUUUCCCUGUCUUUUCUUUUUGGCCUUGUUUUUACCUGCAAGACAAGGAGAAAGAGAGCAAUCAGUCAGCACUUGGAAUCAAGCUUCCAGCCAGGAACUGACUGCCUGGAACCCCUUACCUGAUUACUUACCUGGCAUUGCUCUCGAGUACUCAUCUUCAACAUCUUAUGUUUCCAGGGAAGAUUCCGCAUCUGCUUGAGGAACAGAUAGGGCAAGUGCGAAGGAUACAAGGAAGCAUGUGGAGACAAGCGUAACAGCACACGUGCCGAUACAUUCAUUACUCUGUCAAAAGCAAAAGUAUCCCAUAUCAGCAGGGUGGAACGUACUCUAGAUUUGAUGGACUUGUUUUGACCCUCAAAUUCUUCAGUCGGCCUUAUACUCUGGAGAAAACCAGAAAACCCUCCAGCUCAGUUCAAGAAUAAGCCUGUGGAAAGUUACUUCUUCAAAAGCAAAAGUAUCUCAUAUCAUCUCUUCUCAUUUUUCUUCUCUUUUAUCCUUCAUGCUGCUGCAAGAUGGGGAGAAGGUGAACAAUCAGUCGGAGCUCUGAUUGCUUACCUUGUCUGUCACCUCUUUCAGCAGACCCCUAGCUCGGCGACUUGGGGGACUCCUACUACAUGGUUUGUAUCGCGCUUGACCAAGCCUGAAACUACAAGUAAGCUUCAAGUGAAAUUGAUACAUUACCUUGUGCAUCUCCACCAGUUAAAGAUAUCCACCCCUGGAUGGAGGAAGAGUACUUCCAGAGAAGAUGCCACAUCUACCUAUGAGACAGAUAAGGCAAGUCAAGACGACACCACACUCCGAUACUUAGAAGUUUCGUGAUUACGAGAUCAUUCUCCCACAAUAUUUCCUAAUGUCAUUUGUACUAAAAUCAUUCACUUGUACUCACUAAAUGAGAGCUUGAACCUAUGUACUUGUGUAAACCCUUCACAAUUAAUGAGAACUCUUCUAUUCCGUGGACGUAGCCAAUCUGGGUGAACCACGUACAUCUUGUGUUUGCUUUCCUAUCUCUAUCCAUUUAUAUACUUAUCCACACUAAUGACCGGAGCAAUCUAGCGAAGAUCAUAAAAAGCGAUCGUUUUCGCUACCUAGGAUCUAUCUUGCAAGAGAACGGAGAAUUAGAUGGAGAUCUCAACCAUAGAAUACGAGCUGGAUGGAAAGAGUGCAUCCGGCGUGUUGUGUGACCGUCGUAGGCCACUGAAGCUCAAGGGAAAAUUUUAUAGGACGGCAAUAAGGCUAGCGAUGUUGUAUGGCACAGAAUGUUGGGUGGUGAAGCAUCAACACGUACACAAAAUGGGUGUAGCGGAGAUGAGGAUGCUUCGUGGGAUGUGUGGGCACACGAGAAAAGGAUAAGAUUGGGAAUGAGGAUAUCCGAGGUAAAGUAGGAGUAGCUGAAAUUGUAGGAAAGAUGAGAGAAAAUCGGCUCCGGUGAUUUUGAACAUGUGCAAAGAAGGCCGACUGACGCUCCGGUUCGAAGAUGUGACUACGGGACAGAGGUUCAGGGCCGAAGGGGUAGAGGAAGACCUAGGACAACUUUGGAAGAGACUCUAAGAAAAGACUUAGAGUACUUGGAUCUAACGGAGGACAUGACACAAAACCGAACGCAAUGGCGUUCUAGGAUUCAUAUAGCCGACCCCACUUAGUGGGAAAAGGCUUUGUUGUUGUUGUUGUUGUUGUUGUUGAUUAAGCAUUAAUAUCAGCAUAAAGAAAAAUUAUUUUCUAUUUUUAAUUUGGAAAAUAAGACCUUUAGCAUAUUACUUCAUAAAUAUGUGUAUUUACUAUUUAUGCGUGCAUGCAUAUGUUUGUCUUUAUACAAUUUCAUGAUCACAUUGUACACUUCUAUGUAUCAUGUCUACCCUUUAUACACAUGAAAUAUCAUAUACAGUAAUUGCUUGUCAACACAUUCAUUAGAGCUUUACAAAUCGUUUAUCUAAUUUCUGUUUGAUAAGAUACAACAAAUUUAUCAGAAUAAAAUUUUGAUAAAAAUAGUGCACAUUAAAGCAAGAAGAAAGUAAGUUUUAAACAAGUGUCUUCCAACCUAUAGAAAGAGGGCUUCUCAAAAUUCCACCCAAAACUUUAACACUGAAAGCCUAUAAUAAGGCAACAUACAUUAUUCUACCCCUAAUUGCUACAAAUUCUUGAUGCUUGACCCAUAGCAAUUUUUCAGUGUGCAUCUCAAUAUUAACUUAGUCUUCAUCAUCCCAAGUCCUCAAAAAUGUAUACGCAAAAUAUGAGAAGUCAAAUGAAGCAAAACAAUAACUAACUUCGCUGCACAUAACAAUCUGCUCCAUAACUUAACCAAUGCAUAUGUUCAUCCAAAAGAAAAUGAUGCAUCUAUUCACCAUUCUUUCUACUGUUAAUUCACCAUUUACGAUAUAAAGAAAGGUCUGACUCACCUUCGAAGAAAAUUACUAGUGCUAAAUUUUUCAUAAGCUUUGCCCAAGGUAAAAGUUAACUUUCCUAGGAACCAGUGGAUUCCAUUAAAUCUUUAGGAAAAAAACUGAUAGAGUGACAACCAAUCAACCUUCAGAAUAAAGAGUUCCUACAAAAGAGUUCCUCAAAAUAAUUAGGGACCAAAGCCAUUAUGACUUGUUGCUCUUGAUAUGCAAUGGGUUUCUAUUGAGCACUUUCAUUUUGGGUAUUGUUGGUUAGAGACCAAAAGCUUGCAGCUCACUAAGAUAAAGUAAACGAGUAAACCAAUAUAUUGGUGGCAAUUGAUGUAUCAAAUGGUAAGAAUUAAUCUGACAAUGUGAAAAGGAUGGUGAUUUUCACACCCCAUUUACCUCCCGCACACUCUUUCGAUUUUUUAAUAUCUUUUUGCUCUUCCAUCACUUUGUCUUUAUUUUAGAGGUGGGCCUUCACCAAGAGCAAACAAAUAUUAAAAUUUUGAAAAUGUGUGGGAAGUAACAUGGGGUGUGAGAAAAUCACCACCCAUGUGAAAAAAUUAAAAAUCUUGUUAUAAUGAACCCAGUAGUGCUUAUUCUAGAACAGAAAACAAGCCAACAAACUUUGGUUGAGUACCUUGUGGGAGAAUCCUUGGUCAGAUGUCUUCCGUCCAUAUCCUUAGCAUUCUUUCUAACAUCCAAAUUUAGGUCCCCGAGCUUAGAGCAAGGUUCAAAGUCAGCCGCACAAUUCCUAGUUUUACUCAGAGAAAUGAUAUAAAUAAAUGACAACCAAAAAAGGUCCACAGAUCAAUAUCCAGAGUCACCGAAACCCUUGUUGGGAAAAACUACGGCAAAAAGUUUAAGCACUCAGAGACAAAGUACAACACAGAUAUAAUAUGGUUAUUACCUAUCAUGUGACAGAGUAGCUCCUUCACUAGUUUCAUCACAUGAUGACCUUGGGGUUGAAACAACACUUGUACAUUGUUGAACAUCAUCAUCUUCGUCGUCUGUCCCCAUAGAAGUAUUCUGAUCAUAAGUACAUAAAAUGAUGAACAUAAGAGGAACUUAAUGAUAAAUAAAAGGGUAAAUCGCCAAAAUGGUCCCUGAGAUUUGCAUAACUUAUCACUUUGGUCCCCAAGAUUCCAAAUCGAUAAAAGUGGUCCCUGAGAUUGUCCACCAUCCAUCAUUUUGGUCCUUCCGUUAAGUGUCCCAGAGCUCUUGGCCAGAAGUUUGGGCAAUUUUCAAAGCUUCGUAACUCAAUCGUUUCUUAACCAAAUUCGAUCCAUAAUAUAUCAAAAUGAAGAUAGGAAAGUGUAGAAUAAGAUUAUACCUAUUUCGAAGCCCAAUGGUUGCCGGAGAUGGCCGGAAAAUAGCCUCAAAGUUGACUGGUCCGAGCGAAAACUUGAAAACUCGCCGGAAACUGGGUAAACUUUAAACGUUCGUAACUUCUUCAAUACUCAACGAAAUCAAGUGAUUCAAAAACGAAAAUCAUACUUCUCGAUGAGACAAAGAGAAUGGUCUAGGUACCAUUCUCUUUGUCUUGUCGAGAAGUAUUUCUCUUUGUCUCGUCGAGAAGUAUAAUUUUCGUUUUUGAAUCACUUGAUUUCGUUGAGUAUUGAAGAAAUUACGAACGUUUAAAGUUUACCCAAUUUCCGGCGAGUUUUCAAGUUUUCGCUUGGACCAGUCAACUUUGAGGCUAUUUUCCGGCCAUCUCCGACAACCAUUGGGCUUCGAAAUAGGUAUAAUCUUAUUCUACACUUUCCUAUCUUCAUUUUGAUAUAUUAUGGGUCGAAUUUGGUUAAGAAACGAUUGAGUUCCGAAGCUUUGAAAAUUGCCCAAACUUCCGGUCAAGAGCUCCGGGACACUUAACGGAGUUUUUAAUGGAAAAUGAUGGAUGGUGGACAAUCUCAAGGACCACUUUUAUUGAUUUGGAAUCUCAGGAACCAAAGUAAUGAGUUAUGCAAAUCUCAAGGACCAUUUUGGCGAUUUAGCCUAAAUAAAAUAGAAGGGGAAAAAAGAACUAAUGUCACAUUGGAACACCACACCACCAAAGUUUCUCAUGCUUUACAAGAUUCUGUAAGAUCUUAUUUUCAAGUGUAGUCAAGGCUUCUUUAGGUAAAGUGACAGUCAGUACAUGCAACAGGAUUCAUACAUUACUACACAUCGUGAUUGAUCCAUAUCCUGGUCAACAACAUUGUGAUAUCACAGUUCCAACAUUUUUUCCCAGAACCCCACAAUGUUUCCAAUAAAACAGCUAGUAAGAAAAUCCGAAUCAGACUAAAAGAAGGUAUAGUUGAAAUGCUAAUUAAUGAUAAUAACACGUAAAUAUCUAUCUGACGUAAUGACUUUUAAUUUUACUCUAAGAGACUAACCAUGUGGAGAAUCUUAUUGAAAGAAACUUGUAAUGACUUUUAAUUUCAAUCUAAGAGACUAACCAUGUGGAGAAUCUUAUUGAAAGAAACUUGUAUCAUUAAUUUAUCAAAGCAAUAUUAUUUCUGAGGUUAAGACUAAGGGCCUAGGUAAGGGAACUUUUGUUGAGUACUAACAUAGUGAAUAUCACAAGCAAAACUAGUGCGAAAAAUAGUCACCAAUUCGAGAUAAAUUUUUUAAAUGAACCUACAAGAGUUACAGUGAAUGUGCUAUAAAAAGGUUAGAUUAGAAUUUGGUUUUUAAGAACUUCACAUAGGCUGUCUCGUACACUUGUGAUGUAGACUCAAGUUUUCAAACCCAAAGCGCACAAGUUUGCAUUAAUAGGCAAGGAAUUUAUAGUCCUACAUAUUGGAACUUGAAAUCAUGCACCAACUUUAUCUUCUUCUUCUCGACUGAAGCCCUUUACCUAGUGCAAGCCAGAGACAAAAUAAAGUAGUAGUACUGAACCAUUUGUGUUACUUAUAACCUUCUUCUUCUCCGUUGAAACCACUGCUCUAUACCUUUUAAGGAUAACAUUUUCCCAAUUAUUCCAUCAUUUCUCAAAGCUAACCAUGGUUAGGGACAUUAUGAGUCAGAGUAAUUAUCAAGGAAGUCAUUGAUACCCCAUCCUUCUUUCCCACUCGCGAUUACUACAUAUAUGAACCUUUUGUGGCUUUAAAAGGAAAUAUAGUAUUCAUCCAAAUAAUUUAAAUUUUUUCUGGAAAAUAAUGAUUACGUGAAUGCAAGUUGUUGCAAACAAUCUAAAACGUGGCUUUUUAUAACAACAGGAAAUAAACUAAUACUUGGUUUAGCACUGGGACUCAAAGAAACUCUAGUUCAGAACAAGAUUCCAAACAUAAAAUACUGAAGCAAAUGAUGCGGAAUACCUCCAUGAAACGGAUAUGAUACACGGGCCGCUUCUCAGGGUCUUUUGCCAAUGCAAGAAGCUUUUGAUGUAACAAGACAUCUUCCACUCUAUCCAAGUUAACAUCAAGUCCGUAACUGCGCAGAAAACAAAAUUAGUAAAAUAAAUAAAUAAUGUAGAAUUCAUAGAAUUAGGUUCAUCAUCCUCCACAUCUAAAGAAAAAUGAAACAUUCAUGCUAUGGCUCUUAUGAAGUUUUACAGUGGAAAAUAUCUUGGAAAAUAUAGUGAAUACUUUUCCCAGUAAGGUUUUAAACAAAGCUUCAACAUAACAUAAGGUCUGGAAAGGUUGGCCUUGAAAUAACAUUUCUUGACAGACCUAAGGAAAAUUUUGUGCCUCCUGGAAAGGUACUUCCAAAAAGAAUUGACUGCGAAGUGCGGAACUAAUUUCAGUCCAUACACACAUUGCAGAGUUUCAAUUGUAAACCUUUACACUAGUCACAUGGUCAAACCGACCAACUCUUACAGAAAUAAUAGGCAAGAAAACAACACUCAAACAGCACUGCCAGCUCAAAAAAUAAUCAGGUCCAUACAGAACAAAUAUUAGAUCACAUAACCAAUUUGAUAUUCAAACAUAUGCAUAAACUUAUUCGUGCUCAAACAUUAAAAACUUCACUGAUACUGCUCCGAAAGCAUAUUAACUCAAGAAAUCAAUCAUGUUGGGAUCAUCAUUUGAGACUCUAAGAGCUUCAUAAGGGUUCGUACUUCAAUAAUACGGUUCGUACCAUAAUACACCAAUCCCAAAACUACGGAGCACUGGUUAACCAAAUAUCUUCGAAGACCUACUGAAGGGUUCAUGUUGAGACACCCCUACCUAAGCACAUGAGUUUCUCUCCAACCAGGAGCCCAAUCACAAUGCUAAAGCUUCUAAAGUCCCACAUCAACCACAGACGAAAUAGGCAAUUCUCCUCAACUAUAAAAGGAGAUUGUUCUCCCACAAUUGAUCCCUGAUGAUCUUAUUUUGCUUAAUCCACUAUUAGAACUCACUAAGUAAUGAUUCUGUCUAAAUCCUUGUAUCAUGUAAACUCUCUCUACAUUAUUUAUGAGAACUCCUCCAUCCGACGUAGCCCAAUUUAAGGUGAACCAUGUAUGAUUGCUGCCCUUUUAUCCCUUAACUCUGUACAUACUCUCAUCACUAGGUGACCGAAGCAACUUAGCAAGGAUCGCAUAUUGACACUCUACGUUAUUCCAAAGUCAACCCAGUUUUGUGCAUCAACAAAUACAAUAAUGUUUUGUUCUGAAAAAACUAAUUCCAGAAAUAAAUCAAUGGCGGAAGUUCGUUAAAAUUAAAGAAUAAAAAGAAAUGAAAUGAAAAACAAUCUUAUAGAGGAAAGCGAUCGAAGGGGAAUACCUAGGCGGCAAGCGGUUGAAGUGACCGUCCAACUGUUCACGGAAUUCGGGCAGAGUCAGAGCGUCUUCAUGGCCGCUCUCCACCAAGCGGUUGUAGACAUCGUUUCGGACAUCGUAGUUACUGAAGCUGACGAAGCUUCUCGGCGGCGACGAGCUCUCUCCGACGCCCUCGGUCAAAUCCAUAGGGGAAGCUCAAGUCAGCAGGUUUUCCACGAAAAUACAGAAGAGAAGGAGGAGAAAGCGAGCUCGGAGAGUUGUCAAUGAUAAGCAGAGGAUCUUUGACUGUUGGUGGAAUCCGGGAAGAAGACGAGGAUCUGUUGGGGAUUUCGGGCGGAAAGCAGAGGGCAAUUUCGUCAUACAAAAUCACUGUAGCAUCGUGAAGUUUCUCGAGAGCGAAGGCUAGUUUGGAGGAGAGAAUGUCAUGGUUGGAGUGAGUGAGUAGAGAGACAAAAGAAGACCUCCGUCUCAGCAAGAGAAAACUUUUUCCAUUUUUUAAUUUUUUUUUUAUAUAUAUUAUAUAUCAAAUAAUGUGGAUUGGAUAUGGUUGAAAAUGUGGGACAAUAUAAUAAUGUUUUGUAGUUAAGAAAACGCCUCGGUUUUUGAUAGAUUUUUUUUCAAUGUGAUCGUAUAUACGAAACGGUAUGUUAUAUGUUGUUGUUAAAGUAAAAUAAAAUUUUAUUUUAAAUUUAUUCUCUUAACUUAUAUAAUAAUUUAUGAUAUAUGUAACCGCGUUUUGGAUAUAUUGAAAAACCACUCUUAAAUUUUGGGCACAAUUUCAUGUGAGUCACAUCAUGUUGUAUAGGAGAAAAUAUGGCCUGCUGUUUACAAGUAAUCACAUAAAAAAGCUCAUACCAUAAUUAUGACGCAAUUGUAUAUUUAUUCUUUCUCUAAUAAUGGAUUCUCAUUUUGUAGAGAGGGAAAUGUUAAGGAGACUCAUAGUUUUUUAGGAUUGUGUUAUUCACACAUCCUGUUUAUCUUUCACAUAUUCCUCUUAGUUUUUACAAUCGGACCGAAUUAAUUAAAAAAUAUUAAAAAACAGAAAUUAACAAAAAAUGUGUAGAAAGUAAAAAUAAGAUGUGGAUAACACCACCUUUUUCUUAUUGUGAGUAGCAUAUCUAAUCACUAGAAGCAUUAGAUAUAUCCUAUGGAAGUUGAAAGCAAGUGUUCUGUUUAUAAGUGCUUACAAAAUUAUUUUUUAUUUAUUUAAUACGAAAAAGAGAUUACAAAGUAGAAGUGCUUAAGAGAAUAACACACCAAAACGAUCAAAAAGCAUCUGGCACAUAUAAAGGUACCAUUAUUCCACAACUGAGAAACGUGGAACUUUAUGUCCUAGGGCGUCCGCUACAAAGUUGACCACGAAGAAAGGAAUGAGAGUCCGAAUGUCUUUGAGUAAAGUAACGAGCGUCCAUGGAAGUUGAAUAUAGUGUAGACAACAAUCAUGACAUCCCCUUCAACUUUGACAUCUCUCCACCUAUGAGUGAAGGAUAGAGACACACUUUGAUCCAGAUAUCCAGGUAGACACUAAAAUUGAGGCAUGUUGACUAACAUUUAGAAGAUCACGAAGUCAUAACAUGUAAAUAAUGUGUAGAUUGUAUAAAUAAAUUAAAGAUUAUAAAUGCAUGUAAUGAAAAGAAGAGUAUCUAAUUAUACACAGCCAAUAUUCAAAACAUAUAGGUAUGUACACGCAAUUUAAAAUUAAAAAAAAAAAAGAUUCUGGAUUGUACUUAAAAGUAACAUUCGCCUUAAAACAUUCAUAAAUUCAUGAAAAUAUGACUUGAGCUUCUCCUAUGGACAUGGAAGAUAUGUUUGGUGAUGCAUUAGAGUAUGAUCCGCAUACAUCUUUGCAUAUAAAUUGGCCAAGAUAGGAAGUCUUUGACGGAUUAUGCCGUUUACCGCAGUAGACUUCGAGUUUUAGAAGACCAUCACACUCUUUGUAAUGGUAUGGUCAAUCAGAUGGUCGAGUAAAGAGUCACUUAAUUAAUAUUGCUUGUUCUUAUGUUCCUUUAUUUUUAUUUUUAUUUUUGAAGUCGGGUAUGAUUUAAUUUACGUAAUUGUUUAAUUUUAUUUAUGUAAUUGUGUGUUUUUAUGUAAUAGUGUGCUUUUAUUUAUAUUCUCAGUAUAACAACAAGUAUAAGCACGAAGAUAAUUAUCAUUAAGAAUAUUGACAUUAAAUUACAUAAAAGCAUUGAGUAAAUAGCAAUCAUAAAAAUAUUAACAUUACAUGAGCAUAAAAGAAUUGAGUAAAUAUAAUCAUAAACGUCACUGUACGUGGCAACAUGCUGCUAGUUGAUGAUUCAGUGGUUAAGGACGGAUUACAAGGCUUUCUUCAAACUAAAAAUUGGAGGUAUCGGGUCCGAACCUUGCUACUGGUGUGGACGCUAGACUUGUGACCAGGAGGAGGCUAAAAUGUCUCUGUAAGUCUUCCCGGCCCUUGAAAGAGAUGGAUAACCGUAGCUUACCAAUUGUUAUCCGCUCUAUAACCAACGGGGAGCUCUCCGUAGCUCGUUUGACUUCAGCAGUGAAUGAAUCAAAUAUCCACGUCGAUCUGCUUGAGGUAGCUAGAUCACCCUAAUCUAUGGAAGUUUAUUAUUUCCAAAUCUAUCUACGAUUAACCCCCAAUAUUUUCAAACAUAAUAAUACUUAACGAAGUGGAAUAAAAAUAAAUAAAAUAAACUUUGAAUUUUGCUACAGAUACUCGAGGUGUACAUAUACAAUAUGUGGACAUAUAUAUACCUUGACGAGAAGCUUGAGGCAAAUAUCAUCAGACUGGGCUGCAGAGCCCUUGGUCGUUUUGUUCUUAUUUCUGGCAAAAAGAUCAACCUCCUAUACAUCAGUACAUACAAUAUUAUUAAGUAAUAUACAUGCAAUACAAAAACGAGAUAGAGAGGGCGCUUGGAGCGCAAUUGCUUGGUUGCUGCUAAUGCCGAUGAAGCAAAGGUUUUUAGAAGCUUUAUAGAAUAAUGGAUAUAAUGGAACUUGAUGACAUAUGUGAGAAUAUGAUGAACGUUAUAUUUUUGAAGCUCUUUUUAUUAUGCCGACAAAUAUAUUAAUUUAUAUUUCUGAAAUGGUUUAUAGUGUGAAUAUUGUAGAGUAAAAUUUUGGUGCAUCUGAAAAACCAUCACGUGUUAUUAUUUCAUUCAAAACUAUAACACAUGUAUUUUCUUUUUUUAUUUAAUAUUCCUAAAAGACUAACAUUUCAACUAUGUACCAAAGCUACGGAAGUUUGUAGUUUCGAAUAUAUUGGUAGCUAAAUCACCCAACUCUACAACUUCAUUGCUUCGACUUUCUUUUGGCUAACAAAACGCCAAGCCAAACGACUUUGGAUAAAUCUUUAUCCACCUGCUAACCAAUCAUUUAUGCCCAGCUCUACCAUAAGAAGGAGAGGUUGUUCCGAAAGAGAUUUGCAAAAGGUUUUGUUCCAAUAAGGAUACUACUGUUCAACUCUCCACGAAGUUACACACAAAAAAUAAUAAUAAUAAUAAUAAUAAUAUGCACUUGUGAGAAGUGCCAACACUGUGCCACGAUCCCACACAUUCAUGUUAAACCUCUUAGAAGAGCAUAGGACCAGGUUGACGUAAGGAACGUCGCUAAUCAAGACGUCUCAAAUUACUACGGUUCUAGAGUCAACGUCUGCUCUUUAAAACUAUGAGACUAGGUGUUGAAGAAGAAAAUAUCAAAUAAACAAGACUCAAUUGUGAGUACACUUGACAUGAAUUGGGACAGACCAUACGAGAUCAUUGACAUAUAUCGCCCAGGCACAUACAUACUUAAAGAUGGCAGAACACAUGAUCAUCCAUGUAAUGUUGAUCAUCUAAAGUAUUACUACAAGUAGACAGUUCAACAUACUUAGUGAAGAGUCAAUUCAGACAAACUUUGUCUCAACCUGACACCUUAAACAAUCGUACUUAGCCAAACUUUAAAACAAACCAACAUUAUAACUUAAAAGCUCAUCCAUACAUACCUCAAUGAAGUUUAAAACCACCUUCAAAAAGGAACAUGAUUCAUAAGAGCAUCAACAUAAACUUUAAACAUGAUAAAAAUUCCACGAAGACAAAUCCACAAGGUAUCCAAGUCAAUGAUCAAUCAUAUUUAAAGCCAACAUUAGUACAUAAUUUUUUUAUUUUUAAAGUCAACAAGAGAAUACAACCUAAGUUUAGGACGCAACAAUCAACAUUCUCAUAAUAAAACUAAGAGACCACAAAUUCAUUCUCAAAGCAAAGUCAAGAUGCAAUAAUCAUCUUACAAAACCAUUUUGUUUUUUUUUUUCAAUAUAUUGAAUGAUGAGGUGUAACAACCCGUCCCAAAUUUUACAAUUUUAUAAAUUUUAAAAGUGUGAAUUGAUGAAAAUGCCCUAGAGGCAAGGAUUUUGACUUCCGUUGACCAUCAAUUUGAGAGAUGUAUGACUUAUUCUUUUAGCGUAAUUGUGUAGUACUCGUUAGUACGAACGCAUAGGUGAAGACCGUUUGCGAGUCUGAAUUAUAAUGGUAUAGAUAGGGACAUUUGAAAUUGUGUUACUAAACUAUAGAUUUAAAUUUAAUUAAGCUUCCCUCAAAUGUAUGUUAAUUAUGGGACCAAUUAGAUAAAUAUUUGAGGGACCAAUCAGCAUGGGUAACGAAAAGGGGAUCAGCCAAUCAGAAAAAAAAAAAAAAAAAAAAAAAAAGAGGGAGGGGGGUGGACUCCCAACUUUCCCGUGCACCCUUGAACCAUCCCGAUUUCAAAUCGGCGAACUUUCGCCAGUUUUUUGUUGAUCACCACCAUCCAUCACCUGCAACAUCUUUCACAUCUUCCCCUCUACUAUUUCCACUCAAAUUUGGGAUUUUUUUUAAGGUCAAAACCUUGUAAAACUGUGAGGGGUGGCCGAAAGUGUUCCACGGCGAUUCUGCCGUUCCGGCGAGUUUCACCACUCAUCACCACCUCUAAUCUACUCCCCUUGGACCCAGGAACAAAGCCCAAACAACCUUGGAGGCGUCGGAGCACCGGUGACGACGAAUUAAAGCACACCCAUUCUAGGGUUCUGGUGGGUUCGUGGAAAAUUGAGGCUCUUCCAGGUCAAAUUGGCCUUGGUCAUAGGUAUGAAAGUUGCUCCACUCAUUGAGAUCUUCAUUUCUGUGAAGUUUGAGAAUUUUUAGAAAUAGUUGGAUUUUCCGACGAGUUGGGGUGGCCGACCACCACCCACUGCGGCGCGUGCGGCGGCACGUGGCCACUUUUAGGCUAAAUUAGAUGUCUUGAAUUCAGUUUUGAUAUUCGUAUAAUGUAGGUUGAUCGUUUGAAUCUAAAUUCAUUACGAUACGUUAUUUGGUAAAAAUGUGAAUCGACGAUCCAACCGUUGGAUCGUCACUAAACUUUAAUACAUUCUAGUACAUAAUAUUUAAGGACCAUAGAAACUUACGGAUUAGGAAUCUGAUGAACAAAUCUUCCUGAAUUGGAUUUGUAAGUUUAUAAAAUAAAUGUUAACCGUCAUUUAGUUUUGGCAAUUGACGGAAGUCCGACCGUUAGAUCGUAAUGAAAUUUUAGUAUGUUAUUCUAGAAGCAUAAUUUGGAUCUUUAGAAGUUUCGGAUUGGAAAUCUGAUAUGCGGAUCUUCCGAAGUGAGUUUACAGGGUUGUAGACCCAACCGUCGAUCUUUGAUCGACGGUUGACUUAUGGUCAAUGGGUCUCAAACUAUUUUAGAAUGUCCUUGAGAAUGUGUUUUAUGUGAAUUACAUAUUCUAUUGAUAAGAGUUAUGAGAUGUGAUUAUGUAAUUGUUCUAGGCGCCAAUUAUUCGAGACGCCUCAAUGCAAGUGCUAGAGAAUCAUAGUGUGGACUCUAGGUGAGUGGGUCUUUUCCUUUUAUCAUAGGUAUAUAAUUGAUAGUUCCUCAAAUGCUUCUAAAGUGAAUUAUGCAUGUUACCUACAAUUAAUUAUUGUGAACUACGAAUGGCUUAAUCCCUAUUUAGGGUACAUAGGCAGUCUAACGAUACGUUAGAUGCAGCCAUACAAUAAAUGAGACUAACUAACUGAGACAAUAGUCUUGUUUAGGGAAUUGAGUAAUGUGAGGGACAUUGGUGGAAAAUAUAAGAUUUAACUUUAUGAUUUGGUGUUUAAAUAUUGGUCAUAAAUCAAUGAAUGAAGAAUCAGGAAUUUGAAGUAAGGAAACGUAAGUAAUGAUGGUUAAUUAAACUAGUAUCUAGUAGGGCUUACCAUUGAUAAUUAUCUCCGAAAAUAAGUAGUUCGGGAGUAGGGCGUUAUAGAUUAUGCAUUUCACACCAUGUUAUAUAUAUACUUGAAAAUACUAUGUUAUAGUUGAGUUUUAAAUUGCAUCAUGACAUAUUUAUAUGUGUAUCACCUAAACCUAAUUAUUGUGAAUGCUUCGAAGUGCCAAAUGAUGUUGCGGACGCCCAGGUAAGCUUCAGGUGAGUACACGUUGAUGAUAGUGAUGGUAGUGAGAUAUGUGAUGAGAUAUUAAUUGGCUAGCAUGUUGAUGAGAUAUUGAUUUAGCCGUACAGUUCACGUGAGGUGACUCUGGCUAGUAUAUUGAUGAGAUAUGUGAUGAGAUAUGGAUGAUGAGAUAUUGAUUUAGCUGUACAGGUCACAUAAGGUGACUCCAGCUAGUAUAUUGAUGAGACAUGUGAUGAGAUAUGGAUGAUGAGAUAUUAAUUGGCUAGCAUGUUGAUGAGAUAUUGAUUCAGUCGUACAGGUCACGCUAGGUGACUCCGGCUAGUAUAUUGAUGAGAUAUAUUAAGAGAUAUAAAUAAAGUUGUACAUGUCACUAUAAGUGACUCUGACUUAUAUGCUAGCAAUGAUUAAUAAGAUAUAUGAGGAGAUAUAAAUAAAGCUGUAUAGGUCACUAUAAGUGACUUCGGCUUAUAUGCUAGGAACGAUUAAUGAGAUAUGUGAGGAGAUACGGAUAAGUUGUACAGGUCACUAGAGGUGACUCCGACUUAUAAGCUAGCAUAUGUGACGAAUAUGUGAUAAGCUAGCAUAUGUGAUAAAUAUGCGAUGAGCUAGCAUAUGUGAUGAAUAUGUGAUAAGCUAGCAUAUAUGACGAAUAUGUGAUAAGCUAGCAUAUGUGAUAAAUAUGUGAUAAGCUAGCAUAUAUGAUGAAUAUGUGAUAAGCUAGCAUAUGUGAUGAAUAUGCGAUGAGCUAGCAUAUGUGAUAAGCUAGCAUAUGUGAUGAAUAUGUAAUAAGCUAGCAUAUGUGAUGAAUAUAUGAUAAGCUAGCAUAUGUGAUGAAUAUGUGAUAAGCUAGCAUAGGUGAUGAAUAUGUAAUAAGCUAGCAUAUGUGAUGAAUAUGCGAUAAGCUAGCAUAUGUGAUGAAUAUGCGAUGAGCUAGCAUAUGUGAUGAAUAUGCGAUGAACUAGUAUAUGUGAUGAGAUACAGGUAAGUCGUACAGGUCACCAUAGGUGACUUCAACUUGGGUACUAGCAUGAGUUAUUAAUCACAUGAUUAUUUGAUAUUGCUAACGAGAUGCUGUCUUGUGGUAUAUUUAUGAUAUUUUCUGAAAAUUAUACAGGUGUUGUAGCGAGGGGUUAUAAUGUUUUAAAUGGUUUCUAUUAAAAUUUAUUCACAGGGCUACUCACCUUUGUCUUGUCUUCACCCUCCAGGUUUUAUUAGCUGAGUUUUCUUAUCGUUGAAGAUUCGUGGCGGUUCUUGGUAUUGAAGAUUAUUUCGAGGGUACAAUUCUUAAUUCACUCUUAUGUACUUGCUUAUGCUCUAACAUUACGUGUGAAGUAGAUUCAUUCCCGCUCACCGGUGUACUCUGGUAUUUAGGCACUCUUAGGUUUUAAAUUAUUCACAUUUUUCCACAUCAUCACACUUUAUGGAUUCGUCACCUUCCAGGUGUCGGCCAGCACAGUUCGAUUCGGAGUCCUAGUAAACAUUCCGGGUCGGGGUAUGUUAUGAGGAGUGGCUAGGUUAAAGUUGUGGGGCAAUAUGUUAUGAAAGAAGCAGAAGCGAGAAUGUCAACUUGAGUAACAUAAACAUUGGUGAUGGGUUCUCCAUUAAUUUUCAUUUCUUCUAUGCAACGCGGGAUAGGUCAACAUGGUAGCUUGAUAUAGAAGAAUAUAUUUUGUGUUUUAGAAACAAAUUUUUUGUGAGUCACGUCGUAUUUUAUACAAAAAAAUGUGGGCCAUGAACUGCUAUUUACACAUAAUCACAAAAAUAAAUAAAUAAAUUCAUGCCAUGAUUAUGAUGUAGCUCCACAACUAUAAGCUUAUCUGGGAUGCAUUCUGAUAAGCUGACGAACUAGUGUACACAAUUGUAUUUUCAUUUGUUCGAAUAACUGGAGUUGAAUUUUGUUUAGUAUUAUCAUGUUUAUUUUUAUUUUUAUUUUUUACCUUAAGUAGCAUAUCCGGUUACUAGAAGCAUUACACAUAUCUUAUCUAUUUUCAUGUAAUGAGAGUGUGAGGCAAGUGUUUUGUUUAAGAAAAUGUUGAUAAGACAACUUUAUUUGGUACGGGAAAGAGAUUACAAACGAAAACACCUAGGGCGUAAUAAAGGGUAGAACUUGCAUAGGAAAAUUCUAUUCGAACCAAAAAGUUAUCAAAUAUUCUAUCCAAUUUAAAUAUGAAUCCAUGAAGUUUCGAAAUCCGAAAAAUUAAAAAAUACUGGAUAAGAACAGGAAUACAAUUUGCAAUUUGUAUAACAAUCUGUCCUUAAUUUUAAGAUUUUAUUAAUUUUAAAUGUGUGAAUUAAUCAAAAUGUUCUUAAAGGUUAGAUUGUUGACUUUCGUUGAUCGUUAUCUUAUAAUACAUACAAGCUACUAUUUUACUGUAUUUGCAUAUUACUCAUUACUACGAAUGUACAUGAUAAAGAUUUUACGAAAUUACGAAAUCAGGAGGUAUUUUAGCAGAUUCACUAUUCUGGAUAAUUUUUUCCUUAUUAUUUUAUAUUUUUCUGGUGGAAUUUUGUGUCUUGUGGAACCCAUACCCCACUUCUUCCUUGUCCCCGUGUCCCAUUUUCGCCAUACUUCUUGGUCUCUCUCAUUUCAAUCUCUCUCUUUGCCUUGUCACUCCAUCUCUUCUUCUGCCACCUUACCACCACCUACUCUCUCUCUCUAAAAAUCUCUCAUCUCUCACUCUCCAUUUAUUUGUCUCUCGGCAAACACCGAAUGGGUGCAAUGGCAACGCCAUCAUCGCCGCUAACCUUGUUACCCUGACGAGAUUUACGAGUUUUCCAGCCCAGAAACUAGGAUCUCAUACUGCCAACUCAACCCAGACAUGAACUUGCGCUGCUAGUGGUCGCUGCACUGUUCACUGUGUUCUCUGGCGAGGUUCUCAAUUUUUUUCGACUAAGGUGUGAUAAUACACCACUAAUAAUACCUUCGAAGAACUCACAGAAAGAUACAGAGAUCAAAGAGAAAGAAGAAGAGAAAGAAUAGAGAAAGAAACUGUAUUGAUUUGUGUAUAUUCCUUACUGAAUUACAAUAUCUGUUAUUCAGUUAUUUAUACAUGGAAUCCAAACUUAGCUAGUAAGCUAUUCACGUAACUAACUAACUAACAUAAGCUGAAUUGGCUGUCUAUCUGACCCUUGAAUGUUGUAAUGAGUUGGCAGUUCAUCUAGCCAUUGAUUUAUGAUACUCAACAUUCCCCCUCAAUCGUGGCUGGGGUACUCAGCCUAAGAUUGUAACAAUGUCGAAGAAAGGCAAGGCUGUGAAGACCUUUUGUAAGAACAUCCGCAGUUUGAUCUUCAGUUGGAAUGUAAACCACCUUCAGAUCUCCUUGUUGAACACGUUCUCUCACAAAAUGAAAGUCAGUAUCAAGAUGUUUGAUACGAGAAUGAAAAACAGGAUUUGCAGUAAGGGCAAUGGCUGACAUAUUAUCACAAUGAAUUAUGGGAGGUGAAGGCAUACACACUUCUAAAUCCUUUAGGAUUCCCCUUAUCCAAGCAACAUCAGCUGCGGUAUGGGCAAGAGCCUUAUAUUCAGCCUCAGUUGAGCUUCUUGAUACUGAACAUUGUUUCUUUGAUUGCCAAGACACGGGAUUGUUGCCUAGAUACACUACAUAUCCUGUGAUUGACCUUCGAGUAUUGAGAUCAGCUGCCCAAUCAGCAUCUGAAAAAGCAGUGAUUGUCCUUGUCGUCAUUUGAUUAGCUGAAUAUAAUAUCCCAUGGUGCAGUGUACCAUGAAGAUAUCUGAGUAUUCGUUUCACUGCUGCAUAAUGCCUUUAUGUCGGAGAACUCAUGAACUGACAUACUGUAUUAACCGCAUAUGCAAUAUCGGGCCUAGUCAAGGUCAGAUACUGCAACGAUCCGACGAUACUCCUAUAAAGCGAUGGAUCAGACAUUAAAGAACCAUCAGAAAAUAGCAUUUGAUCAUGAGGUUUGCAUGGAGUAGCAGCAGGUUUACAUGUGUCCAUACCUGCCUUAUGGAUCACAUCCUUUAUAUAUUUUGAUUGAUGCACAAAGAUAUCCCUAUUAUUCUUAUACGAGAACUGCAAUCCCAGAAAAAAUGUCAAUUGUCCCAUAUCCUUAAGAUCAAAGACUUCAGAUAACUCAUCAAUCAUCUUUUGAAUCUUGAUAGAAUUGGAACCGGUCAAUAUAAUAUCGUCAACAUAAAGGAGAAGAAUAACAAUAUCCCCAUCAUCCUGCUUGAUAAACAAACUUGUAUCAGAAACUGAAGCCUGAAAAUUCAUGGCAGUCAAGUAAGAUGUGAACUUUGAAUUCCACACCCUUGGAGCUUGUUUCAAACCAUAUAGGGAUUUGAUUAAUUUGCACACAUGAGUGGGAUGGGAUGCAUCGACAAACCCUUGUGGUUGUUUCAUGUAAAUCUCUUCUUGCAAGUCACCGUGCAAGAACGCAUUUUUAAUGUCAAGCUGUCGAAGUUUCCAAUGGUUACUUGCUGCUAAGGCCAAUACAAUCCUCACCGUAGUAUGCCUCACUACCGGACUAAAGGUAUCCAAGUAAUCAAUACCUUGUUCCUGAGAAAAUCCUUGAGCCACAAGCCGUGCUUUAUACCUGGAAACACUGCCAUCAGGAUUUUUCUUCACUUUAUACACCCAUUUGCUGCCAACAAUAGAUCUGUCACUUGGAGGUGGUACUAGAAUCCAAGUGCCUUGACUUCGAAGGGAAUCAUAUUCUUCUUGCAUCGCUUGCUGCCAUUGGGGUAGUGAAGCAGCUUUUCUAAAUGUAUUUGGUUCAGAGGUAUCAGUGAUGGCAGAAAUAAAACUAUAGCCUCCACUAAAACAAUCGUCUUCAGUGAGCUGCAAAGAUUGCAACUCAGGAAAUGAUGUUAUAAAUGCAGUAUAAUCUCGUCUUUGAAUGACACCACUUUUCAACCUUGUUACCAUCUGGUGAACAGACUCAGAAGGAUUUAUAUUAUCAGAAGGAUCUGUGGUAAUGAAAGAUUCAUUUUGCGAUGAAAAUGGCAAGAUUACCUGAAGUUGGGAAUCUGAAUGGACAGGCAACACUGAUGAUGUACCAGAGUGAUGAUGAGGGGAAUAAGACUCUUGAUCUCGCUGUGAAACCAAAACUGACUCCCUAGAAUCUCUUGAUUGUGACUCAAUUACAGUAUUCAUAACUGGUGUAGCCGAUGACACUGAAUUGCCUUCUUCUGGAAUACCAUGAUCAUCAUGCUGUACAUUGGGAGUAUUUGAAGCUAGAUGAGGCAUUCGAAUAGCUAUAUACUGUUGAUGAGACUUUAGAGAAAUUCCUGAAUUGACACCUUUGGUACAAGAAUCUAGUUGAAAAGGAUAAACAUCCUCAUCAUGUAUAACAUGCCUUGAAAUAAUGAACUUCCUACUAUGAAUAUCAUAACAUAGCACUCCUUUGUAUCCCAUUGCAAAUCCAAGAAAAACACAUUGACUUGAUCUAGCUUGUAGCUUAUUUCGAUUAUAAGGUCUAAGAUAUGGAUAUAUUGCUGUCCCAAACACUUUAAGAUUGUGGAUUGCAGCAUUGUCACCAAACAAAAUCUGAUAAGGUGACUUAUGAUCCAAACCUUUGCAUGACAUCCUAUUUAUCAAAAACGCAGCAUAUGAACAAGCAUGAUACCAAAACACAAUAGGAAUUGAAGCUUCUGUCAUCAAACUUAAAGCAGUUUCAACUAAAUGCCUAUGCUUCCUUUCUGCAAUGCCAUUCUGUUGAGGUGUAUAAGGACACGAAAUCUGAUGCAGAAUACCUUUUUGAUCCAGAAAACCUUUCAUCAUACUAUUGGCAUACUCACCACCACCAUCAGUUUGAAAACAUUUAAUUGAACUGUUAAACUGUGCCUGAACAAAAGCAUAAAACUUGGCAAAAAUCGGAAACACAUCUGAUUUAUUUAUCAUUGGAAAAAUCCAUACAAAUCUUGAGAAGUCAUCUACAAAGCUGACAUAAUACCUAUACCCUUCUAUAGAUCUCUGUGGAGAUGGUCCCCAAACAUCUGAAUGUAUCUUUUCAAAUUUAUGUGUUGCUCUAGCUUGUUUUACAGAAAAAGGUAAUCUACACAUUUUCCCUGAAAUACAAGCUGUACAAAUAGUAGAAGAGAAAUCUUUAUGAACUGAUAUACUCGCAUUUUUCAACAUUGUAGACAGUACUUCUUCAUUUGGAUGUCCCAAUCUCUUAUGCCAUAUUGAACUUGUCACUUUCUUUCCAAGAAAUGCUCCACAGUGCUCCAACUUUGCAGCAAAUGAACCCUUAAAGACAGAUACUGGUAUCUUGAACAAUUCCCCAUCAUCACUCUUUCCUUGGUACAAAAUCACUCGGGUUGCCUUGUCCUGUAUAAAGAACACCAAAAUCAUCACAAAUAAACCAACAUCCAUUAUCUCUACAUAAUUUCUUAACUGACAACAGAUUCAUGGCAAUAAGUGGAACAUGUAAUACAUUAUUUAGCACAAAGGUAUGAGUAUCAGUAACAAGUUCAGAAGCACCAAUAUUCUUAACAUUCAAACCUUCUCCAUUUCCUAUGGUGAUUUUAGAGUCACCAUUGUAAGGAGUGGCCUGAUUAAGAUGUUCAAGAUGAGCUGUCAUAUGAUGAGUGGCUCCUGUGUCAACCACCCAAGUAUCGGCAUUAGAAAAACCAUGGACAUUCUGACUUGCUUGUGGCACAUUUGAUGUUUGAGCAGCCAUUCCCACAGGUGUGAGAUUCAAUGAUUGUGGUGGAGGAGGUCCUUGAUAAGAGUAAUUAUUCCUGUGAUAGCACUGUAUAGCUGUAUGACCCUUCUUACCACAUAUCUGACAGAAAAUGGGACCUUUAAAAUUUCCUUGAGCACUAUCUGUCCUGUAAUAGCAAUUCGGUGCAGUAUGGCCUCUUCUUGAACAAAUUUGACAUUCUGGAGAUAUGCCAUAUUUGUAGUUUGUAUUGCCAUGCCAACUGCUUCCUUGGUUAAAUCCACUUCCACUUGAAAAGUUACUGGAACUACCAUAAGAACCCUUUUGAUUGUUAACAGAACCAUUGAAACCACCACCUGAACCAUAAGAAUCACUAAACCCAUAAGACCUAUUCCCAAAGUUGGAAUAAGAUCUUGAAUUAUUGGUAUUACCAUUGUUUCUCCUAUUACUGUUAUUGUUGAAAUUCGACCUCUGUUGGAAAGAUAUUCCACCAUUUGCAGCAAAACCUGAACCCCCAUUAAAAUUGCCUGGACCAUUAAGCUUCUAUGCAUUCGAGCUUUCACCUUGUUCAAAAUUCUGAUAUCUUCCUUGACCUCCUUGUCCAUUUGGCAAAUCACCAUUAACAUACAUUGCCGACAUGGUUCCAGCAAGAUUAUUCAUUCUUGUUUCAAAAGAACCCUCAACACCAAUUAACUGAGCCCUGAAGUCCUUUAGAGAUAUAAGUGUAUCCCUAGCAAGAAUUAUAGUCUUGAUAACUUCAAACUCUGGUGGCAGUCCAGAAAGUACAGCAAUCAUCAAAUCAUUAUCAGUUAUCUUCUCCCCUGCAGCCACAAGCUGAUCUUUAAUAGCCUUCAGCCGAAACAAGAAUUUAUCAACUGAAUCAGAACCCUUUUGUGCAGUGUGAAACUCAGUUUUCAACUGAUUGACCCUCACAACAAAAAUCGAGGCAAACCGUUCAUGUAACUUCUCCCAAGCCUCCUGUGCAGUCUUGCACCCUAUCACAUGAUACAUCACUUCAUCACUUAAUGUAGCAAUGAGUAAACUCAGUAAUGCCAAAUCUUGCUGAAUCCACUGUUUGUAAGCCUGAGAUAUCUCCUUUGUAACACCACCUUCAGCCGUAAUACAAUACUUCGGAGGACAUUGUGAUUCCCCAUUGAAAAAAUCAAACAAAUCAUAUCCACGAAGAACAGACGAAAACUGAUAACUCCAUUUCACAAAAUUAUCCUCAUGCAAUUUUACAGUAAUCAUACCAAGUAGACCUUCAAUCUUUACUGAAUUUAUAGCCAUUUUGCAAACACCAAGAAGAAAUACAAAUGCAGUACCCGAAAUUCUUGAUUAACAGACAACCAAUCUUGAAUCUUGACACACAACUCUCACUUCUGACUUCGGCCUUCUAUGAAGUAAGAAACUCAACAGACAAAAAAACUCCGCAUUCUUUCAAUUUUUAAUUCUUCAGCAAUCAACAAUCUUUCAAUUAAACUUCUUCUUUCAUACUUCUAAUCUUUUAAGUUUGCAGCAAUCAACAAUAUUUCAAUCAAACUCCUUCGUAAACAAUAUGCACCCAACAAUAUUUCGCAUCCACACCAAGCAAUUCAUAUAUUUUCACUGAAACAUUAUAUCAAACAGUUCAUCUAGCCAUUGAUUUAACAAAAUUAUCCUCAUGCAAUUUUACAGUAAUCAUACCAAGCAGACCUUCAAUCUUUACUGAAUUUAUAGCCAUUUUGCAAACACCAAGAAGAAAUACAAAUGCAGUACCCGAAAUUCUUGAUUAACAGACAACCAAUCUUGAAUCUUGACACACAACUCUCACUUCUGACUUCGGCCUUCUAUGAAGUAAGAAACUCAACAGACAAAAAACUCCGCAUUCUUUCAAUUUUUAAUUCUUCAGCAAUCAACAAUCUUUCAAUUAAACUUCUUCUUUCAUACUUCUAAUCUUUUAAGUUUGCAGCAAUCAACAAUAUUUCAAUCAAACUCCUUCGUAAACAAUAUGCACCCAACAAUAUUUCGCAUCCACACCAAGCAAUUCAUAUAUUUUCACUGAAACAUUCUAUCAAACAGUUCAUCUACAAGCUUCAAAACACAAAGAAAGACAAGGAUCGAGAAUACCCGAAAGCCGAACUCCUGAAACAGAAUGAAAAUUCCAAGAGAAAUCCAGAACUUCUUCACAAUUACACCUCCUGAUGCUCAAAUCUCAGCGGAAGAACCCAAAAAAAAAAAAACACCAACCAUGGCUCUUGAUACCAUGAUAAUACACCACUAAUAAUACCUUCGAAGAACUCACAGAAAGAUACAGAGAUCAAAGAGAAAGAAGAAGAGAAAGAAUAGAGAAAGAAACUGUAUUGAUUUGUGUAUAUUCCUUACUGAAUUACAAUAUCUGUUAUUCAGUUAUUUAUACAUGGAAUCCAAACUUAGCUAGUAAGCUAUUCACGUAACUAACUAACUAACAUAAGCUGAGUUGGCUGUCUAUCUGACCCUUGAAUGUUGUAAUGAGUUGGCAGUUCAUCUAGCCAUUGAUUUAUGAUACUCAACAAGGUGAAGAUAGGAACUCUCUAAUCUGUUCUUUAUGGUUAUAUUAGUUUGAUUUAUGGAUUAUUUAUGCGAUUUGAUGACGUCUAGUGCAGUUUCAACCGGGGAAGAUUUCCCAAAAAAUUGGUGAGGAAAACCGUGGCCAUCAAGCCACUUGUAGACGUUUUUUCCUGCUAUCUCCGGCCUCUGUCAAUCCUCGAUUUUGGUAUAGACCUGUUCCUUGAUUCCUACCUUCACUUUGGCUUUUAAACCAUUAAAUUCAGUUGAGAAUUGAGCUCGAAAUGAGCUCUGAAAGUCUGAGAAAAAACCUGCAAAACUGCAGGAACUCGUGAGGAAGACGAGUACAAGCGUACUCGGGGGCACAUGGAUGCAUGAGGGUGGUCGGCGCAUGCAGCGCGUGGCUGCUGUGCAUCCACGUUGUGACGACACGUGGCUGUCUAUGCAGCCACCUUGUGACGGCGCGUGGAGGAAUCCGAGAUCCCGCCUUAGGUUUCUCAACGUGCAGAAUCCGAAUCCGUCUUUUGUUUUCCAAAUUUGAUCGUUUUAAAAUAAUUUCUUUAUUAGCCAUACUUUGUAUGAAUACGCGAAUUUACAUUAGUUUGUUAUAUAUUUACAUGAAUGGUUUUGUUUCUAGGUGAAACGCGUCACAAGGAUCUUCAAUGCCCGCGAGGCAGGUUCGAGCCGACGACAUGAUUUGUGAGUGGGUCUUUGUUUUGGAAUAUUAUAUAUUUAUUUAGUUUCCACAUAAAUAUUUGAUAAAUAAUUUUUUACGUUACGCCUAUAUUAGAUUAAUAUUUAUAAGAAUUAGCAUAUUGACGGAAUUUGCUAAAUCCUACGGGAUGCACAUGUAUGCAUACUAUUAUGAGAUUUUAUUUAUGGCCAUGUUUAAUAGUUUAUUGAAUAGUAUUAUGUCGACUAGAAUUAUCGAUUUGCCGUUGUAUAAUCAUAUUUACAUUAUAUGCUCAUUGUGUGCUACACUGGUGUUAGUACUCACCCGGGCUAGGGUCAGUCUUCACGUGUAUGUUCACAUCGUACCGUACGCUCACUUUGGAUCCAUUGUAGGUGACAAUCCUGUCCUAGAUUGCUAUAGGCAAUUAGGACUCGUGUGUUAUGAGGAUAGCGCCAGUCUUCAUGUGAUUAUAGUACUAAAGCGUAAAUCAUUAUUACACCCAAUCAUAUUUAUGUCAAAAUACCUCUACAUAAACUUGUGUGUUAGCAUAUGUCAAUAAGCACUCGAUGUGAUGUGUUUAUUUACCAAAUAUUGUGAAGUAGUGCAUUCUAGGGAUAUUAUGGUUUACGGUCAGUAUUUUCAUACUAUACGUAGUAUGUUAUAUUUGGAAACUAUAUUUGUUUUACGGUGAGGGGUUAUUACAUUUUCGAAAAGGUUUUACAAAGCUUUAUUUUGAUGCUCACUCACCCUUGUUUUUCACCCAUUUAGGUUUUAGUAGCUAAGCUUUUGUGCCAAUGAGGAUUAUUGACAAAUCUUGGUAUCGGUGAUUACCUUCGAUGAUAUAAUUCUCAUUCUACCUUUACUAUAUUUUACUUAUACUCUGACAUCACGUGUGAAAUAAGUUCAUUCCUGCUCACAUGCGCACUCUUGCAUUUAGGCACUUUUAAGCUUAAAUUCAUUCACAUUUUCCAUCUCAUCACACUUUAUAGUUUCAUCACCUUUCAGAUGUUGACCAGCAUAGCUCGAUUUGGAGUCCAGAUGGACAUUUCGGGUCAGGGUGUGUCAAUUUGAAUAUUCAAAAAUAUUGAAAAAUAAGGAAUGUAUUUGAAUAUUUUGAUUCAAUUUGAAACUUGCCUAAAUCUAUUACAUACACUUGCUUAUAUACUUGGUUUUAUUUUAGGAAAAUUUUAUUUGAACUCAUACAACCUCUAACUACAUCCAACUUACUCUCUACACCCAUAUUAAUUUUAAUUCAAGAAUCAAUAUAUUUUUAAAUCCAAAUUUACUAACUAAAAUACCCUCACGAACUCAAUUUAAUAUGUAAAUUUGACUUUACACCUAUUUGAAAAAUAAAACCCUAAAAUUAAACAUUUGUUGUGUAGGUCAUUAAAGUUAGAAUGUUAUAUUGUAAUUCCUCGAGACAAACCAAAUAUUGAGCCUUAUACAUUUGGAAAGAUCUAGAUGUCUAGUUUACGAAGAAUUUUACGGUUCGUGAUUCCGAUUUUUCUAGGAGAUGUUAUUAUUAUUUUAGUGCAGACAUCACAAAAUCAAAGAUUUGUUGCGCAGAUCAGUGAAGUUUGAAUAAUUAAAUUGUAAUUCCUCGAGAUGAACCAAAUAUUGAGCCUUAUAUGCUUGGAAAGAUCUGGAUGUCUAGUUUAUAGAUAAUUUUACAGUCUGCGAUUCCAAUUUUUCUAGGAGACGUUAUUUUAGUGCAGACAACACAAAAUGAUUAUUUCCUACGAAUUUUGUUGAGAUUUUAGAAAUUUAGUUGCAUCUAAAUCAGAAGGCCAACGAGUGUUGUUUCCUUGAUCAUGGAGUAAGAUUAUCUUCCCUCUUUUUUUCCCUCUCCUUCCCUCCCCUCUUAUUUAAACAAUCACAGUUAAGUCACGUCAACAUAAGAAUGAGAGGGGAGAGAAUCCAAAUUACUUGAUCAUUGGGGAGAGAAUGUUUGAAAGUUACUUGGGCCUCAUUACCCAUCUCAUAAUUAUACGAAGGAGAGGGGAGAGAAUCCUAGCAGCUCGAGGUGACCACAAUAUUAUUUAAUAUUUUAUUAUACCUUUAAUCAUUAUUUAAAGUGGUAGGAUUACAUAAGCUACACUAAAUUGCAUAUCAUUGUCGCUCCCCGCAAUGUAAAACCAUUAUCACUAAACUUAAAAAUCAAAUCAAAUUGGAAUCUUAAACAACAAUGUUGAAUUUUGUUAUCAUUUUUCUCCAUUUAAAACUAAAGUUUCGAAUUUUACGCAAAGCCUCCAUCAACCAACCAUUCUAAAGUAUUAGCAUUCAAUCCCUCUGUCUAACAAAAAAAAAGGCCACGGUAAAACUUAAGAUAAGAGCACUUUUAUUAUGAAGUCUCCACUUUUCACUUUGAUAUUGUCGGCCAAGAAAGAAACCCAUCAUUAUGUUUUUUCAAUAUCAUUAUCUAUCUAAAUAUUUUAUUAUUAUUAUUUUAUGAUAUUUGUUAACGUGUGUCCUAGAGUAUUGUGACUACCAUUAAACUAUGUCACUUAUACAACAUGUGAUUUACCACACGAUUGAAUAAAUUAUUUAUUUAUAGAAGGCACAUAGUACAAUAUUUUGUCUUGACAAACUUUGUCAAUUUGAUUUAUUCAUUAUACGGUUGUACUUAUACUAUCAUUUAUAGGAAUUAUUGAGCAACUAGAUCCACUGAUCAACAUUGUUGCUGAUUAAAGAAGUCUACCAAUUUAUAGACUGAUGAGCCACAUGCUCAUGGUGACAAAGAUUCAGUCCGGACGGUGAUCUCUUGUUUGACCGGACACCCACUUGCUCGGACAUUCGCUUAUUGGGACACCUAUGUGCCUGGACCCAACUCGAUGACCCUACAGAUAGCCCCAACUCGAUGACCCUACGUAUGGCCUCGACUCAAAGACCCGACUUGCGUACCCGAUCCGCGGAUCCGACGCAUAGACCCAAUAUGCGAACCCAACAAGCGGACCCGAAUCAUGUAGAAUCAACUCAUACUGAGUGCAUGUCGACAUAAAGUAGAUACUUGCAAUGAGGAAUACCACAAGCCGAGCCGUCUCGUAGUGAGCAUAGCCUUUAGCCAAGCCGCCUCGCAACGAGCAUCGCCUCCAGCCGAGCAAACGCCUCGCCGCGAGCAUAGCUUCUAGCCGAGCAGCCUCGCAACGAGCAUCACCUCCAGCCGAGCAAACGCCUCGCCGCGAGCAUAGCUUCUAGCCGAGCAGCCUCGCAACGAGCAUCGCCUCCAGCCGAGCAGUCUCAUAACGUGUGAUACCUCUAGCCGAGUAUUGCUUUAUGUUGAGCAUUGCCUUGGGUUGAGUACUGGUUCAAGACAUCUAGCCACUUUGGCCCUUACAUGGAUUGGAUUUCAUGUCUCCAGCCAAAAGACUCUUUUGAUUGAAGACUUGGGAGACUGCUGUUGGUACCACACAUAUUGGGCCUCAGACUUUGACACAUUGGGCCUCAACAUUUGGACCUCAUUACCCAGACCAUAAUUAUGUAAAAGGAAGAGCCCCUUAUUCUAUAAAAGGGGACUCCUCCCCCCUCACAAAUUAGACUCUGGGAUACCCCCAAAACAUACAAGUCUCAAACAACUCAGAGACAACACUCUCUUCCUCAGGGGGACUCCCCUUGAGCUUGUAAUCCAUACAUACAGUUACAGAGAAAUACAAUCAACAUCAGUGUGGACGUAGCCCAAACAUUGGGGUGAACCACGAUACAUCUUUGUGUUCUUGGGCGUUUGCAUGAUUCACGGUCAAGUUUACGUUGUUCCAAGACCUUCCGGUUUUAUGCAUCAACAAAUUCCACAGAUCGUGAUCCACCAUAAUCAAAUUUAAUCAAACAUUAUGCUAAAUAUAUUAUACACCAAUAAAAACGAAUUCUACUUCAGAUGAGGACCAAGAAUUUCUCCAAUGGCUAAAAUGAAUUUAAUUUAGAAGUAAAAGAUGCAAUUUAAAGGAACAUACACUUAUUUUUCUUUAUGAGAGCUCUUAGGAUUUUAGUGAGGAUGAAUGUGAGAUAAAGAUUGGUGAUGGUAGGAUUUGAUUAUUGGAUAUGUGUUUAUUAAUAAAUUUUCAUUUUUUUUUGUUAAUUUCAUCAUGUACUUGAUGAUAAUUAUGCAAUAGGGUAAAAAAUGCAAUUCACAUUUAAAAUUUAAGUUGAGUGUAGAAAGAAGUUAAAAUGGGUUCAACUAAAAUUUUCCUUUAUUUUAUAUAUGUUUCAUUUGUUAUUUGUUAUAGAUAAGACUCAAGUAUGAUUCUAACUUUUUUACAAUUAUAUCUCCCUUAAAUAUAUUACAUACAAAAGAGAGAACUAAAGAUAUAUAUAUUAUGUUUGGACACAACCCACAACAAAAGUUGGCUUUCCAAAAGAUAUGUUUGAAAGUUACUUCCUCAAAGAAAGAAAUAUACGAGGCCGAAUAUUUUUGAGAAAAGCAAUGAGUUCAUGGUUGUUGAAUCUACGGUCAAGUGACUCUUACAAUAGUGCUAUUACUUGUAAUAAAAGAAGGAAUGCUACAAUAUAUAUAUAUAUUAUAUACUUUGAUCUAAUGAAAAUAUAAAAUAGUCCAUAAUGAUUUUUUUUUGUUGGUUAAAAUCAUAUAUGUUGUUAAUCACCAAAUCAAUUGAUCUCCCAAGACCAUCUCCAAUGGUAAGCUAAAACCUGAAAUUUCUUCCCCCCCCCCCCCCCCCCAACAAAAAAAAAGCCACUUCAACCCAUGACCUAAAAUUAACCUAAAACCUAAAACCCAAAUGGAGGGCAAAUACCGGCCCAAUUAUUGGCCACAAAGCAAAAUGGACCCCACCAAUUGAGACUGAAACCGGGGCUGUGAAGUCCACUGCCCACUCCCUACUCGCCUACGCGUUGUACGCGCUAGGCUUUCUCAAAAUUUUGUACCAACCCACGUGGGGUUGUUCCCCAUUGUCACACCACCAACACUACCACCGCAUUCUCUCUCCAUCACCCACACCACCAUGACCACCAUCACCGUCAAUCCUUCACCAUCGUCACCACCAAUGCCACCACCUCCCACCACCAUUAUCGCCACAACCACAUCCUCCACUACCAUCACAGUUGGGACCAAGGCCACCACCACCUCCACUGUCUUACCAUUGCCGCCACCACAGCCACUGUCUAACCAUCACCACUGCCACCUACACCUUCAUUGCGACCACCAUGUUAUCCACAGUCACAUUGUCGACCAUCAACUAUCCACAGUCACAUUGUCGACCAUCAACUAUCCGUUGUCACACCGCCACCACCCACCAUCAUUGCUACCAACACCACUCUCGUAGCGAUCACCGUCUCUACCACCACCACCACCAUCUUAAUAAUAUUUCUAAAAACAUUACUACCAAAUAUGAAAUUAUGAUACGUUUCAAAAAUCAUUCUAGGAUUAAACUACCAGACGCACAUUCAAAUCAUAAAAAUGCAAAAUCCUAUUUGUCGUUUUCGUUUUACAAAACAUUUUCAAAAUUCAUUUUGUAAAACGUUCCAGACGAACCCUAAAUUACUAGAGCGAAAUCAUAAUGACAAAGAACUUUUUCCAUACAAAGGCUUCUCCAUAACUUAACUGAACAGAACUGAAAAUAUGAGAAGUCAAAUGAAGCAAAACAAUACUUCACUUGAACAAAACAAUUUUACUCCGUAACUUAACCAAUUCAUAUAUUAUUCCAAUAGCAAAUUAUGCAUCUACUCCCCAUUCUUUCAAGCCUUGUAUUACUAUUUCUCUUUCAAUUAUGGAAUGACUAAAAUUUCAGAUCUCGCGUAACCCUACAAAAUCACUACACAGACACUAUUUGUUAGCACCCUCCAAGAAUGGCACGCCUGCAAUCAUUCUCUCUCUCAAGUUUUCUCUUAACACUUAAACCGAAAGAAACACUCAGGACAAAACAUGUGUGUUUACAAGAUCGGACUGUAUCCCAUUUUUGACACCAACAGAAAUAAACAAAUCAUAUAGAGGGCAACAAAAAGCAACAUAAAAUAGGCAGCAACACAAUUGCUGCAAUUUAUUACCAUAUUUACUUUGAAGGCACAUAGAGUGCACGGUACAACUUAACAAAACAGCAACUUUAUACUUUCGUCGUGGUAGAAACCCAACAUACACAAUCAAAUUAAAGAAGUGCCACCAGCUGGUCAUCUGGUUUAUUUAUAAUCACUCAGAGGCAUAUAUACUUUGACUCCAAGCAAACGAGCACGCAACAAGGUAAAUACAGUUAAGGUGCUGGUAGGAUGAUGGGAGGUGAAAUGUGCGACUCAACGUCCCAUAGCUCCAAAACCCCAUGAACAAAGUCAUAGUAACCACCCUUGAGCGCUAGGUUGUUCUCUGCGAGCGCCUUUUGAACGUAAGGGUAAGUUUGUAGGUUUAUUAGCGACAAAUUUACUGCUUCCUGCAUAAAAAUUAUCAUUCAAGAAGAUGUUUAGGUGAGAUUAAUGUCAUAACUCAUGAAAGCGCACGCACACACCUUAACUGGUCACUAAAAAUUAUUUCAUUUGCAAAAAGUGAAUCGAGAGUAAAUGGCCUUCCAAAUAUUUCAUCAAUCCAAGAUCGAAUUAAUAUCUUACCCUUGCACAAUCCUCACAUUGUUCCUCGAAAGUGGUGCCACCUUGUCCAUUUGCUAUAACCUUAGCCUUGGCGGGUAAACCAAUUUUGACCCAUUCAUCUAUGAAGUCACUGCAUAUUCCAAUCAAAUGGUUAAGGAUGCAAAACUAUAUACCAUUAGCAAGUUCUAAUGAUCUCAGUUCAUUGCUAAAAAAAUGAUUAGGCUGGGUUUUUGGCUAUACUCUUUGACCAUCCUAAAAAUGCUAACAAAUAUCCAAAUUAACAGGUCUUAUAUUGCAUCCUUGUAAACGAUUAUGAUUAAUCAUCUUCCAUAAUCUACAACUUUUGUGUGUAAAAAGCCUUACAAGGGAACAGAGUUAUCCUCAGGGUGACUCAUAAGCCUCUUUAUCCCACCACAACGACUGUGUCCAAUUACCAAAAUAUUUGUCACCUGUUCAAUUUUCUUCUUGUUAGCAUUCAAUUCAUACUAUUUGAGUAACAAGUGAAGAGAAAAGGAUUAAGAGUUAUUAAUUCAAUAAAUUAAAAGACUUUUGGAAUGUUUACCAGGAGUUGUGUAAUAGCAUAUUCUAUAACUGCUCCAACUCCUGCGUGUUUCAGCUGUAAAGAUAUGGAAAAAAAUUAUUUUCGUAGUCGGAUGCAUGACUAUUAUGUGAUUUAUGAGAAAUUAUAUUCUCAAAGUUCAAUAUUAUUUUGAACGUGAAACUGACACACUUGUUCAUACAGUUUCUAAUGCAGGUGUGCGUUACUAUUAUAUAAUGUAGAGAGUAAUGGACCUGACUGAAUGCAGGAACCAUGUUUGCAAUGUUGCGAGCCAUGAAGGCCUCCCCAGGUUGGAAACUAAGGAUAUGUGAGGGGCUCACUCGGGAGUCCGAGCUGUUAAAGAUAGUGAAGGACCAGCUAUUAAUCAUGUACACAAUACAUUAGAAUAAUACUCUCAGAUACUUAGCUUAGCUGUUAAGUUUUGGCUUGUUAGAAUUAGUUGUGUAAAAUGCUUAGUCAGCAUUAUUAUGUAUUUUAUGUGUAUAUAUAUACACUGUGUACUUUGUAACUGAUGUAAUGAGAAAACCAUUUUACAACAAAUCCAAUCUCUCUCUAGAUAUUCUCUCUCUCUAAUUUCUCUCUAGAAUCUUGAGUUUCUCCAGAUCCCUAAUCUUCAACAUGGUAUCAAUCGCCUUCGUCUCACGACUUCGAUCCUUGCUUCCGUGAAUUUUCUCGCCUUUUCUUACCUCCCAAACAGAUCUUACCUUUUUCUUUUCUGUAUCUUGUCUACUAUUUCCAUGGCGACCACCACGAAUCCUUCUGAUUCUCCUUCUCCUGCAACUUCUUCUGCCCCGGCUCCCUCUCUCCUCACUCCGAUUGCAUCUAUUACUGUUCAGAAUGUUGCUGGCAUGGUUCCAACUAAGCUCAAUCGUCAGAAUUACAUUACCUGGCGCAGUCUGUUUCUUCCUGUUCUGAAAUGCUUUAAGCUUCUAGGGCUCAUCAAUGGCGAAGAUCCUUGUCCACUGGAAUUUGUUCGUAACUCCUCUGGUUCUCGGAUUCUCAACCCCGAUUAUGAAGCUUGGUGUGAACGAGAUCAGAUUUUGACAAUCUGGAUCAAUUCUACACUUGCUGAGGAUCUUCUUCCACUGACGAUUGGGAUGGAAGAUUCGCGGUCUCUUUGGCAGUCUCUUGAGCGUCGAUUUGCUGGUGCUUCGCGCACUCAUGUCCACAGUCUUCGCUCCAAGAUUCAGAAUAUUCAGAAAGGUGAUUCUUCAUUGACCGACUAUCUCAACUCCAUCAAAGAAAUCUCUGACAAACUGGCCGCGGCUGGUGAGCCGAUAUCUGAGAAGGAUCUUGUUGCGUAUAUUCUUUCUGGUCUGCCGGAUGAGUAUGAAUCGUUUAUUGAUUCAAUUGAGACGCGAUCUGAAGAUGUCAAUGCUGAUGAACUUCACGACCUUCUUCUCAGUAAAGAAAUUUCUCUUCAAAAACGCAAGACUCGAUCAUCUUCCUCCUCCGCUCCUUUUCAUGCCUAUACAGCACAGCCACAUCCAUCUGUCUCUAAUUCCUUUCGCGGAAAUUCUCGAGGAAAGUCUCAGUAUCGCAAUCGAUCUAAUCAGAAUCGUCAUUUUGGGGCUAAUCAAAAUGGUACUUUUGGACCUAAUCCGAAUCGUUAUUUUGGAGCUAAUCGGAAUGGUACUUUUGGCGCUCAUAGCAAUUCUGGUGGUGUCCUUGGUCCUGCUCCAAAUCAGAAUCGAUCAUCCUCAUUUUUCUCUGGACGUCCUAAUCCAUGUCAACUAUGUCAUCAACAUGGUCAUCUUGCUAUUUCUUAUGGUCAACUUUCACAAUUUGCGUCUCAGCACUCUCAGGCCUUCACCAACACUCCUGUUGGCAUGUCUGCUAUGACUGGUUCCUCUUCCCCAAGCUAUUGGCUCACUGAUAGUGGUGCUUCACAUCAUGUCACUCCUGAUCCAGCAUCUCUCAACUCAGGAAUUCCGUACACUGGUACUGAACAACUGUUCGUCGGUGAUGGUAAAGGUCUUUACAUUUCUCACAUUGGAUUUGCACUUCUUCGAACUGCCAAUGUUGCGUUUAAACUGAAUAAUGUUCUUUUAGUUCCUAAAGCUUCUCAUAAUUUGCUCUCAGUCUAUCGUUUUGUUCAUGACAAUUGGUGUUCUCUGACAUUUGAUCCUUUUGGAUUCUAUGUCAAGGAUCUAAGAACUGGGAGGACGCUUUUCCAGGGCCCCAGUGAAGGAGGUCUUUAUCCCUUCUAUUGGAAUGCAUCUAAUGGCGUAUCUGGCAUUGCUAUUUCACCUCAUGCCCUCAUGAUAGCUAAAGCAGACAUCCAUAUAUGGCACAGAAGGCUUGGACAUCCUUCUUCUAUAGUGUUAAAUAAGGUUGUCAAGCACAGUAAUCUCCCUAUUGUUGGUUCAGUACAUAAACAAUCAUUUUGUUCUGAUUGUCAAUUGGGGAAGGCCUCUAGACUCCCAUUUUCUGUUUUGCCUUGUACAUCCACUAGGCCAUUUCAUAUCAUUCAUGCUGAUGUAUGGGGUCAUUCCCCCACUCCUUCAUGUACUGGAUAUAAAUACUAUCUCAUUCUUGUUGAUGAUUUCACCAAAUAUAGUUGGUUAUAUCCGUUGUACUUCAAAUCUGAUGUGUGUUCUGUUCUUCAAACUUUUGUAUUAAAAAUUCAGAAUUGGUUUGAUUGUAAGAUUCAGUGCCUGAGAUCUGAUUCAGGGGGUGAGUUUCUCAGCUCUAUUUUACAAGGUUUUCUUAAUGCUCACGGUAUAGUCCAUCAAUUGAGCUGUCCUCACACUCCCGAGCAGAAUGGGUGCGCUGAGCGGAAACAUCGACAUGUUGUGGAAAUGGGAAGGACUUUGUUAUCUCACAGUGGUUUGCCCUCUAAGUUUUGGGUUGAAGCAUUUCAAACCGCAGUGUAUCUCAUCAAUAGACUGCCAUCUCAGUUUUCCUCUUGCCCCUGGGAAUUAAUGUUCAAAGCACCGCCUAAAUAUCAUGUUCUGAAGACUUUCGGUUGUGCCUGUUAUCCUUGGUUACAACCCUAUAGUUCUCAUAAACUGGACACAAAGAGUAAACUCUGUGUAUUUUUGGGGUAUAGUCUGCAUCACAGUGGGUACAGAUGUUUUGAUCCGGUUACUAACAAGUUAUACAUUUCACGACAUGUUGUCUUCGAUGAAGCUUGCUUUCCUUUCAAGCAAUGUACUUUUUCUCCUACUCUUUCCCCCAUCUCAACUACUACACCUUCAGACUCUCCCAUUUCCUUUACCAUACCGGUCUCUUCUUCAUCACAUCUACCCCAUGCCUCCCCCUUACCUCCUGCCACUGUCUUACCAACUUCAUUUCCUACUUCACUCUCACCUACUACUGUGCCUUCUCCACCUUUAGCAUCCCCUACUCACCCUACAACUACUCCUCCUUUAGUUUCUCUCCCUGUUAACAAUCAUCCCAUGAUUACACAGGCCAAGGUUGGCAUACACAAACCUAAAGUGUUCACUGCCACCAAGCAUUCUCUUCCUUCGACUGUUGACUCUCUCACAGUUAUUCCUUCUACACCCACCACUUAUCUCCAAGCUUCUAAAAACUCCCACUGGUUGGCAGCAAUGAAGGAUGAGUAUCAAGCUUUACAGUCCACAGGUACUUGGGAACUAGUACCCCCCAAUCCUCAAUAUAAUUUGGUUGGCUGCAAAUGGGUAUUUAAACUUAAACACAAGGCUGAUGGUUCUAUAGAAAGGUACAAAGCUCGGCUUGUCGCCAAGGGAUUUCAUCAACAGGAAGGUCUUGAUUUCUCCGAGACGUUUAGCCCAGUAGCUAAACCGACUACUAUUCGCAUUCUCCUGUCUAUUGCAGUCACAUAUAAUUGGUUUAUUCAUCAGUUAGAUGUGAGUAAUGCAUUUCUCCAUGGCUAUCUCAAAGAGGAUGUCUACAUGGUGCAACCUCCUGGGUUUAUUGAUCAAUCUCAACCUCAUCACGUUUGUAAACUGAAGCGAUCGCUUUAUGGCCUCAAACAGGCGCCCAGGGCCUGGUAUGAAGCCUUUUACAGUGCUAUUCUUUCAUUGGGUUUUAUCUCUUCAUCCUCUGAUACUAGUCUUUUUAUCAAGAGAGAUUCUACUAUCACCUUUAUCCUAGUCUAUGUGGAUGAUAUAAUCAUCACUGGGAGCUCCUCCAUGGUCAGUCAGUCCAUCAUUUCUCAACUCCAAUCUUUGUUUCCUGUCAAAGAUUUGGGUGAUAUUCAUUACUUCCUUGGCAUUGAAGUUCACAGAUCCCCUACCGGUCUCUUUCUUAAUCAAUCCAAAUAUGCCUUGGAUUUACUAAAGAAAACCGACAUGCUUGGUGUCAAACCCUGCUCUACUCCAGUGAGUUCAGCCAAGUUAGACAGUUCUGGCUCUAUUCUUCCAGAUCCUACAACUUAUAGGUCCACUGUUGGUGCACUUCAGUACUUGACUUGGACACGUCCUGAUCUGGCUUUUGCAGUAAAUCAGGUUUGUCAACAUAUGCAUACUCCUAGAACUAUCCAUCUACAAGCUGUCAAGAGGAUUUUACGGUAUCUAAAGGGUACCAUUGCCUCCGGCUUAUGGUUCAAACCAGGAAAACAGUGCCUCACAGCUUGGUCUGAUGCUGAUUGGGCAGGUUGUCCGGUAGACCGCCGAUCUACUAGUGGCUACUGUGUUUUCUUAGGUCCCAAUUUGAUCUCUUGGAGUGCCAAGAAACAAACCACUGUGGCACGAUCUUCUACUGAAGCAGAGUAUCGGUCUUUAGCCAAUACUGCUUCUGAGAUUACCUGGGUGUGCAAGAUCUUGAAGGAUAUUUCUUUUCCUCUUCUACAACCACCUGUGAUCUGUUGUGAUAAUCUGAGUGCAAUUGCUUUAGCCAAGAACCCAGUUUUUCAUGCCCGAACCAAACAUGUCGAGAUUGAUUAUCAUUACAUCCGAGAGAAGGUUCUUCAAGGUCACAUCAGUAUUCAUCAUGUUGCUAGUCUUUUUCAGAUUGCUGAUAUCUUUACCAAGUCCUUACCUGCAGACAGAUUUGCUACUCUCAGUCACAAGCUUUCAGUUUGUUCUCCUCCCUUCAACUUGAGGGGGUGUGUUAAAGAUAGUGAAGGACCAGCUAUUAAUCAUGUACACAAUACAUUAGAAUAAUACUCUCAGAUACUUAGCUUAGCUGUUAAGUUUUGGCUUGUUAGAAUUAGUUGUGUAAAAUGCUUAGUCAGCAUUAUUAUGUAUUUUAUGUGUAUAUAUAUACACUGUGUACUUUGUAACUGAUGUAAUGAGAAAACCAUUUUACAACAAAUCCAAUCUCUCUCUAGAUAUUCUCUCUCUCUAAUUUCUCUCUAGAAUCUUGAGUUUCUCCAGAUCCCUAAUCUUCAACACGAGCAUGCAAAUACCAGAAACUGCGUUGGGAAUUAGCAACAGAAAGAUUAAUUAAACAUUUCUUGGUCUAUUUAUUCUAAUUAAGAUGUUACAGCCAAAUAUUACCUUGGGGCUUUGUCCAUUGGCAAGCUCCUUGUAGUAAUCUGGGUAUUUUCUGUAAGAUCAGUAGACAUUAUGCUUUCGAAUCUAUUAGAUAUAUAGCAAAUAUGUACGAUAAUUAAUUAUUUUCAUAUAAUAAUAAAGAAAAUAGUGAUAUUACUCGAAUUUGUUGACCCUGAAGUUGAUGAAGCCAUCUACAAUCCUUUGAACUGGGUCGAAAUGACCAUCUGCAGGUCUUUGCAAUUCAGCCAUCAACUUCUCAAUUUUGGCAGCAACCACAUCGUCCAGCUCUUCCUUCUCACUGCAACCAUGCCAACCAAGAUUAUCAUUAAUUUCAUCGUCCCAUGCAUAUAUUUUAUGCCACCAACAACCCUUUGUAGCCUUUAACAAAAACAAAUUGGAGACUAAUUUUUUUUUCUUGUUAGAUAUAUAGUUUACAUGUUAAAGUAACGUUUAGAAUCGGUCCAUGAACUUUCACCCUAGUUUAUAUUUAGUCCAUGUACUAAAAAUUCGUUAAUUGAAUUUGGUUCUUAAAAUUAACAAAAGAGUAAAUUGUAGUAAUGGUCCCUCAACUUUAAUUCAAUUGGAGCAAUGGUCAUUCAAUUAAAAAUCCAUUACCAUUGGUCCCUCAACUCAUCAAAAUGUGUAGUUAUGAUCAUUUUUAUCAACUUCGUUAAAAUUUUGUCAAAAUAAGUUAUGUUGGAAGGAUCAUUGCUACAAUUGGGGUCCCUCAACUCAUCAAAACGUAUAGCUAUGGUCAUUUUCGUCAACUUCAUCGGAAUUUUGUCAAAAUGAGUUAUGUAUGAAGAACCAUUGCUACAAUUGGGUUAAAGUUGAGGGACCAUUUCUCUAGUUGGAUUAAAGUUGAGGGACCAAUGGUAAUGAAGUUUUAGUUGAGGGACCAUAGCUGCACGUUUUGAUGAGUUGAGGGACCAAUGGUAAUAGAUUUUUAGUUGAGAGAUCGUUGCUAUAAUUUACUCUUAACAAAAAUAUGCACAAUUUUGAGUUCACAGACGAAAUCUAAACUAGGACCAAUUCUAAAUUUUUACUUUUACAUGUUAUAUUGUCAAACAUCAAUAUCUGAUAUUUUCAUAAAGUGGAUGGUUAGACCAAAGAUCAUGGAUGGAGUCAAUAAGUAGGCAAACCUGAGGAGAUUUUUCAGGCGUUGAAUAGCUAAUUGGCUUGCCAUUUUGUCUACUUUCUUUCCUGCAAAUUCAAGAAUCAAGACCUUAUUAGUUUACAUUGAAAUGUAUUAUAUGGGUUCUCCUUAAUCACGACGGCACAAAAAAAAAAAUGUAAAUAAGAAACUGAGAGAGUCCCAAGCGGUGGGAAAGAAGCCAAAAUUAACCCUGAACAAAGUUCAAAACAAAACAAGACCAGGCAAACCAUUUUUUUUCCCUUCUUGGCACCUAUAUUUAUUUUUGUUUUUUGAUUUUCUUUUAAUUUAUUCAACUCAAAGGCCAAAUAAAUAAGGAUUGUAUAUUUGAGUUGUUCCUUUAAGAAUUAACUAGGUUUUUAGUUUUAUAAGCUAUAUUGAAUCAAACUUGAAAUUCCGAGUGCAAGAGUUAAAUUUCUAUGAUCAGUAAUUUUAAUUUAUCUUCAAUUAAAUAAGAGUUUUCAUUGGAAGUACGUUUUUUUUUUUUUUUUUUUUUUUUUUUUUUUUUUUUUUGGAAAACCUCGACGGUACGAGGGUAAUUUUAUUGAUAACGAAAAAACAAGGUACACCUAGUCAGGGGGGGACAUAAACCUUACCCCUCCAAAAAACAGAGAUAACAAAAAGGAAUACACUAGAAAGAAGGGGGGACAUAAACCUUACCCUUCUAGAAACAAAAAAUGAGAAUGAUACAAAGAAAAGAGGGGGGGACAUGAAACCUAACCCCUCUAGAACCAAACAUGAAGGUCUAAACCUGCAAAACAAAUCAAACAACACCAUAAAGAUAGGAGAAAAAAAGGAAAGUGAGACAAACCUGGAUGCCGACAUGCACAUUAAUUUGAGAAGCGGUAACCAGGCAAGCCAACAUAGUCAGAAAACAGAGUAGCACGAACCGCCAUCGGAGGAGAAUCAUGCCAUGUUAAAGAUGGAGAAGACAAGCCCAUGUUAGCAAAAUUGUCCGCAACAAGAUUUCCUUCUCGAUAUAUGUGAGAUGCGUAGAAAGUCAUUUUCCGAAUGCGAUCCAAACAAAUAGACCAUUGCGUAUGAAGAGGCCAAGGAGGAUCAAAAUCAGAUGAUUGAAGAGCAGAAAUAACACUAGAACUAUCACUUUCCAACCAAAGACAGUGCCAACCCCGCUGAUAAGCAAACUCAAUACCAAUAAUAAUUGCUGAUAACUCUGCAAAAAAAGAGUUGCAAUGACCAAUCCGUUGACAGAAACCUCCGAGAAAACGACCAUGGCAAUUCCUGAAAACUCCUCCACAUGCAGCAGGACCGGGAUUUCCUUUAGACAAACCAUCUGUAUUAAGCUUAACCCAAGGAAACGAUCAUUGGAAGUACGUUAAUUAAACUGGUUUGAGCAUUAAGGAAAGAACUAGAACUAAUUAUCCAUAUAUGUAAAUUCUGCCAAAGUUCACAGUACUAAGCACGCGCAUACACACACAUAUGAUAAUAUAGUUUGAGUAGAAACAUAGAAAUUGAUAUUAAUCUCUUGCAUACCCGAAAUAAUCAGAACAUGAUUUAUUCUAUGCCCAAACAAAAACAUACACACACAACCGUACGUACGUUCAAGAUAUUUUCCAAACCUAGCAAUGGAACUAAAGGAGAUCAAAUUGCUUCACACAUGCACAAGCAACAAAUACAAAACGCAGGCACAUAUUUGCAGUGAGGGUUGGAGCUUCUAUUUAUACACCGAGUGAUAGAGACUAGCUCCUUUUUAUUUCUUUCUAUUUCAUUUUUGGGUUGAGACUAACUAUUUAAUCGACAUGUUUUAAUUACUCUCUGAAAUAUUGAUAUUGAUUGAUUGGACAACUAUGAAAGCAUUGGACCAUAUUUAAAUCGUGAUUCGUGACAAUAUAGUAAAAAACGAGAAGGAGCUCUCCACUCCUGGCUCCAAUACCAUAUCUUUAGCAGUUUUUUUUCUAUGAAUUCUUUUAAUAGGGUAAAAUGUAUAUUUUGUUGAGAUUUGACGAUGUGAGGAAAAGUUUGUCUCACAUCGAUGAGGGACAUGUUUUGUUAUGAGUUUAUAUGGUUUUGAACUACUUCUUAUAUGACCAAUUGGUUUUAUGGUGGAACUCUAAUUUUAUCAUGGUAUCAGAACAUAUUGUCCCUCGUGUGAAACCCUAAGGGUCACACGUGUUCAUGCGUCACCCAAUUGUUGUCCACGUGUAGGCUUGAAAAUCGGCCACAUGUGUCCGUGUUGAGAUUUGAUGAUGUGAGGAAAAAAUUGUCCCACAUCGGUGACGGACAUGUCUUGCUAUGAGUUUAUAUGGUCUUGGGUUACUCCUCGUAUGAUCAAUUGGUUUUAUGAUGAAACCCAAUUUCAUCAUAUUUAAGGUGGCGCCAUCCAAUUGUGAAUGUUUCCCAAUUUCUUGCUUUCUUUGUUACAUAUGAAUUAUAAGUUGCAUGUAGUACGUGAUUGAGAAAAAAAAGUUUGUGCAUGCGAAGAAGUUAGUAAUUAAUUAGUGAUUAUGUAGGUUUACUAGCAAGACAAAAUGCGUAACUAGCCGUCUUAGGAAAUUUUUUAAUCUUAAAACUCAUGAAUAUGCCCGCAAGAAAAACGCAUUUCUACUUCUUUAUAGUGGCACGUAAUGACAAUCAUACACUUAUAAUUUCCACUCCUACACACAAGCGCACAAGCUGACUCAUGAAUAUGCCCGCAAGAAAAACACAUUUCUACUUCUUUAGAGCAACUUCAGCGUGGGCUGGUGCUUGGGGGACGGGGGACGAAAUAGGGCUAGAUAGCUCGACCUUGAAGCGUCAGCAUGGGCAGCCCAAGGGAGAGUGGAGGCCCAAGCUCCGGGCAUGUGAGGAAUUGCCAGCCCGAGAGCCCGAGUGGAUGUGACGCUAGGGCUGACGUCAUCCUGGUGUUGGCCCAAUUUUAUAUUUUUUUCUGUCAGGCGCGUGCGACUCAUCCGCGUGUGGGGGCGUGUCCGCAGACAACUUUUCAGAGUAUGGGCUCGCGUUGUAGUCUACCGAUAUUACCGUUGGGAAGCCACGUGGCUUCCCACGGUCCGUUUGAUCUUAACGGCUCUUUAAAUUGAACCGUCUGAUUUGCAACGAUAAUAAAAAUAAAAAAAUCUUAUUUAAUAUCAACCGUUGGAUCUGAGUUCAAAUCCAACGGUUGAUAUUAUUCUGCUUUAUAAAUAAAUAAAUAAAUAAAAGAAAAAAUAGUUUUAAAAUUAAGAAAAGUUACCGUUGUGACAUGUGGCACAAUCUGGAGUGUUGGAAUUCAAUUUUUUUUUUCAAUCCAACUGUAGAGAUUAAUUAGUUCAAUAAAAAUUUAAAAAGAAUGUAAAAAAUCCGAAAAAAAAAACAUUCUCAUUAUCAUCUACCUUACAUCACAAUUUCAUAUUUUCUCAACUACUUUCAAUCAAAUUCCUAUCUUUCUCUCAAAGUUUCAAUCCAACUUUUUUCAACAAAAUGACUACUGAUGCAAGUACAAAUUGGUCACUUCUUGAAGAUGUUGCGUUGUGUACUAGCUGGGUUGAAGUUACUUAUAGUUUGCUUACGGGUAAUGAGAUGCAGUUGCUAGAAAUAUGGAGUCUUAUUCAUACCAAUUAUCUUGAAAAAAUGGGUGAGAAAAGAACCAAAGAAUCGAUGUCAAGUCGUUGGAAAUUACUUAGCCAAUCGUUUAGUACGUGGAGAGACGCAUUGGCACAAGCUAGUACUAAUCUUCGAAGUUGGGAAAAUUAUGCGGAUUAGGUAACAAUAUAUUAUUUAUUUGUUUGUACUAUACCCAAAUUUAUAUUAUAAUUAUUUAUUUGUAUUAUUUAUUUAUUACCUAUUUUCAUUUAUAAUUAUUUGUUUGUUUUAUCUAUUUGUUACCUACUUUCAUUAUAAUUAUUUGUUUGUAUUAUUUAUUUGUUACCUAGUUUCAUUAGAAUUAUUUGUUUGUAUUAUUUAUUUGUUAUCUACUUUCAUUAAAAUUAUUUGUUUGUAUUAUUUAUUUGUUACCUACUUUCAUUAUUUGUUUGUAUUAUUUAUUUGUUACCUACUUUCAUUAUAAUUAUUUGUUUGUAUUAUUUAUUUGUUACCUACUUUCAUUAAAAUUAUUUGUUUGUAUUAUUUAUUUGUUACCUACUUUCAUUAAAAUUAUUUGUUUGUAUUAUUUAUUUGUUACCUACUUUCAUUAUUUGUUUGUAUUAUUUAUUUGUUACCUACUUUCAUUAUAAUUAUUUGUUUGGGCCCAAAAAUACUGUUUUGGGCCGAGUUAGGUCUUUUUCGGCCCAGUGUGGGAUAGGCCGAGGUUAGACUCAUCCUCGGCCCAAAAGUUGUAAACAGGUGUCGUUAGAAGAUGUUCAACCCAUGGGCCGAGUGGUCGAAGUGGGCCAUAUCCUAUCGGAAAGAGGAAUAUGGAUGAAUCCUGUUGUGAGAGGGAGUCUCGACGGGAUCAGGAUGCUGAGAUUGAACACGGUUUGAUAAUGAGUUGUGUUCAAAGUCCUAGUAGGAAUAGGAUUGGUCGAGAUAAAGUUGGAUUAUGAUAAGGAGUUCUAAUCCAGGAUGAAUGAGAUUUAAUACAGGUUGACUGCUAUAUAUAGGGAGAGAAGACAUCGAAACAACCCCCUUCAAUUCAACACACAACUGCCCUACGCAAAUUCUCUCAACAACCUUGAAACUUUUUCCUUUUCUUUUUUCGCCGACACACCUUCAGUUUGGAGAAACAACACUGUGAAGGCAACCGGUGAUAUCUUCAGUCGGUAUAGAUAGCACUGUCACCGUAGAACCAGUCGGUUUCGCAGCAUCUUCAGUCGGCAUAGAUAGCACUGCGUCGAGGGUGACUGGUUAUCUAUCCAAGUCUCGGUCGAAAAAGAUUUCCGAAUCCUUAUUGGUUGAGGUCAUCUCAUUAGCUUUCUCGGCGAAGUGAGGUGUUACAGUUUAUUAGGCUCGGCACAUUGCAUGCCGAGUUAGUUUAUGAUUGGAUACUCUCAAGUGAGAUUUAGAGUUCGGUAUUCCGACGGCCGAACCACGUUUAUUGUUAAGACAUAUAUCCGCUUUGAGUAUUUGUGCCCUUACACUUUGGUGUCGAUUCGGCGUGAGUUUACUCUGACGAAUACCAUCACUGUGACCAAAUCCGACGACGAAGAUUUGUGAACUUCGUAAGAAUAGUAGCCUUGUCUUCAGGUUUGAGAACCCAAGAGGUCGAGACUUGUUCAUUCCUCGGUCGCAAUCGCAAGACGUAGAAGUCGGCCGCGCACUUAACACAACAUCAGCAUAUUUUACUCCUCGGGCGAGCUUGGCUGACGAGUUGGCACGCCCUGCAUUCAAUCGAAUGACGUAGUUAGCUCAUAGUUUACUCGGCAUGCGCGCCACGUAGGCUUGGUAGUUUUUAGGGUCAACAAUUAUUUAUUUUUUACCUACUUUCAUUAUAAUUAUUUCUUCUCCCACAUUAUGUAGCAACUUCAAGCACAAGCUUGGUAUGGUGCCAAAACUAAAAGCAAAAAUAAAUCAUUCAACCGGUGGGAAUGUUGGAAUAUUGUAAAAGAUUAUCCUAAAUUCAGAGUUGUGCCUGUCGGUCCAGAAGUUUUCAUGAACAACACUCAUCUACACUCUACACCUGAUCAUGGCUCGCAUGUUCAUGAAGAUGAUGCAGAAGAAGUGCCUAAAACGCCCUUCCUUGAACAAGCUUCGGGGUCGACCCGUUAUCCAAUUAGGCCUCAAGGUAAGAAGGCUUCAAAGAGAAAAGGGAGUACUUUCAAGAAUGAUUAUGCAAAGUAUAUGGAAGAACUUGCUCGCCAAGGUGAAUUGACUUUGGCACUAGAAAUGGUGAAAUUUGAGGCUAAUAAGGCUAAAGAUGAGGCAAAAGCUGCAGUUGUUGAGAGAAAAUUUCAAGCUAAUGAAAGGGAAAAAGAGCUACUUAGGCAAGAAAGGGUACUGGUUAGAGAAGAAAGAAUGACUUAACGAGAUCGUGACAUCAUGAACACGCCUUUACAAGGGAAGUCUCCAAAUUCUAAAUAUUUUUGGAAGUCAGAGAAAGAGGAUGUGGUGCGAAGAAGGCGUGCAAGAGAAGCAAGAGUAAGAGGAUAUGGUCCUAGCACGACAAGAGCAAAUCAUCCUAGCACCACAAAUUGAUUAAGUGAUAAUGAAUAGAGUACUUUUUGUAAUCGGAGCCCAUAAUUUUCCAAUCACUUUGGGUUGUAAUUUAUUAUUUAUUGAAUAGUGUACUUUAUGUUGUUUCCAAUUUAUUGAAUUUAACACUUUAUUUAUAGUGAGAGUAAAUUUAUUUAAUUUGGUAAGUUAUUUAUACUAUAUAAGAGAAUAUUUAUUCAAAUGACAAAAACACACCAAAUAAAAUUACAUAAACAUACCAAAUAAUUAAAAACUCACUAAAAAUGAACUAAAAAAAAACACACCAAAUAAUUAAAAAUGAACUAAAAAUGAACUAAAAAAACACACCAAAUAAAAUUAAAUAAACACACCAAAUAAAAACAAAUACACUAGAUGAACUUAUUUAUCUUCAACUUGUUUCAAUGCCCACUGGUGCUCUAUCAAGUCAUUUUGUCGGGCAUUGUGCAUAUAUGGCCUUUGAAGUGCAGUAUAUUGUUGAAUGACCAUUUCAUUGUAAUGUCCAUCCCUUUCUAAUGGCUCAUGUUGCAUGAAUUCUUCAAUGGCAUCAUGAGCAUAAUACAUACGUGUUCUUGACUUGUUCAUUGUGUUUGGCUCAUAUUCAUCAACGGCAUCAUAAUCGUACUCAUCCUCCACAAUCAUGUUGUGAAGAAUGAUGCACGUCAUCAUGAUGGAUCAAAGCGACUCUACAUCAAACAAUCUAGCAGCACCCCUGAUGAUCGCCCAAUGAGCUUGGAGGAUACCAAAACAACGCUCCACAUCCUUCAUGCACCCCUCUUGAUAGCUUGCAAAGUGUUUUUCCUUUGCACUUCGCAGACGUGGCACUAUUUUGGAAAAUGUUGACCACCUUGGGUAAAUGCCAUCUGCUAGGUAGUAUGGCCCAUCGUACAUACGUUCGUUGACGCAGUACGUGACUUUUGGUGCCUUUCCUUGCAGGACAUCGUUGAACACUAGGGUUUGGGCAAUGAUGUUGAGGUCAUUUUGAGGAUGGAUGAUGGAUUAUAUGGAUGAUUCAGAGGAUGGAUUAUAGGUGUGAGAUUUCAGAGGAUGGAUGAUGGAUUAUAUGGAGGAUUCAGAAAUGAUUAGGUUGUAGAUAGUGUCACGUGGCAUGCCAUCAUUCGUUAAAAAUAUGAUCGAAAUCUAUCUUAAAAGAUUUUGAAAAAGGUAAGGACAUGUGGCACGACGAGAUUGGAUAAAAAUCUUAUCGAAAUCCAUCAUCAAUAAUUGUCUUUUCGGGUAAUGACACGUGGCGCAACGAGAACGAUUAAAAAUCUAAUCGAAAUCUAUCCUCAAAGAUUCUAAAAAGGUAAGAACACAUGACAUGACGACAUUGGAUAAAAAUCUUAUCGAAAUCCAUCACAAAUAAUUGUCUUUUCGAAUAAUGACACGUGAUGCAACGAGAAUGAUUAAAAAUCUUAUUCGAAAUUACAAAUAAAAAAUUAUUUUGUAUUAUUUAAAAAAAAAUAUUUUAUUGCCUAUUGCCAGGGCUAUUCAAGUGCAACGGUGGAGAUGUAAAAAACAGUUACUGUUCAUUAAGGGCGGUUACUGUUCACAUGGUGGAUUGAAAAGUGAAUAGCCUGGGGGGAGGGCUCCCACGCUGGAGUUGCUCUUAUAGUGUUAUGUAUGGACAAUCAUACACUAUAAUUUCCAUUCCUACACGCAAGAGCACAAGCUGGCGGCAGGCUAGCUAACUGAGUACGUAACUCUGAGUAACGUUGUAUUAACCAUAUUUUUUCAGUAUUCGGAUUCUCGCCUGAUCCUCAUUGUGAUAUUCUUGAAAUCUGUUAAUUGCGUUUGUUUAUCGUAUAUAGUCCGAUCAAAAAUCAUUUUAAAUAUUUUAUUUAAAAUUAAGCACAAACAGUACCUGAUAAAAAUUGACCGCAUGAUGUACGAUGAAUGAUUACGAUUUACGGAUCCCCAGGAUCCUCACCAAAAGGAUCUAGCGAGGAUCCUGUUGGAUUUUUUCAUACUAUAUUUGCAUCGUAUUUAUAAUAGAGUAGGAGCCACCAACAUAUGUGGGUUCCAUCUCUAUUAGAAAGAUGUUACAAACAUGGUAAAAUAAGGAAAACUAAUGAAAAAAGCUUGAAAAUUUUAAGUUUUAACGAUAAAGACAAAAUAAAGGGUAAAGUAAAUAGUAUCAUAAUUGACUUUUUAGUGUAAAAAUAUGGUUUUUUUUUUAUUAAAGUAAACAAUACCGGGAGCUUUUCGUUAAAGUUUCUUAAAAAAUAUGAUAAGAGUAACAUUUUUGCAUUCAAAGUGUUGAUUUAAGAAAUUGAUGAAUUUUUCAGCUAUGAAAAGAAAUUUAAUAUGCAAAUUUUUUUGACAGUAGGCUUUUUCAUAGUACCAAUGACAUUGAAUGAAUCGUUAACCGGAAAAUUAAGAAAAUAAAAUAUAAUAUACGAGCGUAUGGUUUCAUUUUUAAUAAACACCGAUACAUUUUGUCAUAAAAUUCAAUACCUAGCAAUAAUUGAUUAAGUUAGGAAAAUAUCGGUAUAGUUAGGAGAGGUUCAUAUAUAUAUAUAUAUAUAUAUAUAUAGAGAGAGAGAGAGAGAGAGAGAGAGAGAGAGAGAGAGAGAGAGAGAGAGAGAGAGAGAGAGAGAGUUCUCAAAUUCCUUGCGAGAUUAUAUUCAAGAACUCUGGCUAAUACAAAUUCCUUGUGUCAUCCUCAGCUGAAUCAAAUGAAUACAUUGUCUCUUCUAAAGGAAGAAAUACAGUAAGAACCAAAUAAUAGUGUUACAGAACAAACUAAACAAUUAAUCUAUGACAUUACGCUGAAGACUAAGAAUACAUAUCCAUCAUCUUUUCGUUACAGUACCACAUAUCCGAAUCACUUCUAUCAAAUCUAUUUGAAUAGUUUAUCUUAUUAAAAAUUGCUAAAGAUGAGUUCAUAGGGUGUAUGGCUUCGUAGCAUAAUAUCUACUUUUUUCUUUGACAUAUAGGUCACACUUUCCCAUUCCACAUGAAACUGUUGUGUCAAUUCAAAUUUACCACAACAUUAAUGCUUGUUUCCAUAGCUGCAAAAGAAGUGUUUGAAAUGAAAAUAUGAGUUGAAGUGUAAAUUGUUUGUAGUAUUUAAAAUACAUACAUACAUUGCCAAAAAGUAAGAAAAAAAAAAGUCAUAUCCAAUUAGAUUGACCAGAAGCUCAAUCAAAGAUAAUAUCAAAUAUAAAACCCGUUACUUUGCAUUUCGUUGACAUUUGGAGUUGUUUAAAUUAGUUUUUGUUACCAAAAUCUAAACAAUAGAAAGAAGAACCUCUUCGAAGAAGAAUUUACAGUAACUACAACUAUAAUGCUUUUGUCUACAAUAAUAUUAACACAAUAAAUAAAAAAGAGUUCUCAAAUGUACAUAAUCUUUACUCUGUUUUUUCAAAUUCUAAAGCAUGAUAUGGUAUCUACCAAAUGGAAAUAAUAAAGGGAAGAAGAACCUUAAGAGUAUAUGAAUGGACAAUCUUUUCCUAUAUGGAGGAGGAAUUAAACUCAAUUAACCGAAAGGAAAAAAAAAACAAAAGCUAAAAGUGGAUGAUCCUGCAAUUGAAAAACCCAAAUGUGCAGUAAAAACAACCAAGAGAAAACAGAAGCUAAAAGAAAUCACAUUAAAAAAAAAUCAAUUGAAAUGAAGCAAUCACACUUGAUCGACCAUAAAGUGACGUACAAAUGCCAAUUGCCAAUUGCCAAAAAAAAUAAGAAACCAUUUUGAAAUUAAGCAGACAUUGUUGUAAUAAGAAAAAACCUCAAAUGUGCAGUAUAAUUGAAAUUAACUCCAUUUGGAGGGAAUUAAAGAAUGCUAGAACCACAAUAACUUCAUAUUACAUUAAACAUUUUGGCUAAUAUGUUAUAAGCACAACCAACUCAUCCAUAUUAAGAAGCCAACAAAAAUAGAAACCAACUUGUGAACGAAAGGAAAGAUGUGAACAGAAAAUAAAUUCAACAAAACUGGAAAAAUGAAGAGAAGAAAUUCCACUUAAGAAAGGUGGUCAGGGAAAAAAACAAAAAUGAAUCAAAAGUAGAAGAAAUUCCACGACCGACCUGCGUAUUUAUCCUAUACAACAGUCGUUGUCAAACUCUUCAGUCGAAGCUCUACACAUUGCUUAUAUCUGUGAGCAAGAUUUUAAAAAACGUUAGGUACUAGUCGGGCGGCGGGCUAGCGCCUAGCGCCUAAGCAGUUAGACGGGGUCUAGGAGAGCACAUAGGUGGAUUUAGGUAAAUUUCAUGUAUAUCUUGUAGACAAGUGCAUAUUAACACUUACAAAAAAUUAUACUUGUAUAUUAUACUUGUAUGAAAUCAAUGGAUAAGAUGAUAAAAGAAUAAUAAAAUGCAAAAAGAGUAUCCAACAAGUUCAAAAUUUAAAAACACAUUAAGCAUAUAUGCCACAUAAUCAUUGUGAGGAGUAUUGUAGAAUGACACAUGUACAAUAAGUUCAUAAUUUAAAACCACAUAAAAUGCAAAAUAGGAGGAAAAUAAGGAAAUAUAGUAAUGUAGAUAGAUAAGAUUUUUUUUUAUUUUUUAAUUUCAAAAAAAAAAAAAACUGCCUAGCCACCUAGCAUCACCUAGCCCGCCUAAAGCCCAACCGAUUUUUCCAACCGAUUUGCAAGAAAACGCCUCGGGUCACCACCGGCUAGCGCCGUUUUUAGAACAUUGUCUGUGAGAUGAAUACGACAAACAUUUGAGGUUGAAUUAGUGAAUUUCAAAUACACUGGAAAAGAGAAUGCAAACCACAUCUUGAUGAACAAAAUUAGAGAAAAUGGCGAAUAAAAAACAGAAAGGGAAAUCGAUUAGGUACUCAUAAUUAAAGAAAGAUUAGAAAUUUCAUUAAAAUAAAAAGAAGAAUUGAAAGCAAAAUCAAAUGUAGAAGAAAAUUCCAUUAAUUGAUACAACAUUCACGAUUUGUCCAGAUUCUUACAGCCUUACAUGAAGCUUUGCACUGUGCAAUUUUUUUACCUGAAGCAGCAAAAGGCCCACUCCUCACAUCAUGAUCUGCCACAAUUUAAAGAAGUCGAAGUAGUAGAAAGUCUUUGGCAUAACAAAACUGAAAGCAUAAAGCAUAAACCCAAUAAGAGUCAUAAACUAAUGAAGAAAGAAUUUGAAAAUUUUCAUACUACUAACCCUGUUAAAGGAAAGUAUAUUUGGUUAAACAUGAUUGUAGGGAUUGUAAAUAGUCAAUGAUCUGGUUAGAGCUAUCAUAGGACCAGAUUGCAAUCAACUUGUAAUUAGAGAUUGGUUACCUAGAAUAGGCUGCAUCUGACUGUAUAAAGCUUGUAUCCUUGUAUGAAUGAAUAUACUGAAAAAUAAACCAUUCAGCAAACACUUCAAUUUUCACAUGGCAUCAAAGCACCGAUCCUGGUGACUCUAGGCGUCCAUUCCACUUCCGCUACAAACACAGCCCAAAAUUUUCCCAACACACACAACCAACAUGGCUGAUGAAAAACCAGCAGAGAUAGUGCCACAUGCAUCCGACCCUCUCAUCCUACACCACUCAGAUUCACCAAGUCUCGUCUUGGUUUCACAACUCCUCGACGGACACAACUACGGACAAUGGAGCCGCUCUAUGCGCAUCGCUCUCAGUGCCAAGAACAAACUUGGGUUCAUUGAUGGAUCAAUCAAGUGCCUUGCAAUUACCGACGCCAAAUUUUCAAUUUGGCAGAGAUGCAACGACAUGGUCUUGUCAUGGAUUUGGUAGUCUGUGCAAGGCAACAUCGGACGCAGCAUACUCUACUGCAAAUCUGCAUCUGCAACGUGGAAGGAUCUUGAGGAUUGAUUAUCGCAAGGAAACGAUUCCAGGAUCUACCAAAUUCGACAGGAAAUCGUCGAACACCGACAAGGACAACCAUCCGUUUGAGACUAUUACACCCAGUUAAGGGCUUUUUGGGAUGAAUUGGCUUCGUAUUAUGAACCAAUUGCUUGCGAUUGUGAGGGAUCCAAGACUCGUGUAGCAAGGGAGGAAACAGAGAAAGUCAUGCAAUUUUUAAUGGGCUUGAACGAGACUUACUCAACCAUACGAGGCUCCAUCUUAAUGAUGAAUCUGCUCCCUAAUACGAGACGUGUCUAUAGGUUGGUUCUGCAACACGAGCGCCAAAUGGAUGUGGCAAAUCAUCAUGAACCUGCUGCCCACGUGAUGCAUACACAUCGGUCCACCACGCCAAAGGGAGGAUCUGCACCUGGUAGUUCCAGUUCACGCAAAGCAUCCAAAUGCAGCUACUGUGAUGGCUCACAUUCCGAGGAGCACUGCUACUUUCUUAUUGGGUUCCCCGAAGGACAUAAGUGGCAUGGGAAACAUGUACUGCCCAGAAACAAACGCCAAAAUCCGACAGCCCACAAUGUCGAAACACCUCAAUCACAAACCACCCAUACAGACGCAACCAAGGCCACAUCUUCCAAUGGCCCAACGUUCACAACCGAAGAGUACCAUCAACUUCUUACCUUGCUUCGCUCUGGAAACGGUAAAAUUACACCACUUGCGAAUGCAACAGGUAUUGUCACACCCAUAUGUAAUAUGACGGAACAUGACUUGCAUUCAACCCUUUACUGGAUUAUAGACAGCGGGGCAUCUGAUCACAUAUCACAUUCACCAUUAACACAUAAUCAGAUUGAUGUUGAAAAUGAUUUUGUGGGAUUACCAAAUGGGGGAACAGCAGACAUUAAGAGCAUUGGAUCCGUAAAACUAUCACAUGAGUUAUUACUUGAUGGAGUUCUACAUGUUCCAAUAUUCCGUGUCAAUUUAUUGUCUGUGAGUAAACUCACACGGGCUCUACAAUGUAUCGUAAUAUUCUUUCCGGAUUUUUAUGUUAUACAGGACAUGGAUACGAAGAGGACGAUUAGCUUAGGCAAGCAAUUUAAUGGGCUCUAUUACCUUACGCCAAGUCAAAAUCCCCAUCUUACCAACCAUGUUAGCCGCACCACCAGUCUCUGGCAUCAACGCUUGGGCUACCCCUCUACACACCCUUUACAUUUUUUGUCAAAAACAUUCCAGAAAUAAUGUUCGAUUCCAAACAUGUUUGUGAAGUUUGCCAUUUGGCAAAACAAACUCGAUUGUCUUUUACUUCUAGUUCAAUUCAAUCCACUGCACCUUUCGACUUAAUUCAUUGUGACAUUUGGGGGCCUCACAAAGUUCCCACACAUUCCGGGACACGUUAUUUUCUCACCAUCGUGGAUGAUUUACUCAUUUUACAUGGGUGCAUCUUAUGCGUUUUAAAUCCGAUACACAAACACUAUUGACAUCAUUCUUCUCUUGGGUCAAAACUCAAUUUCACAAAAACAUCAAAAUUCUACGAGCUGACAAUGGUGGAGAGUUCCUCUCCAUGCGCACUGUUUUAGACACCCAUGGCACCAUUUUUCAGCAUUCAUGCGUUCACACCCCUCAACAAAACGGGGUUGUUGAACGUAAACAUCGACAUCUUUUGAAUAUUGGGGGUGCACUUCGUUUCCAAGCCAAUUUACCAUUAAAAUUUUGGGGAGAUAGUGUUCAAACCGCAUGCUAUCUCAUCAACCACAUUCCCACACCAUUAUUAUCCCAUAAAUCUCCCUACGAAUUUUUACAUGGUCACUUGCCCAAUUACUCUCACCUUCGCGUGUUCAGAUGUCUUUGUUAUGCCACCAACCUUCACCCAAAACACAAGUUUGACACUCGUGCUCGCCGUUGUCUUUUCCUUGGAUAUCCUCUUGGUCAGAAAGGUUAUCGUGUUUAUGACCUCGACACGCAUACCAUCUCCACUUCCCGUGAUGUCCACUUCCAUGAAACAAUUUUUCACUUUGCCCAUUCACCACCUGAACAUGAGGAUGACUCCCUCGUUCUUCCACUUAUUUUUCCAGACUCAUUACCCACUCUGCCCAGUACACCAUCUCCCGACCCACACCAUCCUAGCCCAAACCCAGAUGCCUUGAACCACAACACUACCCAACCUCCCACUUUCCCAUCCCCAAUUCCCGACAACACUCCCCAAUUCCAGACAACUUUCCCAUCCCCACCAGAGACCGCUCCGAUCUCACCCACUACUGCCACCCAUUCUCUCGCCUUACCUGACCCCCCACCUGCACCGUCUCCACAACCUCCCAUUCGACACUCUUCUCGCCUGACCCGACCCCAUGCCUAUCUCAAAGAUUAUGUGGCCCAUCAUGCUGCUUUGUUUGCGCCUGGCGUCGCCUCUUCCUCCGUGUCCAGCACCCGUCAUCCAUUCCACCGGUAUGUCUUUUAUGCCUCCUUAUCUCCUACUCAUCAAACUUUCAUCCAUAAUGUUUCUUCUCAGAUGGAACCCACAUCCUAUGACCAAGCCCGCCAUGACCCUAACUGGGUCGCUGCUAUGAACACUGAACUCCGAGCUCUCGAAGACAAUCAGAUAUGGAGCAUGGUCUCUUUGCCUGCUGGUCAUCAUGCCAUUGGAUGCAAGUGGGUUUUCAAAAUCAAAUACAAUUCGGAUGGUACAAUUGAGCGGUACAAAGCCCGACUCGUUACCAAUGGUUUUACUCAACGCGAGGGGAUCGAUUACAAGGAAACUUUUGCCCCUGUUGCUAAGCUGAUCACUGUGCGAUGCUUAUUGACUGUUGCUGCUGUUCGUCAUUGGUCCUUACAUCAGAUGGAUGUGCAGAACGCAUUCCUUCGCGAUGAACUUCACAAAGAAGUGUAUAUGUUGCCUCCUCCUGGUUACCGUUGAUAGGGGGAGCGUGUUGUAUGUCAACUCCAAAAGUCUUUGUACGGACUUAAGCAAGCGUCCCGCAGUUGGUUUCAGAAAUUUUCCUCUGCCAUCCAUGACAUUGGAUUCACACAAUCUCGGGCUGAUUAUUCCUUGUUUACCAAGGUCUCUGGCAGCUCCAUUACCAUUGUUUUAUUAUAUGUUGAUGACAUGGUUAUUACAGGAAAUAAUGAUAGAGCAAUCAAUGAUCUCAAGCAAUUCCUUAGCCGCUGCUUUCGAAUUAAAGACCUUGGACCCCUAAAGUACUUUCUUGGAGUUGAAGUCGCACGGUCCAAAGCUAGCAUUACCAUCAAUCAGCGCAAGUACACACUUGACAUACUGGAAAAGGCGGGUUUACUUGGUGCGAAGCCAUCACAGGUCCCAAUGGAACCUGACUUAGUGCUACAACCCACUGGUAGUGAUCCUCUCAAAGAUCCUACGCAAUACCGACGAAUGUUUGGGAAAUUAAUAUACUUGACAAUCACAAGACCGGAGAUCAUAUAUGCGGUCAACACCCUGAGUCAAUUUAUGCAGGAACCUAGGCGACAUCAUCUUGACGCAGCACAUAGACUUCUUCGAUACCUUAAAAAUGCUCCUGGACAAGGUUUGUUGUUUUCUUCUCAAAGUAAGCUAAACUUGAUUGGCUAUUGUGAUGCGGAUUAGGCACGUUGUCCGAUUACUCGCCGUUCAGUUACAGAUUAUUGCAUUUUUCUGGGCAACUCACUCAUAUCUUGGAAGAGCAAGAAACAGGUCACGGUAGCACGAUCAUCUGCCGAAGCAGAGUACCGUUCCAUGGCUGCAGCAACUUGUGAACUCACGUGGUUGAGAUACUUAUUGAAGGAUUUGCAAAUACCCCAUCCUGGUUCGGCGAAGCUGUUUUGUGAUAAUCAAGCUGCGUUACACGUAGCAGUGAAUCAUGUGAUCCACGAGCACACCAAACACAUUGAGCUUGAUUGCCACACCAUUCGUGAGAGGAUUCAAAGAGGAGAAAUCAAGACAGCCUAUGUACACACUGGGGAACAAGUGGCUGACAUGUUUACUAAGCCACUAUGAACACCUGCUUUCCAUUUACAUCUCCGCAAGUUAGGCGUUCUUGACAUCCACACUCCAACUUGAGGGAGAGUGUUAAAGGAAAGUAUAUUUGGUUAAACAUGAUUGUAGGGAUUGUAAAUAGUCAAUGAUCUGGUUAGAGCUAUCAUAGGACCAGAUUGCAAUCAACUUGUAAUUAGAGAUUGGUUACCUAGAAUAGGCUGCAUCUGACUGUAUAAAGCUUGUAUCCUUGUAUGAAUGAAUAUACUGAAAAAUAAACCAUUCAGCGAACACUUCAAUUUUCACACUACAAUAUUGUCUCGCCCAGACAACACACAUCACAUCUAUCUCCACCGCCUGCACCGGUACCAAUGAUUUGAAACCUAAUGGAAAAAGCACGACAAAUAAUUGGAAAAUGGAUUAAUAUAAACAAAAACUCCCCAGAACCAACAGUUUCCUUGUAAGCAUAAGAACCUCACCAACGGGCUUCAUUGGAAUGUAACGAAUGCAGAGGGAAACAUAAAAACACUUACAUGGAGAAGAAACAAAUCCAAGUUUUUCACUCAAAAGAAAAUAACCAACAAUCAUACAUGAAAAUAGAAGGAAAAAUGAAUUUGGUUAAGGGUGGACAACAUCUGGAAAAGAAUGCAAAGAUCAUGGAGAAUCCGAGAUUGAAAAUUACCUGCGAUAAGAAUCAGUCAAUGUAGAGGAAGAGUCUUUGUCAAUAUAUCUAUCUGUCUGUUUCUCCCUCCCCCUCGUUGUCUUCUCCUUGAUUUCUGCACGACUACAAAUAAACUGCCAACAUUAAUAUGAAACUAAACUUACCCAAUGAAAUUUGAACACAAUGGAUUACUUCUCCAGUAAAGUUCAUUUCCAAUUCCUACUGCUUUGAGAGGAUUUUUCUAAAAAUUUGGAAUCUCUAAUAACUGAAGAAUCGCACUAUGCAAAACCCAAGUCGUUUAUUAGGACGAAGAAUCGCAAAAGCCCCGGAAUUUGAAAUCUCAUACUUCAUUUGUGGUUUUUUCUAAUUGAAAACCCAACAAUAAUAAUCCAAUCGAAAUUGAUUGUAAAGACAAAAAGCGAAGGAAUUUAGGAAAAAACACCUGAAAUCUUGUCAAAAUCAAGUGUGGAUGUCGACAGAAAUUUGGAAUAACAUGAAGAGGGGUCUGUGCGGAAGACGAAAGUGGGUUCGUUUCUUCCGAUGUAUGACAUGUUGUUCACUGUAGAACGUGUAGUAGAUGGCGGUUCCAUUCCAUCUCCUCUGGUGUUUACAACCGCUGCGGUUAGAUAUGGUGUUCGAGAGUUCUACCGAGUUUUUAUUUAUUUUUUAUUUUUUAUUUUACGUUUAUUUCUCUCGGAAAGAUAGGACACAAUGUAGUAUUUGUGGGAGGAUUAAUCCAAGGGUCAAAAUGAAUUUGAAGUGCAAGUAUUUUCAUCCGUCGGUUGUCAAUUGUUAUAGUUAAGAUGGGUGUUUUUUAAAUUUGCUUUUUUUAGUAAAACAAUUUUGUACUCUGUUAUGUUUUUUUCCAGUUUAUCCUCAUUUUUUGAAAUGUUUUGGGCUUGGUUGUGAAGAAAACAAAGGGGCUUUCUUGGCAUUUUGAAAUGCUUCACCUAUUUGGCCUUCUCCCUUUAUAUACACUAGCCUCUCCGCAUGUACUAACGUGCGUGCAAGAGGCAUUUUUACAUUACAGGCGCUACGCAUCCCUAAAGGUGUAUUGCGUUAGUUUUUCCCAUCGUAAUUGUCAAGAUAUAUUUUAAAUGUAUUAUGCAAAGAGAAACUCUUUUUUUUAUCAUGCAUAUUCUAAAAAGAGUAAUAUAUGUAACUCGUUUUUACUUUGCGUAAAGUAAUGAUUUAAAUGUUAUUCAUGCACUUGUCAAACAACAUGGGAUUUUAGACGCAAGUUCCUACCUAAAGUAGAAGUAAAUAAAAAAAAGAGUAGAUGAAAACAUUAAGUACUCGUAGCAAAAUACAAAACAACUUAAAUGUCAAAAUAUAAAUCCUGCAUAACAAUAUGUACAUUAUUCACAAUACCCAUAGAGUCUAUAUAUCACUGUUUCUUUUGAAAAGAAAGUUUACAUUUUGAUAUCAAUGCUACAAUUUCCACACAUUUGUUCAUGAUUGAUGCUUCAAAUUUUCAUUGCCAAUCUACAAAUGAUAGUGAGAAAAUUAAAAAUCAAAUAAAAAAAGUUAAUUGAUAAGUGAGAAAUGCAUAUUGAAAGGUUAUCGUUAAUAAAGUUGUUACCUAUUAAAAAUCACCAUAAUUAGCUGGAAAGAAGCAAGACUUCUUUGUAUACUACAUUCUGUGUAAAUACACAUUGUUGGCCGAUUAUGGAGCCAUUUUUUACUAACAUGGUUGUGGUUGACUUUGAGACCCCCCUCGAUAAGGCCACAUAUCAUUGUUCAUGACUGAAGACGUGAUCUGGAAGGUAAACGCCUACAUGUGGUAUUGUCUGACCUUGAGAUUUGUUUAUAGUGAUAGAGAAACUUAGUUUCACUAGAAACUGCUUUCUUGUAAGUUCAAAUGGAAGCCCAGCAGUAUCAAUACUUUUGAGAGGGAUUCUUGAUAAGAAAACUCUGGAUCCGGCAAAUUGUCCAGUUAGAAUUUCAACAUCUAUAAGAUUUUGGUAAGAACCAUGACACAAUAAUCUUGUACCAUUACACAAUCCCAAUGAUUGUGUAAAAGCAUCAAAAGUUUUGUUAGUAACAUGAAUUGUAUGUGUUUUCUAAAACUCAGAUUUACGAAAAUUGAAAGAGAACGAAAAGUUAAAAUAUAAAUUAGUAAAAGAAAAACAUAUAUGAAACAAAACAGGUAAUCAUGGAGUUGAUGAUUCUAAAAAUGAAAGAAAUGAACCUGGAGAUGCAGAUGAAAACAUAUAAUCAUUCAGUUCAAAAUAUUACAAUUUUGAGUCAUCAAAGAAACAAAGUGAAAUAGCACAUUGCCAUUUCGGUUCUUUGAUUAAGUGUAAUAUUCGGCUUCUCAAGUAUCUUACAACUAAGCAAAAAAAAUGCGCUUCCUAGUUUCACAAACUAAAAUGCAUCUAAUAACUUAUCAUAAAGGAUGAAGUAGCAACCUGAUCAAAUAGAAUGAUCGGCAAAACUCGGGAUUGAAGAAUCUUUAAUUAUUUUGAAUACUUGGUGAAGUUCCUCCACAUGAACCCCAUGAAGAAAAACUACAGGCUGCAAGAUAAGAUUCAAACCAUAUUAUAUAAAAAAACCAGUAAAAAAUUCCCAACAUUUGACUCAAAAUUGAAAGGAAAAAAGAUGAAAUUCUAUGCAUUUAGCAGAUAAUUGAUAAAUCAAACUCUGCAACUGAAACGUUGACAAUGGCUUCAAAAUUAACUGAAUAUCUAAAACAACUUGUAAUCCUAAUUAUAUGGAAGAGGGUAGAGAAAAGCUAAGUGCUUCAACCCCAGGUUAUGAUGCUUUGCAGACAACUUACAUCAACCUUUGAAUUUCUUCCUCAAUUAGCUAGCUCUUGAAUGCACCAAUAACAUAUGCAAUUGGAACUUGGAUUACAUAGCUCUCAAUUCCAUUGACUUCAUCUAUUAAUUUUUAGAGGGUUACCUAUAGUUUUUUCAAUGACAAUGACAUGGUUUACGCAUGAACAUGGUUUUUUCUUAUUUGUUUAUCUAUUUCACACUUGAAUCAAUAAAAUUUUGCUAGUGCAAUCAUACGGCAUUCACAACGAUCAUACUAUUGAUUUGUAAUUUCUCUGAUAAUUACAUCCCCGAUCAAGCAGGCUAACUGUCAAGCGUAAUUAAAAAAGUAGCAACAGCCCUAAUAAAAAAAAUAAUUCAAACUCAUCAAACUAUCGAGUUACAUACCUUGCAUCGGAAUCUAGCGUAAAAUUUACCUUUCUAGCAAUAACGAAAUAACUCAGUUAUCAAAUGCAGGACACACUAAAAUGCAUCUAAUAACUUAUCAUAAAGGGUGAAGUAGCAACCUGAUCAAACAGAAUGAUCGGUAAAACUCGGGAUUGAAGAAUCUUUGAUUACUUUGAAUACUUGGUGAAGUUCCUCCUCCUGAACCCCAUGAAGAAAAACAACAGGCUGCAAGAUAAGAUUCAAAACAUAUUAAAUAAAAAACCAGUAAAAAAUUCCCAACCCAACACUGUUAUUAUGGUAAUUUCAACGCAAGCCGCCUUCUCUAGCAGAGUUCAUUUCCAAAUCCCUACGACUUCGAGAGGAUUUAAAAAUUUUGGAAUCUAUAUAAUGAAUAAGCUUGAAGAAAAGCUUCAAAUUUAUAAAAAAAAAACUUUGAAUUCGAACAAAAAAUGCAAAAACUAAGUCGUUUAUUAAGAAGAAGAAUCGCAACUCACAUGGCUGUGGGGAUUUCCAGACAGGUUCCAAUAGAUUGAGUGGAUAUUCGAAACCUUAAGAAACAGGAAACUGUACAGCUCAAUAGUCGGGUAAAGGCUAUGGUUCACCCUGAAAAAUCUUUCUUCGAUUCUAUCGAAUCGCUAGAUAGUUUGGGCUCGCUCUCAAAGGCCACACUUUGCCCGCGCAAAACUAAAUUCCAAAAUUCCUCUUCCCUGCAUUCAGAAACACAUCAUCAAUUAAUUAGAAUUGAAUAUGAACGCAAAUCUAAUUCUGCUUCAUCAAAGCAAAUAAUUCAUACACAAUUGAAAAAUGUGUAUAAAUGGGAAGAGAACGGAAAUUGAAAAUAUGAUCAGAAAUGAAUGAUCGAUGAGAAACAGUUAAUUAAUGGCAAUGAAUUUGAUUUGAAAAGAGACUAAUAAACAUACUGGUAAAGAAGCCGCACUUGUCGUUUAUGGCGAGUGAAAGGUUGUUUCAAGAAGCUGCAGUUGUUGAUCACGGCGAGUAGAGUCAAGUUUGAAAGUUUGAACAAACGUUGGAAGGAAUACAUAGAAAAUUGAGAAUCACGUUUGAAAGUUACCUGCGAUAAGAAUCAAUCGAUGUAGAGGAAGAGUCUUUGUCAAUAUGCAUCUUUAUUUCUCCCUCCCCUUGUUCUCUGUAGAGGAAGAGUCUUUGUCAAUCUGGUUUGUAGUUUGCAGAACGUGGAGGGUGGUUGAAUCCCACGUUGCGGUUCUAAUUCUUCAUUCGGCAAAACUCUACAGUUAUGAUGCUUUAUCUUUUUUCAGUGAUGGUUUUUUACCAGCUUGUCGUAUUAGUUUAACCAUCAGAAUUCAAUUCACACAUUACCCAUAUUUUCAAUGUACAAUCUGCUUACAAAUCAUUACCAAAUACAGUAAAACAGAAACUGGUAAUUGGGUAAUUUUAGUAACUCCUAUAAAUUCUGACCAAUUGCAGAAGUAAUUUUAUAGAAACCAAAUUCCCAGCUAUAGCCUCAAAUGUCUCUCAUUGCAUGCAGCUGACUACCACUGACUCAAAUCACAUAAAUAAAAGAAAUGGAAUCCAGAAAAACCCAUAUGACAACAAUUAAGUUUAAAUAAUAUAAGCAGUGUGGUCGAUUAAGCACUAAUCACUGAGCAAUUUUGAACGCCCAGCAGUCCCAUCCUACGCCAUCAAUGAUUCGAAUUUCCUUAUUAAAUUAUAUAGAAUAAUAAACAAAACAAACGGAAAAGCAAAUUCAUGUGGGUAAUAUUACUUAAUUGGAGGGUAGAAAUUAUGAAAAAAAAAAUCACCUGAAUUUGUGUAAAUUGAGUGUGGAUGCAGAAGAAACUCUGGAAAAACAUGCGGAUGAGAGGUUUGUGCAGAAGACGAAAGUGAGUUCUUCCUCUUUUCUGUGCAUUUGGGGUUAGAAUGAUCGUUGUCCCCUCUAGAACGUGUGGUAGAUUGGCGGUCCUAUCUUCGAUCUUUGCAACUGUUGCAACCGGUGUUCUGUUUUGUGCGACAACGUGUUUGACAGUUCUCCUCUAAUUUGGAGGGAGUGUUUGUCAGUUUUUAUCAAUUUACUUGUUAUUUUGGUUUUGGUGGAAAGAUAGAAUGUGAUGCAGUAUUUGUGGGAGGAUUGAUCUAAGGGUCACAAUGAAUUUCAAGUGUGUAUAUUUUUAUCUAAUGGUUGAAAAUUGUAAUUGUUUAGAUGAGUGCAUAUAUUAUUCGCACAGUAGAAUUUCAUUGUAUUAUAUUACAAUUUUGACUUUAUAUUUAUUGGACAGUUAUCCGUUACUCUUAAGUAUGGACUAAGGAUAUUUUUGGCAUUUUGAAUGUAUAGAUAGAUAGAUAAAGAUCAACGACUGGGUAAAAAUCAGGAAGUGCAUGUGCCCAUUGAAGCUUUUUCUUAUUUUCUUAGGUGAAAUGGAUUUUUUUUCCAGUUUUAUUAUCACAUAUAGGCCGUAUCUCGUAUUUUGUAGGUGAAAAAACUCAUUCUAUUUCAUUAUCCUACAUCACGUGUGAAAUGAGUUCAUUCCUACUUACAUGCGCACUCUUGCAUUUAGGCACUUUUAAGCUUAAAUUCAUUCAUAUUUUCCACCUCAUCACACUUUAUAGGUUCGUCACCUUUCAGAUGCUGGCCAGCACAGCUCGAUUUGGAGUCCAGAUAGACAUUCCGGGUCAGGGUGUGUCAAUUUGAAUAUUAAAAAAUAAGGAAUGUAUUUGAAUAUUUUGAUUCAAUCUGAAACUUGCCUAAAUCUAUUACAUACACUUAAUUAUAUACUUGGUUUUAUUUUAGGAAAAUUUUAUUUGAACUCAUACAACUUCUAACUACAUCCAACUUACUCUGUACGCCCAUAUUAGUUUUAAUUCAAGAAUCAAUAUAUUUUAAAUCCAAAUUUACUAACUACAAUACCCUCACGAACUCAAUUUAAUAUGUAAAUUUGACUUUACACCUAUUUGAAAAAUAAAACCCAAAAUUAAACAUUUGUUGUGUAGGUCAUUAAAGUUAGAAUAUUAAAUUGUAAUUCCUCGAGACAAACCAAAUAUUGAGCCUUAUACAUUUGGAAAGAUCUAGAUGUCUAGUUUAUGGAGAAUUUUAUGGUUUGUGAUUCCGAUUUUUGUAGGAGAUGUUAUUACUAUUUUAGUGCAGACAUCACAAAAUCAAAGAUUUGCUAUGCAGAUCAGGAUAGAGCAUAUUAAUUAUGAGAGUAGAAGCUAUUAUAUAUACACAACAUAAUCCUUGCCUAAUCCUAUUAGGAUUCCCUUAUUAGAAUCCAUAUAGAAAACUAAUUCCUUCCAAAUAGCAGUUUAGUAUAAUAUGGAUUACAAAUCCAUUCCCAAUAAGUUCCCAUUUAAACUCUAAUCCUAUAACCAAGUUCACAAAUUCAUACUUAUGCUCAUUUUCUUACAAGUAAUUCCACAGACCGUGAUCCACCAUAAUCAAAUUUAAUCAAACACUAUGCUAAAUAUAUUAUACACCAAUAAAAAUGAAUUCUACUUCAGAUGAGGACCAAGAAUUUCUCCAAUGGCUAAAACGAAUUUAAUUUAGAAGUAAAAGAUGCAAUUUAAAGGAACAUACACUUAUUUUUCUUUAUGAGAGCUCUUAGGAUUUUAGUCAGGAUGAAUGUAAGAUAAAGAUUGGUGAUGGUGGGAUUUGAUUAUUGGAUAUAUGUUUAUUGAUUUUUUUUUUUUUUGUUAAUUUCAUCAUGUACAUGAUGGUAAUUAUGCAACAAGAUAAAAAAUACAAUUCACAUUUAAAAUUUAAGUUGAGUGUACAAAGAAGUUAAAAUAGGUUCAACUAAAAUUUUCCUUUAUUUUAUAUAUGUUUCAUUUGUUAGUUGUUAUAGAUAAGACUCAAUGAUUCUAACUUUUUUACAAUUGUAUCUCCCUUAAAUAUAUUACAUACAAAAGAGAGAACUAAAGACAUAUAUUAUGUUUGGACACAACCCACAACAAAAGCUGGCUUUCCAAAAGAUAUGUUUGAAAGUUACUUCCUCAACGAAAGAAAUAUACGAGGCCGAAUAUUUUUGAGAAAAGCAAUGAGUUCAUGGUUGUUGAAUCUACGGUCAAGAGACUCUUACAAUGGUGCUAUUACUUGUAAUAAAAGAAGGAAUGCUACAAUAUAUAUAUAUAUAUACUUUGAUCUAAUGAAAAUAUAAAAUAGUCCAUAAUGAUUUUUUUUUUGUUGGUUAAAAUCAUAUAUGUUGUUAAUCACCAAAUCAAUUGAUCUCCUAAGACCAUCUCAAAUGGUGGGCUAAAAUCUAAAAUUUCUCUUCCCCCCCCCCCUCCAAAAUUCACUCCAACUCAUGACCUAAAAUUAACCUAAAACCUAAAACCCAAAUGGAGGGCAAAUACUGGCCCAAUUUUAGGCCACAAAACAAAAUGGACCCCACCAACUGAGACUGAAACCAGGGCUGUGAAGUCCAUUGCCCACUCCCUACUCGCCUAUGCGUUGCACACGCUAGGCUUUCUCAAAAUUUUGUACCAACCCACGUGGGGUUGUUCCCCCACUGUCAAACCAUCAAGUAGCCGUUGGGCUACUUUUCUUCAUCCAACGGUUCCAUUUAAAUGGGCCAUUGGUUAAUCCAACGGUCCAAGUUCAAAUUUUUUUUUAGUUUUAUAUUUAUUGAAUCCAACGGCUUAGAUCGAAUAUAAUCAAAUCUAACGGUAAAAAAAAGAUCUAAGUUUAUGUGGUUUAUUAAAUGUCGUUUGUAUUAAGUUUAUGUGGUUUAUCAUGAUUUUCGUGAUUGAUUUAUUGAUUUUUCAAAAUGUAUCGGAAUUUAAAUAUUUUUAGGUUAAAAUGUUCAUAUAAUUAAUUUAGGAUAGUCUACAUAAUUUUUUUAAAAAGUUAAUUUAAAAAAAAAUAGCCUUAAUUCAUUCUUUGAUAAUCUCGGACUAAAAUUUUAGGCCAGAAGGGCUGGAGCAUGAAAGCUAUUUCUGGGCUAAAACCUAAAUUUUCUGGGCUAAAUAUUUUUAGGUUUUAGGUCACCAUUGAAGAUGGUCUAACUCUUGAUUCUAAUUACUACUCUGAAUAGUAAUUGCCUUAGAUCAAUUUCACCUGUUUAAGGAUUGCCAUGAAAGUUACUAUUCUUAAUAUAUUUUUUUAAAUAUUUAAAUGCAUACUUAAAUAAAAUAAAAUUCCAAAAAUUAUUUAAAAUGAGACAAGUUGGUUUUGUUUGGUAUUUUUGCAGACACAUUCUGCAUACACAUUUUUUUCGUAAAAAAAUGAGACAAAAUCAAAGAUCUAAUAUGAUUAAAAAUUUUACACAUGCCCUCCUAAAUUCGUUACAUUUUUUUAAUUUAAAAUUUGUUUCUUAUCUAAUAUAAUUUAAUUUUUCAAACAUCAUGUUUAUGCUGCUAGUUUUGAUUAAGUAAAGGUAUUUUUUAAAUUAAUGAAAAUUUUGAAAAAGGGGUUAUGUAUAGACCUUAACUUUUUUUUUUGUUGAACUAUAUAGAUGCCUUAUUUUAUUUUAUUUUAUAUUAAGUCUUAUUGUUUAUAGUUGAAUUGACUUCUUUUUUUUCAUAUGAAAAACAAUUCUUAUUUAAAAAAUUUCUCAUUUGUUUUGAUAAAAUUCUUACUUUAUACCUCAACUUACAGUCAACAGAAAGUAUCACAAGUGCAAUACAUGACAUAAAUCGAGAACAUUAUCAACUAUUAUUACAGUUUAGGAACGAAAAUUAAACUGACUAAUGCUACAAUUUAACUUAAAUAUUAUUACUCUAAACUUUUUAUUCGAUACAACGAGAUAUUUACACUAUGGCGGUGCGAGAAUAAAUUGGUUGCGAACUCUUUGUUUCCAAGAUUUGGACUUAAGACUUCUCAAUUAUAAGUGAAAAAGAAUGCUAUUAGACCAUAUUACUAAAUGUCUACUACUGCUCCAAACUUUACUAAUUAAAAUAUGCAAGUUCGAAACUCUAGUUUUGUAGUGGAUGCUUUAGCUCAUUUUAGCAACUCCCUUCCUUCUGAAAGUAUUUGGUUCAAUAGUGUUCAGAUUGGUGUAAGAAAUGCCUUAGAGCAGUUCCACUGGACACAAAAUUGCCCAGCACCCUGUCCCAAAAUCAGCCCAGCACCCUGUCAAUCUGCUCCAGCCCGCAAAACAGCUUGGCACCCAGCCCAAGCCAGGCAAUAGACUAGCCCAUUUCGAAUAGACCCAAAGGCCAGCCUAUUUGGCUAGCGCGUGCAUCACACUUGCGACUGGACGUGAGUAGGAGACAAGGGUGCAGCCGGCGGGGCCCGCUUGUCAGCCCACUUGUGUUCACUCGGAUUAGAGCUACGUGGCCCUUCUCAGUGCCGUUGGAUUUCCAACGGUAAAAAAAAUUUAAAUUUGACUUUUAAAAUGGACCGUCCGAUCAUAGAUCAACGGUCGACGUUUUUUUCACAAAAAAAAGGCCCAAUGGUCAGAAUUAUGACUGUUGGCCACGUGGCAACGCCUUGGCUCUUGGAUUUGCAUAUUUUUCAAAUCCAACGGUCUAGAUUAAUUAACUAUAUUAAAAUUUAUAAAAAAUUAUGAAAAAAAAUAUAGAAAAAUUAUGAAAAAAAAUACAUAAUUUUUUUUUAAAAUACAUAAUUUUUUUUAAAUAUAGAAAUUUUUUUUAAAAAGUUAUUUUUUUUCUUUUAUAAAUACCUAACCCUCAUCUUCCACCUUACACCACAUUUCAAUAUUUUCUACACUUUCUACACUAUCUACAUUUCAAUAUUUUCUACACUUUGAGAGAAAAAAAUGUCUUCGUGGAAGAACAUUAAAGAUGUUACAUUGUGUGAAUGUUGGGUUCACACUACUCAUGACCCAAUUACGGGUAAUGAGAUGGAUAAGUGAGAAAUGUGGAGUAAAAUUACGAAAAUGUUUUGCGAUGUAUAUGGAAAGGACGCCAGAACUAGUCAAGGUCUUCAAGGUCGUUGGAAAAAACUCAACACAUCCUUUACUUGUUGGAAAAACGUCAUCUCGCAUGCUUCCGGUAAUCUGCGUAGUGGGACAAGUUUAGCGGAUCAGGUGAUAAUAUUUUUAUUUAUUUAUAUGCAUUCCACCCGCAUCAAUAUUUUAAUUUAUUUAAUUUCUUAUGUAAUUUAUAUGCAUUCCACCCAUAUUUUUUAAUACUAUCUCAUCCCACAUUUUUACAAACACUACAAGCACAAGCAUUCUACAAUACAAAGAACCAAAACAAAUCAUUCAACAAAUGGGAAUGUUGGUAAAUUGUCAAAGAUUGCCCUAGAUACAAAAUUGUGGCAACCGGUCCAGAAAUUGUCAUACAUGGCAUGGGUCUACAUAGUUCGCCAGAACCAGACACAGCCGAACAAGAAGCCAACACAUUUGAAGACACGGAAGGGAAGCCUGAACAAGUGCCGAAGACCCAACCGACUUGUCAGUCCCUCAGGCUUCAAGGUAAAAAGGCAUCAAAGAAAAAAGGUAGUUCUUCCAAAAAUGACUACACUAAAUAUAUGGAAGAACUUGCUCUCCAAAGUGAACUGAAUAUAACACGGGAAAAGGCUAGAGAUGAGGAAAAAGCUGUUGCUAUGGCAGCAAUAAUAGCAGCUACUGAGGCCCGUGAUGCAGCGGUUGAGAGACAAAGAGAAAUAGUUAAUCGAGAGAAUGAGAUGAUUAGAGAAGCACUUCAUCGAGAAAAUGAGAUGCUUAGAGAAGAAAAGAUGGCUCAAGCAGAUCGUGACAUUAUGAACAAGCCUCUAGUAGGACUGUCUCCGAAUUCAAAAUAUUUUUGGACAUCGGAAAAAAAAGAGGUCGUGCGAAGGAGGUGUGCAAGAGAUGCCGAAACAAGUCGAGGGGGUUCUAGCUACAGAAAUCCUAGCAAAGAAGAUCCUAGCACCACAUAUCCUAGCUCCACAGACUUCGUAUAAUUUCGUAUUUCUUUGUAGUACUUUUUUUUUAAUUUUUAUGUAAUUUUUAAUGUAAUUUCUUAUUUAUUUUUAGAACUUUAUGCAAUUUCAAAUUUAUUUUUUGUACUUUAUUUAAACACAUCAAAUAAGAUUACAUAAACUCACCAAAUAAGAUAACAUUAAACUCACCAAAUAAACUUUAAAAAAAACACCAAAUUAACUUUAAAAAAAACACCAAAUAAAAUUACAUAACCUCACCAUAUAAACUAAAAAAAAAACACACUAAAUAAGAUUACUUAAAAAUCUUAUCCGAAAUUAAAACUAUUUUAUUUAUUUAUUCUUUUAUAAAUUAAAAAAAUAUAUAAAUGGGUUGGGUGCCAGCGCAUUUUUUUAGAGGUGAAGAUGCUUUGGCCUAUUACUGUUCACUGAGGUCUAUUACUGUUUACUUGAGUGGAUAAAUGCGCUGAGUGCUGACGUAAAGUCUUAGGGGUGGAAUUGCUCUUAUACUUUGAUAAUUUUUGUACUGGUUGCCCUAGGUGCUAUGUAAUUAAUCCUUUGCCUUCUCAAAAUAUAAAGUUCGAACGUAAAACAUAAUGAUUUGAAGACGGAUGCCUUUUUCAUCAUGACAAUUCACUUGUUGCCGAGUGUUUAUUUAGGAAAGUGAUUUUCACACCUCACCAACAGAUCAAAUAAAUCAAAUAAAUUUAAGAGUUGUGUAAGUGAUUAAAAAUAAGAGUAAAUUGUAGCAAUAGUCCCUCAACUUUAAUUAAAUAGGAGUAAUGAUCCCUCAACUAAAAAUUUAUUACCAUUGGUCCCUCAACUUAUCAAAAUGUGUAACUAUAGUCAUUUUCAUCAAUUUCGUCAAAAUAAGUUAUGUUGGAAUAACCACUUAUACAAUUAGGGUCUCUCAACUCAUUAAUGUGUGUAAUUAUGGUCAUUUUCAUCAACUACGUCAAAAUUUUUGUCAAAAUGAGUUAUGUUGGAAUGAUCAUUUCUACAAUUGGGUUAAAGUUAAGGGACCAUUUCUCUAGUUGAAUUAAAGUUGAGGGACCAAUGGUAAUGAAUUUUUAGUUGAGGUACCAUAACUGCACGUUUUGAUGAGUUGAGGGACCAAUGAUAAUGAAUUUUUAGUUGAGUGACUAUUGCUCCAAUUGAGUUAAAGUAAAGGACCAUAACUACAAUUUACUCUAAAAAUAAUGCUUGAAAAUCAUAUCCUUUUAUUUAUUUAAUUAUUUUUGGAGUAAUACUACACAUACCACCUAGUUGUACCAUUAUUUGUACUAUCUUUCUAAUAGAAAUAGGAACAACGCAUGUGGUCCAAUUUUCUAUUUAGAGAGAUAAUACAAAUGAUGGUACAACUAGGUGAUAAGAAUAACAUGUUUGUUAUUUUUGUGUUGGGUGAAGUGUCAAUUUAGUUCUUGAAGUAUUAUCUUAGUGAAAAUUAGGCCCCUGAAUUAUUUUUUGGGGUAAAGUAAGUUCCUAAAUUUAUUAAAAAUUGCUAAUUUCAUCCAUACUAUUAAAUUCAAAGCUAUUUUAUCCAAUUUGUCAAUUUAAAUCACUUGACACACCUUAAAAUGUAUAAUCGUCUUUAUUACACCUAUUAGCCUUUAACAUUUUAUAUAAGUUGCGAAUCUAACCUCUAAUUUAUCUAUACAUUAUUUCAUAAAAAAUUACCAAUUUACCCUUCAAUAUGUAUCAAAAGCAAGUAACGUGACUUAAAUUGACGGAAAAUUAAAAAUAGUAGCAUCAAAUAUAAUAUUAGAGAUAUAGUUGAUAGAUUUUUAUAAUUUAAAAACUGAUUUUUCUAAAAAAAAAUAAUAAUUUAAAGACUUAAUAUUCACUUAGGUAAUAAUUUAGGAACUAGAUUGACAUUUCACCGUACUACAGCACCAAACACGAGCAAGUCUCUUAUUACGACAACCAAUACGUGCGUCUUUCUCCCACGCAGGCCCAGUCCAUCCUUUGAAUCAACUGCGUCUCUCUGUUUUCACUCUUCGAUCUGUGCGUUUCUUCUGAUUCCAGUACUCCGCCGGCCCACCGCGAAAACCAUGGACGCUCUCCCGCAGGACACGCUCCACCAGAUCUUCUCGAGCCUUCCCCUCCGGCAGAUCAUGAUCUGCCGCUCACUCUCCAAGUUCUUCAACCAACUCCUCACCUCACCCUCCUUUGUCCACAUCAUCUCCACCCAAUCUCCGCCCCUCAACCUCCUCGCCCUCCGCCCUCCCCACCACCACCACCAGCGCCACGUGUCCUCCUCAUCCUGCCUCCACGUCUUCGACCCCGACCUCAACCAAUGGAUCAGAUUCGCCCUCGAUUUCCUCCCCUUCCGCUCACCACACCCCGUCGCCUCCUCUCUCGGCCUCGUCUACCUCUGGGGCGACUCGCCCGACCCGCCCGAGUCAGCCAAGUCCCUCGUCGUCUGUAACCCUCUGACUCGUCAGUUCCGGGUCCUCCCUCAGCUCGGCUCGGCCUGGUCGCGCCACGGCUCGGUCCUCGUUGACUCCCAAACUCGAGUCAUGGUCCUCACCGAGCUCGCCGCGCUCUACUUCUCCGGUUCUAACCAGUGGCUCAAGUUCUCAUCGAACCUCCCGUCAAAACCCAGAAGCCCAAUUUUGGUGUUUGACUCGGUUUACGCCCUCUGCGAUGUGGGUUCGCCGUGGAGGAGUGAAUGGAAGUUGUUCCACUGCACAAUUUCGAAGCUCAAGACCUCGCAGACUUGGACUCGGCUCGAAAAGCACGAUUGGGGGGACGUCUUUGACAUCCUGAAAAGACCCCGUUUAGUUCGCGGAAAUGGGAACAAUGUGCUGAUGGUUGGUGGGUUGAAGUCGUCUUUCUCGCUGAACGCUUCGUGUUCGACGAUUCUGAUUCUGAGGCUGGACUUGGAUAGCUUGGAGUGGGACGAGGCGGGCCGAAUGCCGGUGGAGAUGUUCAAGUGCUUUCAAGAGUCGAGCAAGUUCAAGGUGUUUGGUGGCGGCGAUAGGGUCUGUUUUUCGGCAAAGAGAAUUGGGAGAUUGGCUUUGUGGGACCGUUGUUCCGAGAAAGCUGAGUGGCGGUGGAUUGAUGGGGUGCCCGGGAGCGGCGAUGGGCUUUCCCGGGGGUUUGUUUUUGAUGCCACGCUCACAGCAUUUCCUUGAUGGGGUUCAACACAGACAUCAGAGCUUUUGAUGCCAAGUAGAGGUUGGUAUUUAUCCAUUAAUGAAUCCCAAUGUUGUUGUAUUAGCGUUGAAUUCGUAGAAUUUCUUGUGUUAAAUGAAUUUCUUAAUACAAAUCAAUAGAAUAUGUUCCAACUAAUGCUUUGGAAUUGCUUUGUUCACUUUGUAUCCAGUCUCACCCAUUACUUGCAUUACUUGCAUUACUUGCAUACAGAGCAGCCGAAAAAGAAAAAAUACAACGAAAAGAGUACAUUUUGUUGUUGUUAAAGUGUUGUGCAAUGGAUUAUGAUUAAGGAUGAAGUUAUGCCUCUACAUAGAACAAUGAAAACAUUUCCAACUUAGUGUGCUUGUGUUAGUGUUUGCACUGAAACUACGAUUAGAACUUAACCAGCCUCGAGACAGAUAAUAGUGGAAAACUUUCUUAUAAGUUCUUGACGUCACUUUAUAAUGCGUUAUCCUAUUAAUACAUGAACGGUAGAAAUGUACUCUUAGAUGAAUGGUGUUGAUUAGUGCAGCUUAUUGAGCUUGUUAGAAGGUUCUUUACAUGGUUUGCUAGUCCGUUUUCUAUGUUAGCUACGUGCCUGGGGAGCUAAGUCAGUUGCAUAAAUAGUAGGAUAUAUCAAGAAACAUCGACCCGUUCUUCUUCCUUUCUCUCUCCGUUACUUCAUUUCAGCAUUUCUUAUCAAACAUCAUGAACCGGAAAUGGUUAAUGCUGUUUGAUCUCUAUUCUUCUGCGUGCUCAUAUGGGUUCAAGAUUGUGACUUUUUCUGCCGAGAUUUCCUUUUGGUGUUCGUGCAUCCCACCUGUUUGAUCCAACGUCUUAGUCAAGAUCUUUUCCUGAGGUUAUGUAUUUUCUGAAGAAUUUCUUGUUUCUUUUGUGCUCAUUGGGUGAAUUGGUGAAAUGGGUUAUUGUGCAAUUUUUGUUUGGAAGAAUCAUUGUUGAUUAGUUGGGCACGAAGCCUCUUUGAUUAAAACUGUAGAAAUGUUAUUGGCACGAAGCAUUGUUCUAAAAAUCCCCGCCUAGACCCCGUCUAGGCGCUAGGUGGCUGGCCAUCGUCCCGAUUAAUGCCUAGUCGUUUGAAAAUUAAGAAAGGGCACCUAGGCGGUCUAGAUUUACUGAGGCGCCUGCCUAGACCGCCUAGCCUGCCCAAACCUGGUUAGGCACCCGCCUAGGUUGCAACUCACUUAGGCAGAAAAUAAAUAAUUUUCAUUUUGCAUUUUUUAUUUUAAUAAAUUGUAAGACACUUGUUGAAUACUUGAAUGAGCACACAUUAUAUGCUUGUUCCUCAUGUUUUCAUUAUGUUCCAAUACUUCAUAAUAUAUGUCAUUCUAUUUUGUAAUUUAUGAUGAAAUUAUAUAUAUUUUAAGUAUAAGCAUGCACUUAUUUACAUGAAAUAUAAAGAAUUUAGUUAAAUCCGCCUAGUCCGCCUACCUAGACCCAGCCUAGCCGUCUAGGCACUAGACCCUAGCUCACCGUCCAACGAGCGCCUAACAUCUUUUAGAACAUUGGCACGAUGCCAGUUCGGAUUUAAUAUUUCUUAAAGCAUGAACCCAUCUCACUAAGUUGAAGUUUUAGGCUCGAUUCCAAUUUUAUUUGUUUGGGAUAUUUCAGGCUUGAAGCCAGUUCAUUGAAGUACCGUUUGGUACGCAGACGGGAUGGAACGGGAUGGAACUGAGGUUCCGUGUUAUGUUUGGUACACGCAGGACGGAACAUGACGGUUGUUCCGUUCUGCGUUUGGUACGUUCUGGACGGAACGGAACCAAAAGAUUGAAUGACUAACUUAACCCAUGUUCUGUUUGUUAUUUGAUACAAUGUUUAUGCGUAGGACGGGACGAGACAUUUUUUUUUUAACUUGUUCAUAUUUGAACACAUAUAACAAUACCAUGAUUAGCUUUUGGAGAUUGCAGAAGCAAAACAAAAAACAACGACAGAGAAUUUAGAGAGAGAAAGUGAAUGACUAAAGAUUGUAUUCCUUGAACAAUGAAUGAGAGGGAGGGGGAGAGAGAGAGAGAGAGAGAGAGAGAGAGGGAGGGAGGGAGAGAGGUGUUUGUUAUUUAUACAAGUAUUCUUUGCUUCACUCAUAAGCUAUUAACCAACUAACUUAUCCCUACAAUCCCAACAGAACUAACGUGCUGCAACAACAUACAUGGAGACCUAUAAAACGAAAAGCAAAGAGCAUUGGUAAGUAAUAAUAAAAUAGAAAAACUACACAAAUCACAAUCAGAAAAGUCUGCUUCUAUUUCCUUUUCAAACCAGUUCUCCAAAGCUCUUUCAUAUUGCUAAAGAACAAUGGUAAUGUGGUCUGUUGAUUCACAUAGCCUUCAAAAAAGGAGCCAUUGUACUCUUGAUUGGGAGAUAUAGCAGCAAAAAAGGAAUCCUGGAAAUACACAGGUACCCAUUGAGCGCGAGCAUUGUAUAAAUGUAUAGUCUAUGAGUUCAAGUUGAAGCAUGUAAGCUCACUAAACAUGCAACUUCCACAAGAUUUCUCAAUUCAUUCAGGCAAUAUUUCAAACACAAAUUGCCCACAUGGAGCUGAAAAGAUUUAUCAAAUAUGGUUAAGCCUCUAGCUGGAAAUAAAAAUGCGUGCAAGCCAGAUUGUAUUAGAAAUUGAAGUUGGUACUUGACCAAUUCAGAACAUCUGCCUCGUACAGAAAACCCAAUUUCCCAACUUGGCUUAUUCAAAUAAGGUUAAAAACCUUAAUUCUUCAAAUAAGGUUAAAAACCUUAAAUUAUUCAAAUAGAUGAAUGGACAAGAGAAAUUAAAAUGCAAGGUAGGUUAUGAGGUGUCCAUUAUUUGGAAACUGCUGCAAGCCUUAGCAAGAUCAAGUGCGGAAAGACUAAUGGUCUAUGAAGAAAUCUACUAACCAAAACACCACAACUUGAGAAAGUCGUUAACUCGAGCCCAGAAUGGAUUCACUAUAUAGGAGAAACAACCAUUAUAGAUCAGAUUUAUGCAAACUAGGAGGCUAAGGUCACAUCACACCAGAUUCAAGAUGGUAAUAAAAUGAAACCUUGCACAUGAUCGAAACUGCUUAAUUUUAACAUUUUAAUACCUUUUCAAGAACUUAGAGCAUUCAAAUUCUUCCAUUUGACAAUCUUUUGGCUGCCAUGAAACCUUCUCAUAGGAAAAAUUUGUGCGCUGUGUCAUCCGACAAGACCACAUACUUGACAGCCAUUGCUUACAGUCAUGCCCAGAAUACAGCGGCUUCUUAUGGUCCUGUUUGGGCCCAAAUUUACACCAUCGGUCCAAGUAAUUAAGGCCGUCAGAAGAUUAGAGAUUUUUCUUGACAAUACUAUUGUUUUUUUUUUAUCAUAGUAAUUAUCAUGAAAAUAUCCUCAAAGUGUGCAGAGUUGUGAUCGCAUAAAGCUUAAUGUAGAAGAGGCUGUGUGAAAUGCCGUGCAUCAUUAGAGUCAUAUCUUGCAUGCGAACCACGAGGAACAAUAACACAAUGAUGCAAUUAAUAUUGGAUGAUCAACAUGUGGUUAUGCCGUUUGUGUUUGAGAUAAACUUGAACUUUGGGCUCAAAAGGGAGUUAGCCCAGACGAAGGAAUGGAAAGCAAGAAGCCCAAGGCUCAACCGAAGCCCAGAAGGUGGAAGAGGCCUUUUUCCCGACUAAGUACAGAUCACUCAAGCCACCUGCUCACCUACCUAAAGGUCAAGUGAUGUAGACCAGCCAGCUAAUCAGCCCAAAAGUACUUUAUAAUGGCAGGACAAGUAAAAAGUUGAUGAGUCACUACCCUUCAGAGGCAUCCGGGCAAGAUUGAAGCUAUAGAUAGCCAAGCCAAAUCGUCUAUAAAAGGAGAAAAGAGAAUUAGAGACAAGGACACUCAAUCAAACAAACAAAUACACAAACUCUGCUCAAGCCAGAUUUGCAUACGAAGCUAUAGUCAGCACCAAGCCUUCCUUCCUUUCGGGAUCAACCUUCACCAAAAAGCCUUUAUAAAAGCUCUGCUACCCUAUCUAAAUCUUGUUGGAGUAUUGAUUCCCUCAUGUAAACUCAUCUUCCAAUCUCCCCUUCUAGCACUCAAACCCUUUGUAAAUCACAAAGAGAGGAAGUUGCAAGAUGAUCAGCCUUGCCCGACAAGGUGAAACCUUGCCCGACCUCCUUUGUUUUUGUCUUUUCAUUCAUAAAGCUAGUAAUAUGAUGUAUAUUUCCAUCUGCAUCCAAGUUAUUUCUAGCCAGUUUAUGAUUAAAAGACUUCUAAGUUCUAACCAUUUGGGCAGACAAGAUUGAUCAAUUAAAAGUCAUUGGUCUUAAGACAUAAAAAAGAACCUUAUGUGGACUUAACCCAUCCACGACAGUCCUUGAUAACAAGAAGUUCGAAGUUACUUAGGGCGCAAGUAAUUAACUUAUUUCUUAGUCUUACUUCUGUUAUAUCAUGAUUGCUAUAGAAUGCUUGAGUAUAAAAUUAAUUCUGAUGGGAAACCUCAAGACCUAUACCUAAUGCCCGACAAAGGCACCUAUCCAAGUUCGUUCUGCUCUGCGGGCUCAGGCAAUUAAAGUAUAACGGUCGUGAUAUUUCUGCAACAAUGAAACAACCAAUAUAUGUUCGAGUACUUGGUUAGUUUUGAUUGGAAGCCUAAAGGCCUACACCAAAGACCACACAAAGGCACCUUUCAUUACUAAACUCGGGCAUAUUUAAUCAAACUAAACAUCUGUUUUACAUCUGUCAUGCUAAAGAUGGCAGUGGCAUGCCUGAACACCUAAAGGUUAAUUUUGAUUGUGAGCUUCAAGGCCUACGCCUAAGGCCCCACAAAGGCACUUUUCAGGAUUAACUUUGUCCUUCUCUUACAGCCUGCCAAUAAGCAGAAGCCCGACAGACAAUAUCAACGGGCGCCAAACCUCUUGGGGAGCUGUGUGCUCGUUGACCAGGAAACGUCCCCACUGGAUAUUCCUUAAGACGAACAGUUUGGAGUAAUCAAAAUGAGGUGAUGUGAUGGGAUCAGGGUGGUUUUGCAGAUAAUGCAAAACCAUCAACCAUGUGUUUUAAUUAUCAUGCAUGCAUGGAUAAAGCUUAUGAAGAGAUGGUGGGAUAAGUAGCACCACCAAAUUUACAAGAUUGGAUCCGGCAAAUGGUGAUGACGUAAUCCCAUUUUAAAAGAUGGGAUUAAGCUUUGAUUGAUGUGAUAAGGUCUAAGGCAUGAAUGUAGGCACAUAAAAGAUAAAAGUUUUUAGAGUUUCAUUUAUUGUGAAUAUGCAUGAGAUAAAUGCGUGGUCAACAGCAACGGUUACAGUGCAAUUGGGAUUGUUUUCCACGACUUAGGCAUGCAUGGCUUUAUAAAUACCAAGCGGCAAGCAACAUGAAAGGGACCUCCAACUCAACAUACAAACUGUCCUGCGCAAACCCUCGCUCUACGCGAAACCUCUCGACAACCUUGAGAUUUUUAUUUUCCUUUUUCGCCAACACAUCUUCAGUUUGGAUAAAUAGUAUUGUGAAGGCAACCGGUAAACAUCUUCAGUUUGGAUAAACAACAUUAUUACCGUAGAGUCAGCCGAUCGCGAAGCACCUUCAGUUUAGAUAAACAGCACCGCGACAAGGCCGACUGGCUAUCUAUCCAAGUCUCAGUCGAGAAGGAUUUUCAAAUCCUUAUUGGCUGAGGUCAUCUCAUCAGCCUUCUUGGCGAAGUGAGGUGUUACCAGGUUACUACAUUCGACACCCUGAGAGCCGAAUUUGAUAUUGAACUUCGCAGAACUAGCAGCCUUGUCUUCAGGCUCUAGAACCCGAAGGCCGAUACAUGUUCCUUCCUCAGCCGCAGUUGCGAGUUUCAGAAGUCAGCAGCGCACCCAACCCAACAAAUUUUACUCACUGGCCAAGCUCGGCCGUCGAAUUGGCAUGCCCCGCACACAAUCGAAGGACGUAGUUAGCUUAUUAAUUACUUGGCCUACGCACCAUGUAGACUUAGUAAUUUUUAGGGUCAACAGGUCCACAACCCAUUUUCCUUUCGCAUAAUUGCAUACUGGAGCUAUUAUCAGAUAAAUAACAAUCAUUUCCCAGAAAAUUGAAAAUUUCCAUGGAAAAUUCAAGAAAACGAAAAAGUAAAACCCAAUAAAAAAAAGCAAAAUUAAAGAUCUAUAGAGAUUAAGAUCAAACCUGGAAGAUGCAGCGGUUAUGGAAGAAAAUCGAGAUCGAACCUGGAGAUGCAGCUGGUACGGGAGAAGAUUGAGAUUGAACCUGGAGAUGCAGCUGCUACGGGAGAGGAUGAGGGGGAAGGCUACUGGAAAAGGCAGCGGCAGAGAAAAAAGAUGGGACGAAGAUGAAGAGGAACCGUCGCGAACUCCUCAGAAAGUGGGUUUGUGGUGGAGGGAGCGUUAAGGUCAAGGAAGAUGCAGCUAAGUUUGUGGUGGAGGAGGAAGAGGAGGCUACCAGAGAGAGAGGGUAGAAGAGAGGGAGGGUACGGGAGAGAUAGGGAGGGUGAUAAUGGAAUUAAUGAAAAACAGUAAGGGUAUUGUUGUCCAAAAAAUUAUAAUUUUGUGUUCCACGAACGUGGAAUGAGUCGUUUCAAGGGAGAAGGUGGAACGAAAAAGUAACCAAAUUUCAUUCCUUGGAACAGCAUGUUCCAAUGUUUUUUGCGCAACAAACGUGAGACGGAACGCCUUGUCCCACUGCGUUCCGUCUCAUCCCACGUACCAAACGGUACCUGAUAUUCAGGAUUGGUUUUAUCUUUUAAAUGAGCCGGAACCAAGCAAUCUGCUUCUGUAGAGCUUGUGGACGGUGAAGCUUAUUUUUUAGAUUGACAGGCAAUGGCAAAUCGGUAGCUGAUGGGAAAGUAAUCCCACACUUUAAAGUUCCUUUGAGGUGUCAUAAGAUCCAUUUAACCAAUCCAAAAUGCAGCUCGGUUGGAGAGGUCAUGAAUAGACAGACAUGAGAGGAAUUAUUUGAUGACAUAGUUUGGACUCCUAGAAUAUGACGCUCUUGGGGCUUUCUAUGCUUAACUGCAAAAGCAAUGUUUGAUCUACAAUCAAAGCUUAAGGUGAAGUUUAUGACCAAUCAUGUUUGGUCGAGUCAAAUUCGUUAGGAAAAUGUCAACGAGACCCAUGUUUUAGACCAUAUUUUGUAGGGGUGUGAUAUCCACACACCUCAUUUUACUUCUAGCACACCUUUUUAAUUCUCGGCCGUCAGAUCGGAUGAAUUGAAGAAGAUCAACGGAUAUAAAUUAUCAAAGGGUGUGCGAGAAGUAAAAUAUGGUAUGUAGAUAGCACACCCCUAUUUUGUAAUCACAACAGGUGGUCUACAAAAUAUGAUUUAGGCAGAUGGUUUCUUCUAGCGUCACCCAAUUCGUUAACCUGUGGAUGAUAUGAUGGAGGAGCCAAGUUAAAAAUUCAAAUUCUUAAGUCUUUCUGCUUUUCUAAUUAAUAAGAGGAGCUUUCAAGAUAAUAGAAAGAAAAGAAAAAAAAACAUUAAAAAACAAAGAGUUUUAAGAACAAAAUAAAAUCAUGCCUGCUGCACCACCAACAUUACCACCGCAUUCUCUCUCCAUCACCCACGCCACCAUGACCACCAUUACCAUCACUCCUUCACCAUCAUCACCACCAAUGCCACCACCUCCCACCACCAUUAUCGCCACAACCACAUACUCCACCACCAUCACAAUUGGGACCAAGGCCACCACCACCCCCACUGU